UUCAACAAACCUUCAAAAACAAAAUAGAAAAACUUGUAUUGUUUUGAUGGUCAUCAACACUCACUAUCAAGUCAGUAAUCAUUUAAAACGACUAUUCAUUAAUUAAUCUCUCAUAUUAUUUACUAACUUAAAUUGUUAGAUUUAUUUCACUAAUGACUUUCAACUAUGUGUAAAAGCAUAAUACUUUGGCAUAAUUUUUUUUGUCUUCAUAGGGUUUGCCUCCUCGAGCUCUAUGGUCGUCCUCGUGAAUCCAUACUAUGAACUAAACUUCACCCUUGUUGCUCAAUCUUGUCUUUACAUUUUGACUUAUGUUUUUUCUAACUCAACGUUGCAUCAAUCAAUCUCAUUAUCUCUGACAUUUUGAAUUCAUAAUGAUACACACAUUAUCAAGGUUGCUAAAAUAAUUUAUUAGGAAUGAUUUGAACUAAUUUGAACAUUUUAUCAUUGGAUUCACAUCAAUAGUGUUUGUAACUCUCUAUGGGUAGUUUAGUGAGUAAUUAGAUGUCCUAUGAGACGGCUAUAAUGCUUGGUCAAUCCAUUGGUAGUUGAUAGUUAUAAUAUAACCAAAGUAAUAUAAAAUCCUAUUGAAUAUUGAUGUUUUAGCCAUAUAGUGUUGGGCUACCAUGCAUGGGAUUUGAAUUAAUUGCUUGUUUGGGCAGCUAUAGACAAUGCAAUUGACUUAUGUGGAUGUGUGUUUUUAUAUGGAGAGGCUUUUCAACAUCCAUCCAUUUUAACACAAUUGAAGCAUGACAACUCUUGUGUGCAUGCCAACUCAUUAGCAAAUACGCAUUCAAAGCUUGGCCUUCGUGUUCAAACCUAUAACCUAUGAAAAGAUGCACAAUAACGUCAACAUCGUCCUAAACUAUUUUUCGAAUAAUAUACCUUUUAACAUGCUAUAAAUAUGCAUAAUUGUUUUCUGUUUUAGCUUUAUAUUUUCUAUUUUUAAAAUUCACUUAAUUUUAUUAUUAAACUUACGAAUAAAUCCAAAAAUGUAAAUAUAACAAUGGUAAAGGUUACGGAAGGACCAAAAGGAAGAUCUCUCAACUAUUAGAAAAGAGCUAUUAAUUAGUUUUUACCUCUAAUUGAACACUGAAUGAUGAGACCUUAAUUAAUUAAUGUGAGACAAAUAAGAAAAACAGUUGAUUUAAUUAUUGUUUUAAGUCUAUCCUAAACUGUAGGUUUUAUGUCUUAUUUUUUAGAAUAAAAAGAGACAAGAAAUUCAACCUAUGAUAUCAGUAUUCUUUAUUUAAAUUGUUUUAAUAAAUAAUAUUAGAGUGCAUUUCCAAGAUGCCCCCACCCCGUUUGAGGUUUCUAUUCAUACUAUUUAAAAUAAUAAUAAUAAUAAGGAGUGGGGUUGCAUUUUCUAAAUUCUUUUAUUGCUUAUAAUAUAAUUUUAAUAACGAAUGAUAAAUUUUUUUUUAAAAAAAGGAAAAACAAUAUAUUAUUUGUUUUGUUUUGUUCGGGUUUAGUGAAUAGUGGGUUUGGGUGUUGCGGAAGAGAUGAUGGGCCCAUUAAGAUUGAUAAAUGAUAAUAGAGAGGGACGGGCCCACCACUCCAUCUAACCUUCCCUAAUCCGACACGUGUCAUUACAUUAUUAUUAUUAUUAUUAUUAUAUUUUGUGCCUUUAAUAAUACAGUUAGGCAAAGGGGAAAGAGAAAGAGAAUAAAGGCAAUCAAAGCAUCUACCCCAUACCCCUUUCGUACCUUCGCUCUUUCUUUUACUCACUCUUUCCUUUACACUUCUCAAACCCACCCCAUCCGACUUCACUCGUUUUCUUUUUUCCUUUUCCAUAAUUAAACCUUUCAUUUUUCCUUCUCAAAUCUACUACACCCUUCUUCCUCUCAUUUUUCUUCUCUACCCCAAGUUUAGUACUGAUAUCCAACAGUUGGUUACAUUUGUUUAAUUGUACCUCAAUAACCUCUAAUCUCCAUCUUACUACAAACAAUUUUUUUAUUUCCACUUACCAUUUGCUCCUCCCUUCAGAUUGGAGAAGGUGUAGGAGAUAUUGAUAUGGCACAUUCUUUGAUGUUCAAUUCAAACAUGUGCAGUCUCAACGUUUUAUAGUUGUAUCUAUCAAAGUUGUAGAGUGCCCGUGGUGAGCUCACCACCUGACUUGUUGUACAAUCUCAACGCAUAAAUUUAGUAUCAACUAGGAACAAAAUUUGUUUAUAUUUAGUAGUGAUCCGUAGGAGACCACCAAUUUUCUCUUGUAGUUUGAUCUCAAUUUUAGUUUAUUUAACUUACAAUGUUAGUGUAUUUUAUCACUCAACUUUGAAUUUUUCACUUUCAAAUGGAACAAUAUUUAUUUAAAAUUAUAAUCAAUUUAAAAUAAUUUUAAUGCAACUAGCUUUAACUAAUUUUCAUCCUAAUUAAGAGAAAAAUAAAUAGAAGAAUUAUUGCAAUAAACUAGCAAAAUUUUAUAUUUUAUCAUUGAUAGACACUAAUAGAACAUUUACUUUAUUUUGUAAAUAUUUUGGUUCAAUUUACUAUAUUUAUAAAUGCACCAAUAAGAAAACAUAGGAUGACUAUCUUAAAUUAAUCAAUGUUUUUUUCAAAAAUGAUAAAAAAUACAAAGUUAGAAUUAGUAAAAGUUUUGGAUAAAAGUUUCAAAUACUUAUAAACCAGAGUAAAAGAACACUAAACUCAAAAUCCAAAACCAUAUAAAAAUAAAAAAGUAAAUUGUUAUAUUUUAAAACCAAUGACCAAAACGGAUACAUGCUUAAACCAUCUUUCAGACCGAAAAAAGAUAUCUCUUUCAAUAGGAAGUUGAAGAUCCUAAUUAAUCUUCUGCUUAUGAAUGUGAGAAUAUAACUAAUCUAAUCACAUAUAGAUGAGAGAGAAACUAAUUUUCUACUAGUAAAAAAAACUUAACCAACGCUUAUGACCAUAUAUAUCAUAUAAAAGAGUAUGUUCUCUAUUACAAGAAGGUGCUAAAAAUCCCAAUCAACAACUAGGGCACAGUUCUAGAGCAAAUGACAUUUUGAGCUAAAAUGAGGAAAGCAAACGAAGGGAGACAUUAUAGGCCAACUACGAGCAAAGAAAUAGUCAUUUAACACUCAUUAGUUAGAAUAGCAAAUCCUCUUUUAACUUGAUUUAAAAUAUCAACAAUCUCUUUUAUUGAUCAAAAUUUUGAAUCCACACUUCUCUCUGCCUUUAUGUCAAGAGAAAUAGUAACAAGUAGCAAAAUUUGAUAAAAACUAUUUAUAAAAUAUAACAAAAAAUUUAAAUUCUAUCAAUAAUUGACAUUGAUAUUAAAUGUCUCUAAUAUUAAAUGCUUUAGUACUUAUGUAAUUUAAAGUAUGAUAAUUUAGUAUCCUUACAUUGUCAAUAUACUUAGCUUAACUGAUAUUUGUAUCUUUUUUAGAAUUGGAGGUUUCACGUUCAAGUUGAAUUUAAUAAGACUUUUUUGAAUUAAAAAAAUCUUUAUUUUUAUAAAAAAAAAAAAAGAAACUGUAGUAAUUAAAACUCAUAUAGUGAGGCAUUGAGCAUUGAGUUAAAUUGCAAAAUAAAGACUAAGUUCACCGUAUGUGGAAAGGUGAUAUAUAUGUGUUGUUAUAUCUGCACAAGUAAAUGGAAAACUUGUUAAGAUACAAUUAAGAGCAUGGAUUUAAUUGCUAUAUUAUUGUUCUUAUUUUCCAAAAAGUAGUUUCUUUUUUAAAUGGUUUAUAAAUUUAAAUUAAAAACCAAAUUGGAUGUUGUAGAAAAAAUACAAAUCAAAAUAAUUCCUAUGUAAGAGCUGAAUGAUGCGAGCUAAUUACAUUCAUAAACAUAAACCUAAAGACAAAAUUAAAAUUAUUAGUGUUCAUGGUUGGAACUUGUAUGCGUUUGUUGUUGUGGCUCGUGACUUGAUUUUCAAUUUACUUUUUUUUUUUUUGUUCUGUCUCACUUUUCAAGUUGACAUGCUUAAGAGAUUGUCUCAUCAACGUGGCAAGCCUACUUCACUCUAAUACUCAAGCUAUAUAGUAUAGGAAGUAUAUGGUUUAACAAUGCACAUAAAAAGAAAGGUUAGAGCUCUCAUUUGAAGAUUACUUAAUUCCUUCCUUUUGGAGUCGUUGAAUGGGGCUAUUUAUUGGUCUUUCCUCUUAAAAUCGUCUUUGAUUACCUAAAACACUUAUGAUAUCAAGCUUAUUUUUUAUACUCAAUGUUGCACAGUGCGAGACAAAGCACUGAGCACAUUCGAUUAUUUUUCAAUUGGUAUAGGUUUUACUGGCUCAGUUGGUCAACCAAAACCUUGAGGCCAAUAUUCCCAUAUGCUUCUUUAUGGUACCUCUAUAUAGGCAUUAGAUUUGUUGUAGGAUUUAGGCUCUGUCGUGGGUAACACUUAGCAAAUUAGUUCAUUUCUUCGUUUUUUUAGUAAACAAUAAUAGAAGUGAUGAACAAAUAAAGUUAAACGAUCAUGAUAAUUAGAGUUAAGAGAAUGACCAAUGAUGAUUGAUGAUUCAAAAAUCAAAUUGAAAAAUAGAUGUCUUACAACGUGAAAAGUCAACCCAUGAGUAACUGAUUCACAUUGUAUGAUUAACAUGGAAGAAUUCAUAACUUGAAUCACGAUGCAUCAAAUUACGAAAGGAAAAUAUUAAUAGUUUCUAAAUUAUAAUGAAAUUUGUUUUAUAGCUUUCGAAAUGUUUACAUGGAUAACAAUCUCCACAGUGAACAAAUACAACUUCUCCAACUAAGAAUCUAUCAACAGUUGCAAUUAUAACAAUUAAAUUUAAAAAAAAAAUAACAUAUACAUGACAACAUUUAAUUUUUUUUAAUAAAUAUAUAUCAAUUAUAAAGUUUAUCAUUACUAUACACUUGAUUAUUAUUAUCCCUAAAACUACUACGAAGUAUAAUUAUCCAAUAUCACAAAAGUAAAAGUUGCAUCAAAGAGACCAACCACUAACAUAGUCAAUAGAACUUAGAGCAUAAGUUGGUUGAUAGCGAGAGAUAUCUUAGAAAGUACAGAGAUAGAUUAGAGUUCUCUAUACAAUAAUAAUAUCACAUUUACUUAAUAUAUUUAUAAAUAUUCUACAAAAGUUUCAUACUUUGUUACUAUAUUUUGAAAAAAAGAAAACAAAGAAUUAAUCCUUAUAUAUAAUUUAUAAUUAUUAUUUAGUCCUUAGAAUUUGAUAAGAAGUCGGAGAUAAUCAAUUUUAUCACACUAAGAGGACUCUUUAUGAACUUUUAUAUUAAAUUCUAAUAAACAUGAUAACUCCUUAUUAAAAUCUAUUACUAAUAAGAGUUUUUUUUUUAAAAAAAAAACUUUGAAAGUAGAAAAACAAGAAAUAUAAACUCUAUCCCAUGGAAAUCUCUGGUUUAUAUUUUAUAUUUCAAAUACACUGUAGAAAUAUUAGAUUAUAUUUUUUCUCAGCUCCUAAUGUAUACACAAAUAUAGGUGAAAUAUUAACAGUUUAAUAUUAGCUAUGGAGAAAUAAGAAAUAUGAAACAAACUCAUUUAUGUCUUUUUUUUUUUAAUAUAAAAGAAAAGAGAAAAAGAAACAAAAUAUUAUGGCAAAAUGCAAAUUUAAUUUUUCAAAAGAAAUCACAAGAAACAAAAUAUCUUUUAAUGUAGAUUAUAAAAAUUUAAAAUGACAAUAUUUUGUAAAAUAAAUACAAAUCCAAAGUUUGAUAAAAUUUGUAAUUUGAUAAGAUUAGAUUAGAGAGUAGUAAAGAACAAAAAUAGAAGUUAUAGGGACUAAUUUUGUAAUUAAGGAAUAGUGAAAAUUAAAAAAGAAAAAAAGGAAAAAGAAAUGAAAGAAAAGGGAGGGGUAGGACAGGAAAGAUACCAACUGUUAGAGGAGUUGGAGCAAAAUUUGGAAUGUUUUGAAUAAUAGUCAUUAAAAAUAUAAAUGACUGAGUCGACUCGUUGCGAGUUUAACCGAGUCUAUAAUAAAAAAUCCGAGUGAAAAUGGAGACGAGUUACGAUGAGUCACGAUGGGCCACCCUCUUCCAUCGGCUGGUUCAACUUUUAGGUCAAGUUGAGUUUUCUUUUCGCUUUUCCCUUUUAAUUCUUUUUUUUUUUUUUUUUAGUUUUUAAUUUUAAUUAUUAAUUCGAAGAAACGGAAUUUGACUGCGAGAAGAAGAAUCAGUGGAAGAAGGGCAAGUAGAUCUGAAACUUCAUACAUACGCCGGAGAUUGGGGGAGAAAAAUCCGGGGACGGUCGGCGAUUGUUUCUCGAUUUCAACCAUACCAAAAAAAUAAUUAAAAAAAAAAAAUAAACAGAACAGAACAGAAGCGGAGAUUUUUUUUUUUUUUUUUUUUGGAAUCGUUAUGCUGAAUGACUGAUUUUUCAGCUUUCCGAACGGGCGGUUUCAAAAGGAAAAUGCCGCGCCCUCAUUUUCAUAAGCUUGUUCUCACCUCAACUAUCCAAGCUAGGAAAUUGGUACUCUUUUGAUCCUUUUUUUUUUUUCUUUUUCUUUUUUUGUUUUCUGGGUUUUGCUUCUUUUGCUUGAUUAUCGAGAAGAAUCGGGCUAAACUUCGGUUCUGUCUUUCUUUUUUCUUUUAGACUUCAUCUACUAUUGCUUCUUCUGUAUCUUCUGCUGAGUUCUUUUGCUCUAGCAACGAAUUUUCUUAUGGAUUAAAGCUAAAACCCUGAGUUUUAUGUUCGUUUUAAUCAAGGAAUAAGGAAAGUUUUAUUGGGCUAUACUCGAAUUUCUUGAUGAUUUACUUACUUCUCUGUUUUUUAGUUUUGGUUAAUCGAAGAAGUUGUUUAGUCGUACUAGGUCAGACUCCAAAAUUUUCAUUUCAUUGUCUAUCAGUCUGCUACCGCUAUAUACGACUAUUAUUAUUGAAUUUGGAGCUGAACCCUUCAUUAUUUUACCCUGUUAAUCAUGUUUCUAAAGUAUCUUUCUGUUAGUAAAUAAACAUGAAAUUGAUGAAGUUAUCUCCUGGGCUGGAAAUAGUUUUUUUUUUUUUUUUUUUUUUUUUUGCGUUUGUUUUGUGUUGCAUUGGUUAUGCUUUCAAAAGGGUUUCCUUUUCAGUUGCAUGAUUAGGCAGGAUGUGUUUCCAUCAGCUACAAAUCAAUUGGCAGUAAAAUCCCAGUUUUCUGUGGGCUUGUUUUAACUCAACAUUCUCAAUUUUUGAUUCGUGCCCUUCAAGUUCUUGCUUCUCAGCUUUUAGUGAUAGCUUUUUGGGUUUGUUCUAAUUUGAUGUACAUAAUAUAGCUAUAUCAUAGACGAUAAUUGUGUAAACAAAAUAUUUUCAUUCCUCUUUCACUGAUUUGUUUGAUCUUUUUGAGAUUUUCAAUUGAAAUGCUUGGUUCUCUUAGAAGAAUCUUCAAGUAUAAUGACUAUUCUUUCAUCCCUAAGCUUUGAAUAUCAUUAGAUAAUAAAUCAAAUAGGAUUUUGUUUUCAUAUACAGAUACUCUCUUGAAAUAUCUUGUCAACUGUUAAUUGUCGAGUAUAUGAUCCGUAUCUUCAUUCUUCAUCUCAUUUUUUAAUCUUUAAACUUAAUUCCUUGGCUACAAGUUCUUUAACAUCUUUCCAUUGUUUCUUUGUGCUGGAUUAGUCCAGAGCAACGGUUGGAUCUUGACAAAAGUGAACAAACAUUAUACUCCUUCUGUUGUAUUGUUAUUCUUGAUGUACAUUGUUUUAGCUUUUGUUUGCACUUCAUGUUAGUUUGCUACUUUGUGACUGUUCGUUUCUUAUAAUGCAGUUUAUUUAUGCCAUGAUUUGUUUUUGUCUGGUUUCUUUUUGGCUUGGGCUCUCCUUCUCUCUGGCAUUUUUCUUAUUCUUACAUAAUGUCAUAAUGAAAGUUGUUUUCAUCUAAAAUAGGGUUUGGUUGUACGUAGCGCAUGAUUCAUCACAUCAUUAUAUUUGUCGUUGGCUACAACCCCUUUAUAGAAUUCCUUUGUUUCUUUAAUCAUAAAUCAAGUAUUUUAGUAUCUUCCCUUUUCAAUAAGGAACUGUUUUCCUACCAUUUAAUUUGUUGAAUGGUCAUACCACUGCAGUCAUCUUGUCAUAUAUGUCCAUUUCUUGGACUGGAGUUAAGUUUCUAUAUUGUCAUUCAUUUGCAUUGCAUAACCCUUCCUUGCUCAACAUUUUUGCAGAGAAUCCCAGAAACUUUUGUCAGGAUGAUCAGGGAUGAGCUUUCAGCAGUUGCAACCCUUACUGUUCCUGAUGGCCAUGUUUGGCGUGUAGGUUUGAGGAAAGCCGACAAUAAAUUUUGGUUUGAAGAUGGAUGGCAAGGAUUUCUUGAGCAUUACUCAAUACGGGUUGGGUAUUUACUAGUAUUCAGAUAUGAGGGAAACUCAUCGUUCUGUGUUUUUAUCUUUAAUCUUAAUACAUCUGAAAUAAACUAUCAAUCGGCUGCUCUCAGUAAUAAUCAAAGGAAUAAUUACAGCAUUCAAAACCGAAUCUUUGAAGAAAUGGAGGAUUAUGAUAUUCCUGAAGCCAUUCCUUCCAAUCAGUCCAUGAAUUCCGGUUCCUUGCGGAAUAAGCUAUUUGGUGAUGAAUGGAAUCUGCACCAAUCAAAAUCUGCAAGUACAUUACAAGCUGAGUAUUUAUCUACUAGAGAUAUUGGGGUUCAGUUUAGUGCUGUGGAGGUUAAAAAAUCUGCAGAUGAGGUGAGAUUCCAGAAUUUGGGUGAUGAUGCAGCACACAGAGUUAAAAAGAGUGGAAGCAAAAAGCGAAAAAUCGAGUCUAGUAAGCUUUUGUCUUAUUGCUUUACAGUUUGCACUGUAAAUGUUUGAAUUAUCUUACCCAGUAUUUUUCGAACUGCAGGCGAGCACCAUCCAUCUGCUCAUAAUAGUGAAGAUUUAGGAGACAUUCGUUUUAGAUUUUAUGAAAGUGCUUCUGCUAGAAAGAGAACUGUGACAGCAGAAGAAAGAGAAAGAGCUAUCAACUCUGCAAAAGCUUUCGAGCCUGGUAAUCCUUUCUGCAGAGUCGUCUUGCGACCAUCCUAUCUAUAUAGAGGUUGCAUAAUGGUAAGAUAUUGAGGUUGAAAUUUAUCAUAUGAAAGCUUUUAAAUUGAAUCACGUGAGCCCUAACAAGGGUAUUCUGCACUCUCCUUUACAGUAUUUGCCAUCUUGCUUUGCUGAAAAGAAUCUAAGUGGGGUUUCGGGAUUCAUCAAACUUCAGACGCCUGAUGGGAGACAGUGGCCGGUCCGAUGCCUUUAUAAAGUUGGUAGAGCGAAGUUAAGUCAGGGAUGGUACGAGUUUUGCCUGGAAAAUAAUUUAGGGGAGGGCGAUGUUUGUGUGUUUGAGCUUCUUAGGAUGAGAGAAAUUGUACUCAAAGUUACCAUGUUUCGUGUCAUUGAAGAAGGCGGACGAAUGGCAAACCCAAAUCCUGCUAGCAUGAUGAAUCCACCUCCGCUGCGAAGUGUUAGCCACAUUAAGCUGAUCAGAAAUUAAUGGACAAUAUUUCCAGGUUACCCUUUUGUAUCAAAUCUGUCUCUUUUUUGUGGUAGCUUGUUGAUUCUGAUCCCUUGUGGUAUUAGCUGUUGUUUGAUGUUUAUAAUCUUUCGAGAUUGACUUAAGUUGGAAAAAAAAAAGGAUCCGUUUAGAGUUUACGUAUUAAAGCUGUAUUGACUUUAGUUGUAUAUAGAUUUUCAAAUUUUUGUUGAUAUCAAUCUAGACAAGAACAUCAGCAAGUGUUUGUUUUGGUUCUUCAUGUUGAGAGUGUAUUCAAUUAUUAGAUUUUACUUUAUCUCAACAACUUCAUCUAUUUGUCUGUGUAGCUGUUGGUAAGAUAGGAUCAAUGGCAAAUUGCUCAGGUUUUAGGAGAUAGUUGAUUUAGGCCUAUGUCAUAGCUCUCGUGAAUUUGACCAACCACAGUGAUACUUAUUCUAUUUUUCUAGGAACUACAAUGUUAGUUUAAGCAGCGGUGUGUUGUACCCUAAGGGCAGCUGUUAGAGUUCUAAAGUCUGGAGUUAGGAAAAUUGUGCAUGCGGUCGAAGGCUGUUUCGUUUGGAGUUAGGAAAUAUUAGAGGGAGAAUGAGGGAAAAUAGAGUUGUUUGAUGAAUUUGAACUUUAAUAGUGAUUACUGUUUAAGUUAUUUUGGUAGACCAAACGCCUCCUAAUUUCAUUUUGCAUCGACCCUGGUUCUUGUUUUGCUUUCAAUGGAGACGUUGAAUUCGAGUCUAGUAUUCAAGUUGACAUGUAAGAAGAGUGUUAACAGUGUAUUAGAUUAUCUCAAAUAUUCAUCCUUCACUCAGUGCCACCACGCUCUUGGCUUUUUCCUUUGAAAGGCCUUGGUCUUGCUAUUAUGGAAGUCUCUCAUGGUUUUAAGUAUCCUUUUGUUUGUUUGUUUGAAUUAGCUCCUCUCUAUGUUUGUACCCAUUUCCAUCAUUUUGCUUGCUACUUCGUUUUUUGUAUUUUUUAAAUGCAUAGAUAUAUUUCUCUUGACAAAUGUUCUCUUAGUGUUUUUUUUUCUUUUCCUCCUUGGAGAUCAAUGUACUAAUGUUCUCAUAAGAAAUUGUGUUGCAAUAAUCUAAAUUGAUUCAUUUAGGAAAGUUGAGAGGUUUUUAUUGAUACAAAUUAUAAGCUGAAUUUUUUCAUAUGGGAACGUGGAGGAUGAUCUAAAUAAAUAUACUUAAAAGAUAAAUCGGUACGAUUAUUAGUUAUCAUUUAAAUUUAUAUGACAUAAGCUAAAUGUAAAAUAAUAUUUUUUUAAAUUUUGGGGUGACACGAGGUUUGACCUUAUUUCUAAACUAAAAGAUUUUUGUUAUCGUCAUAUUCGAGUACUAUUACCAAAAUAGAAUAUUACAUGAUUUUUGUUAUCGUCAUAUUCGAGUACUAUUACCAAAAUAGAAUAUUACAUGUGGGGCAAAAUAUUGAUAGAUUAUUUUUUAUUCAUAUAUUUUUUUGUUAAAAUAUAUCUUCUAGUUCUUAAACUUUUAAACAAGCAAACAAAUUUUGGUUUGUAACGAUUUAAUCCUCGUACUUUCAAUUUAGUAUUAGUUUAGACUUUCAAUUUUGUAUGAAACAAUUUUAUUGCUAAUUAGUCUAUACCUACAAAAAAAACCAUCAAAAUUUUACAUCAAUUUUUUGAUUUAUUAUUUUAUAAUCUAAACUUUUUAUUUCAUAAAAUUAUUGAGUCCCAAGUAAGUAUGCAAAAAAAUUUUAUUAAAUUUUUAUGCUAAUUUCUACCGUAGAAACUAAGUCGUUACAAAUUUUAAAAUUUAAAAUUCAAGGACUAAAUUGUCAUACAGUAAAGUCUUUUUUUGUUUUUUAAAAAUCUUUCAAUAAAUAAAUUUUUAAAAACUUUUGUUUUAGAAAAAAGAAUUAAAUAUUAAUUGAUCGGUAUUUAAAAAAUCGGUAAGAACUAAUUUGAAUUGCAGAAACAAUCCCUAAAAUCUAAACGAUAAUAAUGAACCUACAAAUUUAAACCAACAAUAUAAUUAGUAAUGUAUUUAUGACAACCUACUUAAUUUCUACCCACUUUGAUUAACACCACAAAUUUGGAAUUAAUUCAAGUCUAAUAAAUAUAAAAUGAGGCUAUAAAUUCAACUAAUAAACUCCCCCUCCAUCCAAUAAUUAUAUCAUUUUUGAAUGUAAAUAAAUAAUAGGGUUGUAUAUUAUUGGAGGAACUAGGCUUCUGAGAAUGGGGAAGGAGGAUGAAAAGUGCCCAUUUUUCGUUUAAGUAACCUACAUGACUCUUUUUGACUGUUCAUAAGUGGAUGAUAGAAAUAAAUAGUAAUUUUCCACGAAUAGUCAGAAAAUCUUAUUUUUUUGGAAGAAAAAAAACGUGUUAAAUAAACUUUUAUGACUCAUUUAGAAUAUGUUUACUAAGCAUUAAACACAUGAAGUCAAUCACAAAUAAUUGUUUUUAGAAAAGCUUUAAUAUAUUUUUAGAUAUUAUAUACUUAGUGACACCUUAAUGUGUUGUUAAAAUACUUUUAGAAAUGUUAACUAAAACAACGUUGCUAAGUUUUAGAAUUAUUGAUUUUUUUUUUUUUGUCAAUGUUGAAUUUCAAUUUUAGCAAGUUAACUUGGAUUUAAAGAACUUGAUUAAAAUUUUAAGUUCUCAAUAUUAAAUAUAUUACACCCUAAAAUGGUCGACUAAUGAAAUAAACGUUUUUUCAUUUAAGAAAUUUAACGUAGUCCACUUAAGGUGUUGAUGGAUAGAAUAAACAUUUUGUUAAAUUUUGUAAUCAAAUUUAGGUUAUGUGAUACAUUUACUUGUAUAUUUGACCUUCAAAGUUCUCUUUACCUUCGUGGUUCAAAAUUUGAACAACAUAAAAUUUAUCUCCUUGAUUACUUUUUAAUGACAAUACAUUGUGAAUUCAUAUAUCAAUGUUACUAAAUUGCAAUUAAGAGUCUAAAAUAAUGGCACAAUAAACUUGUCAUAACUUUGGAAAAGAUUGGAGUUUUUCGUAUUUUUCUACCAAAAUCGCACCUUUCUCAUUUAAGUACAUUUUAUGAUUCUUUUUUACCGUCAUAAUUUUUUUUCACAAAAAAAUGUGUGAAAUGAGUUUUUAUGACUCAUUUUUCACUAUGUCGUCCAUUUUUGCUACUAGUCACAAGUCAUGGAAGGUCAUAUUAGUCGUAGAAUUUGGUAAAUGUUUUACAAGAAUCCAUUGUAUUAAAUGAAGUACAUGACAAACAAAAUGUAAAAACUAGCAUAUCUAUUUCAAAUUAUUAAAUUAAAUAAUUUAAUCUAGGUAUAUGUUUAAGGAAAAGAAAACUCCAUUUCAACCCUAUUUGAUCAAAUUACUAAGUGGAAAAAAUAUACUAUUUAUCCUCUCUCCAGCGUUUUUUAGAUAAAUUCAUAAAAUUUGAAAUUCAUGCUUCGUCUCGAUAGGAUGAAUUAAAGAAACUAUUUUAGACAUGCAACAACAUAUCUAUAGUCUUCGUCACCAAUUGACACCAUGAGAUAUUUCAUGCAUGGCCUCAUAGCAACUAAAAACCCAUCUCCCAACCAAGACUCUCUAUGGUGGGUUAGCUUAGGAUCCUCUUCUUAGCAUUAAUUAAACUGAAGUUGCCAAUGACAAGGUUAACUCUUCAAAAAGAUAAGAUUAUAGGUAUGUGAUUCUCUAAUAUUGUCCUACUCUAAUCUCUAUGAUGUAGGCUUACCAAAAGUUAAUUAAAAUAUUGAAAUAUUGCAUUAGAUGACAAAAAAAAAUUAGAAAAAGACAAAUCAUAACAACUCAUUUUUUUAUAUUAUAAAAUUGACAAAAUGGGACUAGUAAUUGAUCAUAUCAGACGGUAAUGUGCUUUUAAAUUUGUUAUUUUUGCGAUUUAAAAAAUGUAUAUGACAUGGAUUCUAUUAUCAUAAUUUAAAAAAAAUUAUUAGUUAUUAUAAUAUAUAACUAAUGAAAAAUUAAAACAUAGAAUAAAGUUGAAAGCUCACCUACUAUAUGAUUUAAGACUGGUCUAGACUAAGAUAAAUUUCUAGCCUAUUUAGAUAUAGAUAAAUUUAAUAUAAAUAGUUUUAAAAUGUCAACAUAUAAAAUUAUAAUAAGAUUACAAUAAAGUAAAUUGCACACUUAUAUAAAAAUAAGAUUUGGGAUCUUACUUAGCUUAAAAACAAGGUUAACUUUCUAAACAAAAUAAAGAGAGAAAAUAUUUACCAUCAUUGUUACAAAUUGAAAAAGUACAUAAAAUUUACUAUUUUUUUUAAAAAAAUUAGGUUUGUUCUAAAAAAAUGUUAAUUGUUAUGUAAUUAACACCAUACUUGGGAACUGAUUAAAAAUUUUGAAUUGGUCAAACUUUAUUUAAAAGCUUGCUAUAUUGUGAUUAGUGUAUUAAAUAAGUUUAAUCAACUUAAGAAAUUCACAUGAUGAAAGAAACUAACCUAAACGUUUGUAGUAUGGGCUGACUAAUAAACCCUUGGAUUAAUGAUUUUGGAUUUUAUCCCAAAAUUUUUAGAUCAAUUUAUAAGAUUAGAUGUAUUACUAGAACUAUCUCUUAUAAAAGGUGUUUGUGCGUGAAUUUAACAGGUGAAUUAGAGAUAUUAUUUAUAGUACGUAAGUGAAGAACAAAUAUGACAAACUAUCAUAAGACGUCCAUCAUUAGUUGAGUUUAUGUCUAAGCUCGUGGCAACUUACAAUGACCGUUUAGAAGGAUACUUGAAUCGGUUAAUAUCAUUAUUUAACUCCUAGAAAAAAAUAUGUUUUCCAAUAUUUAGUGGGGUUGGUGGGCUUAAUUAGACUACAAUGGUUAUAUAUUAGAUAAUUAAUGAAAAAUUAAAACAUAAUAAAGUUGCAAGCUCACCUAAUAAGAUUAGGGAUUUUACAGCUUGGAUUAAAAUAAAUUUAAUUAAUGUUUUAAAUUGUUUUAAACUUUUCAAUUUGUCUUUAUAAUUUAUUUUUUUGAGAUUAGAAUAAAGUAAAUUGAAUUCAUACUAAAAAAAUUAAGAUAUUUAGAUAAAAUAAAUCUAACUAAUAUUUUAAAUAGUUAAUUUUUUUUAAUUCUUUUUUAAAAAUUCUAUUGAGAUUAGAAUAAAGCAAGUUGAAUGCUUACCUGAUGAGACUAUGAUUUUAGACUAAUAUAAAACAAAUUUUAAUUAAUAUUUUUUAUAUAAUUUAAAAUUUUUAAUUUAUUGUUAUAAAACUAUGAUGCCAUUAAAAUAAAACAAAUAAUCUUAUGAAAUGAAUGUAAUUAAAAUUUAGUUGUUCCACAAAAGUAAAUUUCAAAAUAUAGUUAACUUCUCAGGUUCCUUUAAAUAUAAGAAAUGGUCAAAUAUUUACUAUCAUAUAGAACAAUUUCAAAAACAAAAUCGUUAAGGCUAGUCGAAAAUACAAAAAAUGUUCAAUCAUUUAUUAGCAUCGAGUACCUAAUAUAUUUGAAAAACGAUAGUUAAAUUUUGGUAGUCAAAUUUGAACGAUUUUUUUUUUUUUGUACACAUUCGUUUAUAUUUGGAAAACAAUCAUUUACAUUUGAUACGUUUAUAUUUGGAAUAGAAUCGUUUAGAACACUUUUUCCAAUAAUUUUUUUGUACAAUUGUUUUGAUUUGAAAAACGAUCGUUUAAGUUUAAUAUAUGUUUAUAUUUGUAACACAAUCGUUGAUUUGAUCAUUUAAACUUGGCUACCUAAACCAUUUUAAGAUUCCUUGUACACUAGAUUUGACUAUUCAAUAUAUUUUUGUUAAUAUUUGGAACAACGAAAUAAUCAUGUAAAAAAAAACUAGAUUUUAUAUUUAGUAUUAGAUCUUGAACCAAAAAAAACAAUUAGAAGAAAAAAUAAAAGAAAAAGGGCAAAGAAGAGAAAAAGAGGAUGAAAAGAAAAAUUGCAAAAAAUUAAAAGAAAGACAAACCUGAAAUAUUAAAAAAAAAUUGACAGUUUCAUAAGCUUAUUUUACUAUACGGACCGUAAAUAUUUUACUGAUUUGUUAUAUUUAAGAAAAUUAACCUAUUGUUUGGUAUUGAUUUUUUGUUUCUAAUCUUAUUUUAAAUGAAAUAUCUUGAUUCCAUCACUUUUGAUGAACGAAACCCUUCAAUAGUAAGAAGGGUCGAACUGUUGGAAGGUUGAACAUUUUAAUACCAAAUUUGAAAGAUACCCAAAUAAUAGGAUUGAUGGAAAGUCUAGCUUCUAUUCGAUCUCUAAUUUUCAAAAUAUUACAUUUUUAGUUUUAUUUUAUUUCAAUUUAGUCUCUAAAUCUUAAAUGUGACAAUUCUAUUUUAAUAUAAUCAAAGGCAUUAAAAGAUUGUUUAGAGCAUAUUUGACAACUUUGAGUCAUUUGGAAGAGUUGAGUUGGUGGAUAAAAAAGACCAACAAUCCUAUAGUUCACCAAUAAUUAAAGAGAUCUUUUUAAUCCCAUUAUUCACGUCAACUCACAUUUUUCACUAAAAUAUUUACAUUUCUCACAUCACUUCCGUAUUCGUGUCAACUCUCCCCAAUUAUUUACUAUAAUUAUUUUCAACUCAACUUUUUACUUUUAUAGAUAUCCAAACGGUUCCUUACUAAAAGAAUAAAGUUAAAAGUAGAAGUUAAGAAUAACUUGAGUAAUCCGACAACCGAUUUAUACUCCUAAUUAAAAAUACAAAUAUAUUGAUGAAAAAUCAUUAAAAAUAGAUCAUUUGAUCAAAAUAUUUAUACAUUCACACAAAAAUGAAUUGUUAUGUGUAAAUAUUUUGUCAAUUUUUUCUAUUUAAAAAAAAUUCAAUACAACGUAUAGAAAUCCACUCAAAGUACGCACUAAACUAAAAAGAAUUAAAAUAGUGAGAUUUAGAACUUAAUAGGAAUUAAAAUUUAAACUCAAAACCUAAAAUUGAAAUUCAAAGGACCAAAAAGGAAUUUUACUCCAAAUUAAAUAUAAUAUUUAAUAUUUUUUCUUAUAAUGCAAAACUCUCUUCCUUUUUUAAUUUUCUAGUUUAAGCAAUUUAUUAAAGCCAUGGGGGCCACUAAUCAAACGUGUCAAUUUUCCAUUAGCUCUUACGAAGGUGGGCCCACAUGGUACAAACAAAGCAUAGUUUUUUUUAACCUUCAUCUCUCUCUCUCGCUUCUCGCGCACACACACAGCGCUGGGUUUCCACUGCAAAGUUCUUCGUCAGAACAAUCAAUGGAAAUUGAAUUAAGGGUCCGCUGAAAUUUCAAUGGAUAACUCUCUUACAGCCAUGCCCGAGUCAAACGAGCAAGAAGGAGCUCAAUCCUUUAAUCAAACCUCUCCAGCAAGAAGAGCUGGCCUCUUCUAUAAGCUGGUAGUGCCAUCCAUUCUUCAAGACAAGAAGCUGGUAAUCAGUCAUCGGUCGUACCGCCUCUAUUUCGUUUUCUUUCUGUUCCGAUUUUUCUUUUUAUUUUUCUUAUGGGAAAACCAAAAUAAACGGAACCCAGAGUCGGUUUUGGGGAUGAGAAUGUACAAUCAUUUCCAUUUCUUUGCUUACUCGUGAUAAAUGAUUGAUCAAUUGUUUCUUAGCUUUAUUUUCUUUUUUGCUUAAGUGGGGUGUGAUACAAUCGUUCAUUUUAGAUUGAUGGUGAAGAAAUUCAGGGAAAAUGCCUCUUGGUGAUUAGAUUCUAAGCCGAUUUUAGCUACAAAGUUUUUAUGGUAGUUCCGUACUGUUGGAUUUUUUUUUUUUUUUUUUUUUCUGUUUUUAAGAUUAGAGAGAUGAGAGACCUAAAGCAAAAUUCUUUUUCUGCAAAGAUGUGGAGGGCAACCAAUUGGAAGCUGAUCAAUGGGUAUCAAUAGCCGAGAACGGGAUUUGGGUUGUGAAUAAUUGGGUUUUAUCUUUUGCAGCUUGAGUUUAUUGGGGUUGAUUGAUCUUUACUUUUCUAAUUGGCCUUGAACGAUCAACUUUUUCAAUUUCUAUCUGUAAUGAUGUACUGCGAGCACCCCUGUUUUCACUUUAGGCAAAUAAUUUGUGUGGGCGAUUGAUUUAACUAAAUUGAACAGGCAGUGAACAUCAGUUAAUAGUUAAACUGCUGGAGGAUAGUGUUUUCUUUCUCUCCUUUUCAUUGUGCCCUUGAAAAAUUCCAUUAAUGGGGUUGAAAUAUCUGCUGUUCAAUGAAUUUUGGAGGCUUAUGUAUGGCUAUGCUUACUGUUGAGUUGACUUGUUUAAGAAAGAGUGAGAAAACCAUGAUUCUAUCUAUUAUCGCUUUUUGUAACUAUUCACAAGUUUGACUCUGAUAAUGGUAUUGACAGUUUUGUUAAUGAUAGAUACUUUCAUUAGAAAUCCCGCAGAUCGGGGUAUUUUCUGUUUGCAGUAUUGUUUGUUUAACAGAUUAAUUUUAUUUAUCUACAGAAAAUACCAAACAAGUUUGCUAAGAAGUUUGGAGGUGAUAUUUUGGAUCUUGUUACUCUGGUUGCUCCUAAUGGUUAUCGAUGGGUUCUGGAAUUAAAAAGACAUGGCCGUAGUAUGUGGUUUGAGGAUGGUUGGCAUGAAUUUGUCAAACACCAUUGCAUUCAAGUUGGACAGCUCUUGGUCUUCAGAUUUGAAGGAAAUUCCGUUUUCAACUUUUACAUGUUCAACCUAACUGCAAUUCCAAAUGGUCCAUGCAAUACUUCAAAUGCUUCCAUUGAACAAAACGAUGGCGAACAAUGCCCAGAUACACUUGGAAAAGAAGCUGAAUACAAGAAAUUAGUUGAAAUAUUAGGAACUGGUUCUCCUGACCCCUCUCCACGUCCUUCUGUCAAGGACCUUGUUUGUGAGUUUCCAGAUCAGCAAAAAUUCAAUGGAAGUUGCAAUGGGACUAGCAUUAAGAAUUUUAUGCAUUGGUUCGACACAGAGAACCUGCAUCCUCUAAAGGAUUUUGAUAAUCCACUAAAGCAUUUAGAUAAGUUGCGCAUGCAACUACUAAAUUCAAAUCGAGAUAUCGGUAUACAGUUCGACGGGGAUGAGCUUGCGAAAGCUAGAGAAAAUCAUGACUUUCAAUUGAAUCAAUCCUCUGAUGAAAGAGAGGAAGGAGCCAUGAAAAAGAAGUUAAAACUUGAACCAAGUAAGUUCUAAAAAUGCACAGUUUAACUAAUUUGCAGAUUCUGAGAAAUAAAUUGGUUCUUAAUAUCAAAAUUCAAUGUAGUUGACUACUACAAUGACAAUGAGCCAAUAGACGAAAAAAAAUGUGGAAACGUCCCACAUAAAAUUAAUAGGAUGGCUUUUGGAGUUGAGGAGUUCAAGUUUGGUAAUCCGUUUUGCUGGAUUGUUAUGAGACAAUCCUAUAUACGAAGAGGGUUCCAUUUGGUAAGUUUUUUAGCUCUACACUCCAUUAUUUGAUUCUCAACUGUAUGCUGAAGUAGAUAGUACAAAUGAACUUUUUUUUUUUCGUUAUUGACAGCAUAUACCAUCCAAAUUUGCGGAGAAGUAUCUAAAAGGGGUCUGGGGCGAUAUCACACUUCAGGUUUCAAGUGGGAAGCAAUGGCGUGUUCGAUGCAUUCGUGAAGGUCCUGGCACCAAGUUAACCAGGGGAUGGGCUGACUUUGUCGUGGACAACGAUUUGAAAGAAGAAGACGUUUGUGUCUUUGAGCUGAUUAAUAUGAAAGAUAUUGUGAUGCAAGUUACAGUAUUCCGUGUCCAUGGUGAUCCAACAAAAACUUGAACCCGAGGUAAUCUUUUUACUGAAUUUGACGUCUAUUAUGUAAUGUUUUCAACGUUGACUGCUCGUUUGUCUUGCAUGCUUCAUUAGAUUAUAAGUAGUACUAACUGUUAAGUUUGAGCACAAAAUAGAAUUGAUUAUGAAAUAGUUAAGAAAUUUGAGAACAAAAUAGAAAACCAUUCCUCAGAAUUCUCAGCCAAAUGGUUUACUUACUCUAGUAUAUAUAGUGAACUGUUCCACUGAUGAUUUGAUUGUGUGCCCCUUGUGUCUUGAGGAGGUGAAGUAAAUGGAUUUUGGGUUUACAUGUAGAUUCAAAGUCUCUACGGAGUCUGGCUUCCUUAAAACAUUUAGAGGAUCAUAACUAUGGAAAUUAAGGGCUGUUUUUUAUGUUUCUGUUUCUUGUUUUUUUAGGAAGAAAGAAGAUGAAAAUUUUAUUUGAUGCAUUCUUUUAGGAGAAAAAUGUAUUUGAUUGUCAGAUUUUCAUUUAGUAACCAUUUUAUUAUUUUUUACUUUCUCAAACUUUAAAAUCAAAAGCUUUACUUGGAAAUUAUUUUUCUAAACAUAAAGUAUUUUGCUUAAUUGUCGAAAGAACAAAAUAUCUAAGUUUUUGUUCGAUAACCAUAUGGUUUUUGACUUUUAGCUUUUGAAAAUCAAGAUAUGAACAACUUUUCCACCCUUAAAUUCCUAAAUUUGUUAUCUAUUUUUACCAAUAUUUUCAAAAAUCAAGUCAAGUUUUGAAAAUAGCAAAUUGCAAAAGCCCCAUAUAAGUAUGGUGGUAGUUGCAAUUAUAUCUUCUAAGUUUAAUUAUAAAAAUUAGGUACUCAAUUUUUUACGAAAUUACACCUUCAAGUAAUAGCUUUGGGCUUCCAAAUGAUAAAAAUGACCCUCAAAUGUGUACAAUUGUUAUAAUGUCUACAAUUAUAUAAGUUUGAAGGUCUAUUUUUAACACUUGUACAAGUUUGAUGGCUUACUUUUUAUAAUUUUGAGGAUAUAAUUGCAACUACCAACAUACUUCAAGAGUGGUUUUUGUAAUUUGGAAAAGUAGUUUUUAAAAUUUUACUUUUAUUUGUGAAAUUUGUUAAAGAACUCAAUUUAAAGAAACAUAAACAUUAUUGUAAGAAAUUAAGUGGAAAUAUGUUUAAUUUUAGAAACCUAAGUAAUUAUCGAGGCUUUUAAACUAUCCCAUCACGUUUAGUUUUUCAAAUGCAAUGCUUUUAAGUGGAGAAAAAAGAGAAAAAGAUAAACAAUGUUUAUUCAUGUCUCUUAAUAAUAAAAAACAACAAGCAACAAACAAUAGUCCCAUUCGAUAACCAUUUUGUUUUUUGUUUUUAGGAAUUAAGCAUUUUAAUUUCUUACAAUAAUUAACAUUUGUCUUAAAUAAAAAAGUUGAAUUCUCAGCCCAAUUUAAAAAACAAAAACAAGUUAUCAAAAAUUGGUGAAUUGGUUUUAAAAACUCUCCUACAAUAUAACCAACAAAACUGGAUAAUGGAUGAAAAAUAAAAAUGAAUUUUUAUCACGAGAAACAUGAAAGAGUUAGAUGUCCAUAUAUUAACCCCUUGAGAAAUGAGAUGGUACAUGUGUAUAUUCUGUAACUAUAGAAAUUAUCCUCCCUCUUGUUUCUCCAUUAAUCACGCAUCUGAAAAUCUCAUAUCUUAACAUUCUACUGUCUGCACUUUUGCAGGAAAUUGGAAAAACCCCAACUGGAACAUCCAGUUUAUUGUUAUGCAAUUAUGUUGGAAUUUUUCUCCAAAGACAGAUGACAAUGAGGUCUUGGUUUACACAACACCUUGUUGUUGCAGUUUAUCCUUGUAACCUUGCCCAUGUCCAUUUUUCGUCUUUAUCAUUUACAGUUUUUUCUUCAAAGCAUGAAGUUGAAGAGUGGUUGAACUUUGAAACUCCUGUGCUUAGACCUCCAUUGUAAAUUCUUCCCUGAACGGAAAAGUAAAAAAAGUUGGUGUUUCUUUUCUCCGUAAUGUAUAUUGGCAUGAACUUUGAACUUUUUUACUCAAAAAGUUGGAGAGACUGACUCUUCUUUUCCAAGGAAAUGGAUGCCACCAAUGCAAGAACGAAUCUGUUUCAUUUCAUUUGUGAACAAGUUGGGUAAACAGUUUGGACUUGGCAGGCGCCAGUAGUCAGAGUAGUUUCCCAUCAAAUUAUGACUAUUCGGUUAAUGUAUGUUUUUUGGUAUAGUUUCCCUUUAACUAAUUGAUUUUAAAAUGUAACAUAUUAAUUCAAUAGUUUUGAGUUUGAUUUCAAUCUAGUUUAGAAGUUUCAAAAUGUUAUAACUUUCUCGUUGAAAUUUGAGUUAUGUAUCAAUUCCAUAUACUUCAAAAUUUAUGUCUACUAUUUUAAUUUUCGUUAAAUAUUCACUUUUAGUCCUGGAGGUUAAUGUCUAGUAAAAUUUUAUUAAUCAAUUAUAAUCUUUUUAAAUUAAUAGAAGAUGAGUAUUUUAUAAAAACUUGAGGUUAACUUGUAAACCUUGAAAGCUUUUAAGGAAAUAUUAAGAACUAUAAUUGUAGCAUUACAUUUCAAAAAUAAAAUUCUCAAUAAUAAUUACAAAAAAAUUCAAUAAUAUAGCAGGAUAAAAGUAAUACAAUUUGGUUAUAAACAAAUAAUAAAAGCAAUCAAUUCUGAGAGCAAAAUACAAAAACUCCUCUUUGAAAAUAAAUAAAUUAAUUGAUUUUUAGAUUCUUUCGAGUGAAAAAAAUGACAGUUUAUAAAAACGCCUGAAAAUCAAUUUGUCACUUUCUAAGAUUAUAAAACAUAACGUGUAACGCUUGUAUUUAUAAUUUUGGCACAAUUUUGUUCCAAAAUAAGAUAGUUUUUAAAUUGGAAUGUAAUGUUAAAUGGGUGUUUGUUUUUAUUAAUUUCGUCUCUUUGGUUGGAGAGAAAGCAAAUAAAUAAAUAAAUAUUCUUAUUUAUUUAUAUUUUUUUAAUAAAAAAAUAUAAAAAAAACAAAUAAAUCUUAUUAAAAGAAGAAGAAAACUGAAUAAAAGGAAAAUAAACUAAAGUAAAAAGAAACGCCGUUGCCGGGGAUCGAACCCGGGUCACCCGCGUGACAGGCGGGAAUACUCACCACUAUACUACAACGACUUGUUGAAAUGAAAUGAAGAUUUAUUUUAUUUAUCUAAUAUUUCAUGAAUAUAUGUUAGCAAUAGAAUGCUACAUAUUUCUUUUCCAAUCAAAUCUUUAAACGGAUUGAUUUUAUUUUUAAUAUAUAAAAUACAAAAUAGAAAAUUUGUAAAAAUAAUAAAUUUGAUAAAAUAUUUAGAACAUAUAGCAAAAUUUUGUUAUAGUUUAUAAAUAUUUUAAUUUACAUUGUUGUUUUUUUAAGAAGCCUCUACAAAAUAUUUGAAAUAAUAGGAUUUUCGCUCUUAAAUCCUUACUUAAGCACUUUUCUCGUCUUUUUAGUUAAGCUAAUAUAUUUGUGAUUGCAUUAAUAUAUUUUUCACAAAGGAAAUAUAAUGUUUGAGGGUUAUUUGAUAGGAUUUCUAAAUUUUAAGAAUUAGAAUUGGUAUUUGAUGUACAUGAUUUAGAAGUCUUAGUUUCUAAAGCUUAUAUUUGAGUUAUUAUGGACCAUCUAUAGCCUAUGUUGUAUUGUGGAUCAAUUUUUAUGAUAAAUUAAAAUGUUUCAUCUAUCCAUUUUAGAAUGAAUUUUAUAUUAUAUUUAUAUGUUUUGUAUUUUCAAAUCAAUUUUUUUGUUUGUAAUGAAUGACGGUGGUUUUAGAUUUAUUGUGACAAACCAAACUAUAAUAAUUUAUCAUAUACUCAUUUUCGUGGAUAAAAAAUCUAAUUAAAUGUGUCGUUUGAAUGUACUAGAGAAAAAAAAUAGUAUUUUAAAAGUUAUUUUUUAUUUAGAUUGUUUUAAUUGAAUUUUCUACAAAUAAGCUGGUAAAACACCUCAAUUUUCACCGGUAGAUAUCUCAUAUUGAGCGUAACAACAAAAACUCAAGGGAUAAAAUCUAAAAUUGAAUGUGACAAAAAAAAUGUAGUUGGAGGGGUUUGGUCAACCUCAUUCUUGGGCUUCCCUUUUUCAGUUCGACCUCCCUUUCCAAGGGCUUUUUGUAAGUUUAAAUCCCAACAUUAUAUAAACAAUAAAAGCUCAAGUCUUUCAACCAAAUAAUUUUCACAAUAAUAUGAAUUAAAGUAAUAUACUUUGAUCCAAGAAAUUGUGUUUUCCUCUGGGCGUUCCUUUAAAACUUGAUUAGGAUGAUGAAAAGAAAAAGUUACUUAAUGAGUUAGAGUGAAGAUCAAUCCUAGAGUUUCAUUUGUAUACAUACCGUCUCAUAUGGGUGUUUAAUUAAAAUAUGUUUUUUACUUGAUUGAUUGAAUAAAAUAAUACAAAAGAUAAAACAACAUAUAUGUGUGGAAGGCGAUCAUUUCACUCAAGGGUGUUGCUUAGUUAUGCACUUGCUCUUUGAUGGGCUAAUUCGUGGAGUUUCAUCUUUCUUUUGAGCCCAUUUUCUGAUUGGUUUCCCGAUGUGUAGGAUAAUAUGGAAGUAUUGUUGGUUAUUAUCUUGAAGGAUGAUUUGGUUCCUUUUUAGUUUAAAAAGUAGUAGGCUUGAGAAUGGGUGAUUUCUAAUUGUCCUUGGUAUAUGGAGGGCACUCCUAUUUUGAUGAGGAAGUAGGUUCCAAACAUUAUUUCUAAGUCCUUUGUAUUUGAUUGGGUGCCCAUUUGAGUGAAGUUGCUCAAAGUUUCUUGAGAAUUGUAGACUCCUAAGUGUGUUGAGUGUUUUGUGUGGCCAAGAGUAUUUGAUUUAGCAAUAUGUAUGGAUAAGACUAUCUAAGAGUUGUGAAUUGUCUACCCAUCUCUUGUGUUGAGGUAAGAGUAGUGAUUUUCCAUGUGUUUUGUGACAAUAUAGUUGCGAACAUAGAAUAUGCUUGGAUGGUGUACAAAUGUGCUUAUUGGGGUGAUGGUUUUGGCCUAUCUAUUGAUAAGCGUGGGGGAGAGGGUUGAUAAGGCACUUUUCUUUUGUACAUUUAGCUCUUAUUAGUGGUGAUUUGAUUCUCACCACUAAUUAGAGCCUAGCUAUAGGGUUGUUGUUCUUUUAUUCAAGGGGCAAUUAGUCUUCUAUGAUGGGAGGUUAGGGUUAGGUUCUUACGUUAGUCUUAUGGCUCACUUGGUGGUGUUUAGAACGUCAAAUUUACAUAAAGACACUAUAAAUUAUUGUAUUCUUUAGCGUUGUUCUAAUGAUGUCUCUGAUUUAGUGGUCAAUUACUGUUAUGUGCUAACGAGUCUUAACUCUUAGCAAACUUUUAAGACUUGUAAAAGGAUUUAGGAUAUUAAUUUAUUUUUUUGUGAUUUUAUUGAUUUCUUCAUGCUCAAAAGUUGUAAGUUUUUUAUAUGUUUUGUUUCUUCUAUUUUGGUUGUAGGAUUAGUUCUCUUUAGUUUGUGCUCUAACCUCAAAUUAAGAGGAAUUAUAUAUUAUAUAUUACGUAUAUCACCUUUAACCAAAUAAUUUGAGAAAUUUUCGUGUUUUUUAAUUUUUAUUUUUGGGAAAUCUUCAUUUUGAUGGAUCAAUAAUGGAUUUAAAGAAAAAAAGAAAGAAAGAAGAAUGCUAAUGUAAUCAAUUUGUGUGACAUUAGAGUUUCCUCUAAAUACCAAAACAGAUUUAGAAUUUGGAGCAUCAACGAAUUUUGUUCAUCUUCUUCUUCUUCUUCACCAGUUUGCAUUUCUAAUAAUGUCUUGAACUUUUCACUGUAACUUAGAAACUGAAGGCUGAAAACUUCCUCUUAGAAUCCUUCGUCGGUUUCACAAUCUCAGGAAAGCGAAAAAAUUGCUCUGAAUUUUCCGUAGCAGAAGGAAAUUGAAUGAGUCUGAAUCAUCAUUCGGAGUCUUUUGGGGUUUUAAAGGAUUUGCAAUGAAUUAUUUCAGGAAAUUCCAUGGAGAAGGAUGAUGCAGGGACUUCACCACCAACAGCAGCAACUAGCGGCCCUUCUCAACGUAGCUUUGCGGAAGGAUGAUCCUAAUCCCACUACCUCAAGUUCCAGUACCGCCGGUGCCACUUCCGACGAGGACGACUCUGCUAGAAUUGCAGCUAUCAAUUCAAUCCAUCGUGCCAUUGUUUAUCCUCCUAAUUCGCUUCUUGUAACUCACUCCGCCACUUUCCUCUCCCAGGGCUUCUCUCAGCUUCUAUCUGAUAAGUAAGACCUCCUCUUCUGGUUAUACAUUGCUGGAGUUUCUUCUCUUGAUUUUUCUGUACCGUUUUUCACUUUGUGGUGCGGAAAGAUCGUAUGGUAUUUUUGGCUUCGAGCUUAGAGUGCAUAUACAUUUUUUCAUUGUUGCCCUUUUUUUUCUAUCUGUGUGGAUUACUCAUGGUCUCUCUAGAAAUGUGCUUAUUAACGAAUUGGAAUUUUGAGCAAAUCCAUGGUGACUGGGCCGCCAACCUAGGAUUUAAUGCUAUAUGGGUUUCUUUAGUACCUAAAUGUUGGAGGGUCAAACGAGUUAUUCGAGAGAUUAGUUGAGGUGCGUCAAACGAAUUGUUCGUGAGAUUAGUUGAGGUGCGUCAAAAGAGGUGUUCAUGAUAUUAUUUGAGGUGCGUGUAAGUUGGCUUAGACACUCGUAAAAAAAGAACGGGAAUUUUGAGCAAGCUGGGGCAAUUAUCCUUUGUGUUGAACUCAAAUUGAAAAUUUUGGUUCUAAGAAAUAUACUCAAAUCUCAUUUUCUUCAAAAUUUUUGGUACUUUUGCUAGUAGUAUAAUGGGAAAAGUAGGUUUUUGCCUAUUGUUUCCAGUUCUUGUUUUAUAUACGUAAAACGGGGAUCCAUAAUUUUUUUUACUGAAUGUUAUUAUUGAUGCAACUAUUUCUUGAUUCCACAUAUUAGGUCAUACCCAGUGAGACAGGCGGCAGCCAUUGCUUAUGGAGCUCUCUGUGCUGUCUCAUGUUCAAUCACUGCAUCACCAAAUGGAAGGCAAAAUAGUGUACUACUUGGAACUUUGGUUGAUCGAUUCAUUGGUUGGGCAUUGCCAUUGCUUAGCCAUGUCACUGCAGGUGAUGCAACCACCAAGUUGGCAUUGGAGGGAUUGCAAGAGUUCAUUAACAUUGGAGAAGCUGGUGCUGUGGAGAGAUUUGCUUUGCCAAUCCUUAAAGCAUGCCAAGUACUUCUUGAGGAUGAGAGAACUCCCUUGUCUUUAUUACAUGGACUAUUAGGAGUUUUAACUUUGAUUUCUUUGAAGUUUUCUAGAUCCUUCCAACCUCAUUUCCUUGAUAUUGUUGAUCUGCUUCUAGGUUGGGCAUUAGUUCCAGAUCUAACCGAUUCAGAUAGGCACAUCAUUAUGGACAGUUUCUUACAGUUUCAGAAGCACUGGGUGGGUAAUUUGCAGUUUUCUCUGGGGUUAUUGUCAAAGUUCUUGGGUGACAUGGAUGUAUUACUUCAAGAUGGGAGUCCUGGGACGCCUCAACAAUUCCGCAGGUUACUUGCAUUACUUUCUUGUUUUUCAACAAUUCUUCGGUCUGCUGCUUCCGGGUUGUUGGAAUUGAACCUUCUUGAGCAAAUAAGUGAACCACUUUCGAGAAUGCUUCCUCAGUUGUUGGGAUGCUUAUCUAUGGUUGGACGUAAAUUUGGAUGGUUGGAGUGGAUUGAUAAUUUGUGGAAAUGCUUGACUCUUUUGGCAGAAAUAUUACGUGAGCGUUUUUCCACCUAUUAUCCACUUGCUAUUGAUAUCCUAUUCCAAAGUUUGGAAAUGACCAGAGCUAACCGUGUAGUGAAAGGUCAGAAGAUUACGUUUCUUCAAGUUCAUGGUGUUUUGAAAACUAAUCUUCAAUUAUUGUCCCUUCAAAAAUUUGGGCUGCUGCCAUCAUCUGUGCACAGAAUACUGCAAUUUGAUGCACCAAUAUCUCAGCUUAGAAUGCAUCCAAAUCAUUUGGUAACAGGUAGUUCUGCUGCCACUUAUAUAUUCUUGCUCCAACAUGGGAAUAAUGAAGUUGUUGAACAAACGGUGGCAUUAUUAAUUGAAGAGCUAGGUAUGUUCAGUGGCUUGUUAGAAAAAGGUUUAGAUCAAAGAGGUAUCAAUGGUAUUCUUGAUUCUCAAUUUUGUUCAACUAUGGAUUUGUUCGCCCUAAUUAAGUUUGAUUUGAGAGCCUUAUUGACAUGUACUAUCUCUAGUGGAACUAUUGGUCUGAUAGGCCAAGAAAACGUUGCUUUCACAUGUCUAAAAAGGUCAGAAAGAUUGAUUUCCUUCAUUAUGGAAAAACUGAAUCCUUUUGACUUUCCACUUCAGGCUUAUGUGGAAUUGCAAGCUGCUAUCCUCGAUACAUUGGACAGGUUGACCACAACUGAAUUCUUUUGCAAGUGCUCUUUGAAGAAAUUGAGCAGCGAGAACCGUUUUCUGGAUUCAGGAGAAAACAUAGAUUCUUAUCAAAAAAAAGGAGAAAACAUAGAUGAAGCCCAUCUAAAGAAGGAUCAUUCAGCUAUUAUUAUUGAGCAACUAACAAAAUACAAUGCUCUCUUCUCCAAAGCCCUUCAUAAAGCAUCUCCACUAACAGUUAAAAUAACAACCCUGGGUUGGAUUCAGAGAUUCUGUGAGAAUGUCGUUACUAUUUUUAAGAAUGACAAGACAUAUGCCAACUUUUUUGAAGAAUUUGGAUAUUUUAGCGUCAUAGGAAACUUGAUUUUUAUGGUAAUUGAUGCCGCAUCUGACAGGGAGCCUAAGGUGAGAUCUAAUGCAGCUUCAGUAUUGGAGCUGCUUCUGCAAGCAAAAAUUGUUCAUCCCAUAUACUUUUAUCCCAUCGCUGACGUAGUCCUGGAAAAACUUGGUGAUCCAGAUAAUGAAAUAAAAAACUCAUUCGUGAGGUUGCUUUCUCAUAUUUUGCCCACGGCACUUUAUGCAUGUGGUCAAUAUGACCUUGGAUCAUAUCCUGCUUGUAGGCUUCAUCUUCUGAGAUCUGAUCAUAAAUCUAGCCUGCACUGGAAACAAGUAUUUGCCUUGAAGCAGCUUCCUCAGCAAAUUCAUUUUCAACAACUAAUUUCCAUUUUGAGCUACAUAUCACAAAGAUGGAAAGUUCCUGUUGCAUCAUGGACCCAGCGGCUCAUCCAUAGAUGUGGGAGAUUGAAAGACAUUGAUUUGAGUCAAAGUGAGGAGAUGGGGAACCUAGGUGCAAAUGGUUUAUGGUUAGAUCUCAGGCUGGAUGAUGAUUUUCUUAAUGGGAAUUGCUCAGUUAAUUGUGUAGCCGGAGUCUGGUGGGCCAUCCAUGAAGCAGCUAGAUACUGUAUUUCUCUACGUCUACGAACGAACCUUGGUGGGCCUACCCAGACUUUUGCAGCACUAGAGAGAAUGCUUUUGGACAUAGCACACUUGUUACAGCUUGAUAAUGAACAUAGUGAUGGGAAUUUAACCAUGGUUGGGGCUUCUGGAGCCCGUUUAUUGCCCAUGAGGUUACUAUUGGAUUUUGUUGAGGCCUUAAAGAAAAAUGUUUAUAAUGCAUAUGAGGGGUCUGCAGUCUUAUCACCUGCUACUCGCCAAAGUUCAUUGUUUUUCCGAGCAAACAAGAAAGUUUGUGAGGAGUGGUUUUCACGUAUGUGUGAGCCAAUGAUGAAUGCUGGAUUGGCACUUCAAAGCCAAUAUGCUGCAAUCCAAUAUUGUACGCUGCGUUUGCAAGAGUUCAAGAAUCUUGUUAUGUCACAUAUGAAGGAAAAGUGUAAUUUACAGGUCGGUGAAAACAUCCACAACACAAAUAAACUUACAAGAGAUAUCUCAAGGGUUUUGAGGCACAUGACUUUGGCUCUUUGUAAAAGUCAUGAAGCAGAAGCUUUGGUUGGUCUACAGAAAUGGGUUGAAAUGACAUUCUCUUCCCUGUUUCUGGAGGAAAGCCAGAGUCUUGGUAACUUUACACUAGGACCCUUUUCAUGGAUUACAGGGCUAGUCUAUCAAGCAAGAGGUCAAUAUGAAAAAGCAGCUGCUCACUUUAUCCACUUGUUACAGACUGAAGAGUCACUUGCUUCUAUGGGUUCUGAUGGUGUACAGUUCACCAUUGCUCGUAUUAUUGAGGGAUAUACAGCUAUGGCUGAUUGGACAUCUCUGGAAUCAUGGUUAUCGGAGUUGCAAUCUCUUCGUUCUAAACAUGCUGGGAAGAGCUACUCUGGUGCUCUAACUACAGCUGGCAAUGAAAUAAAUGCAAUCCAUGCAUUGGCACACUUUGAUGAAGGAGAUUAUGAGGCAUCAUGGGCAUGUCUUGGUUUGACACCAAAGAGUAGCAGUGAGCUAACUCUAGAUCCCAAGCUGGCUUUGCAGAGGAGUGAGCAGAUGCUUUUACAGGCACUGCUUCUCUAUAAUGAGGGAAGGUUGGAAAAGGUGUCCCAAGAAAUCCAGAAGGCAAGAGCAAUGCUGGAGGAAACGUUGUCAGUCUUGCCUCUGGAUGGCUUGGAAGAAGCAGCUGCAUUUGCUACACAAUUACAUAGCAUUUCUGCAUUUGAAGAAGGUUACAAGCUUACAGGCAGUGUAGACAAGCACAAACAGUUAAAUUCAAUAUUGAGUGUUUAUGUUCAGUCUGUGCAAUCUUCUUUUUGUAGAAUUAAUCAAGAUUGCAACCCAUGGAUAAAAAUUCUUCGGGUUUAUCGAGUGAUCUCACCAACUUCUCCAGUCACCCUUAAACUCUGCAUUAAUUUGUUAAGUUUGGCUCGUAAACAGAAAAACCUGAUGUUGGCAAAUAAUUUAAACAAUUAUAUUGAUGACCAUAUAUCAAAUUGUUCUGAUGAAAAGCAUUGUCUAUUUCUCCUUUCAAGUUUGCAGUAUGAGAGAAUCUUGUUAAUGCAAGCUGAGAAUAGAUUUGAAGAUGCUUUCACAAAUAUCUGGUCCUUUGUGCAUCCUCACAUCAUGUCUUUCAACUCAAUUGAGUCGAACUUUGAUGAUGGUAUUUUGAAAGCAAAAGCAUGCUUAAAACUUUCUCGUUGGUUAAAACAGGAUUUAGAAGCUUUGAACUUGGAUCAUAUUAUACCUAAGCUGAUUGCUGAUUUUAAUGUGACUGACAAAUCCUCUGUAAGAGGAGAAUUCUCCAUCUGUAGUGAGAACUUACAUUCUGGACCUGGACCAAGUAUAGAACUUAUCAUUGAGGAGAUUGUGGGUACGAUGACUAAAUUAUCCACUCGUCUUUGUCCUACAUUUGGUAAGGCAUGGAUUUCUUAUGCAUCUUGGUGCUUUGCUCAAGCUGAAAGUUCUCUCCAUACUUCAAGUGGAACUGCUCUCCGCUCAUGCUUGUUUUCUUCUAUACUAGAUCCUGAAGUUCAUUCUGAGAAAUAUAGACUAACUAAAGAUGAAAUCAUAAAAGUGGAACGCCUGAUUUAUGUUCUCGUUCAGAAAAGUCAUGAAGCAAAAAUUGUUAAUGAUGAUCGAAGAGAAUGGAGUUCUGAGACCUUAGAGGAUUUGAAACUUGAUGGCACUGUCAAGGCCUUGUUGCAGCAAGUAAUAAAUAUCAUCGAGGCUGCAGCUGGUUUGUCAAAUACUGAAAACCCUGGGAAUGAAUGCCUAACUGAUGUCUUUACUUCUGAGUUAAAGUUAUUUUUUCAGCAUGCUAGUAUUGACCUAGAUGACACUAGCGCGGUAACCGUUGUUCAGGACUUGGUAGAUGUUUGGAGGUCCCUGAGGAGUAGAAGAGUGUCUCUCUUUGGUCAUGCUGCUAAUGGCUUUAUACAAUAUCUUUUGCAUUCCUCUAUAAAAGCUUGUGAUGGUCAGCUGGCGGGCUAUGACUGCGGGUCAAUGAAACAGAAGUCUGGAAAAUACACACUGAGGGCGACAUUGUACGUUCUACAUAUUCUUCUCAAUUAUGGAGCCGAGUUAAAAGAUUCUCUUGAACCUGCUCUAUCAACAGUCCCACUCUCUCCAUGGCAGGUUUGAUUUCUGUUUCUGAUUUAAAUCAUUUUUGUUUUCCUUUUGGAACUAAUUUGAUAAUGUUGUAGUUUAGAACAUAUUUUUAUUUUAUGAUUCUAGGAAGUGACACCACAGUUAUUUGCUCGCCUGAGUUCUCAUCCUGAGAAAAUUGUGAGGAAGCAGUUGGAGGGAUUGGUGAUGAUGCUGGCUAAGCAGUCUCCAUGGUCUGUAGUAUACCCAACGCUGGUUGACGUAAAUUCUUAUGAAGAGAAGCCUUCAGAGGAACUUCAGCAUAUACUUGGUUCUCUGGUAACAUGAUUUCUUUCAUUAAUUUAAUUUCAUCAAGCCUUUUCAUAUUUAAUACAUUUUAUUUUGAUGAGGAGUUUUCCCCUCUGUUUGAAUGUCUUUAUUUAAGCUUCUUUUGGCAACGGGUGGGAAACUGCUCCUGACUGGAAAAAGGUCUUAAACUUAUUCUAUGUGUUGUCUGAUUAACUGUUGAGUGAUUCAGUCUUUGACACUAACUAAAUUAGUCAAUUCUGGGGCUCUUUAGGUCCUAAAUCUCUGACCUUUUCUAGCUGGGGCUAAAUUAUUCAGUUCACAUAUUUCCUCCAAAAUCAUAUCAGAAUUAGAUCAGUCUUCCGUAUUUGAUUUCUUGAUGGAGUCUUCAUCAGUUUGGUCUUUCUUUUUAUCCUUGCACAAUGUACCAUUAUAUGGUCUCUUCAAGAAAAUGAUAUUGUCUAUUAUAGCUUGAAAAGAGGGACCAUCUCCAAGAAGGAGUGAUGAAUUGAUCUUUUGUACAGGAUGUGAAUUGAUUGUUUGUAGAGGAGUUUUCAUGCUUAAGGAGGAAUAAUGGAAAAACACACAUUUAGAUUCCUGUUAUAGUGGUCUUUAUUUAAAGAAAGAGAAACAUAAGGAUUUUCAAAGAUAAGUUGAUGUUAUUGAUCAUGGUCUUGACUCUUGAGUGUCAUUUUGGCUUCUUUGAGUUUUAUUGACUAGGCUUUUAAAAGACACUUCUAGAGUUUUUUUGAUAAGAGUUGGAUGCCAGUUGUGGUGGAAUCCUUUGGAAAAGUGGGUAAGUCUUCUGUUUAUGGGGAAUAGAGGCAGUUAUUCAUAAUCCGCUAAGUUCAUAACCCAAUGCAAGAAUAUAUGAUGAUGGGCUGGUUUUGUUAUAAGAUCCAAUAUUAAUAUCUUAAAUACUGGACUGCUGGUUUGGAAGAAAAUAGGAAAAGGUAAGAAAAGAGUCUUCUUUCUGAGCUUGAAUCUUUCGAUGCAAAAACUAAACUCAAGGAGAUUUUUAAUCUUCAAUUUGAUAUAUAAUCUACAUUCAAAUGUGAAAUUAUGGAUUCAUAACUAUUGUUUUGGCUGUUUUUUCUUUCUUUUGUUUGAACUGUACUUCGAUUGUUUGCUUCUUUUCAUUUAUUCAUUGAAAAGUUUUGUUUCCUUUAAAAGAUAAACUAGUUGUGUUUUCGGUUAAUUUUUCUAUUUGUGGUAGAAUUUCUUGUAAUAUUUCUACUCUGAAUAUACUUUUGAAUGAUAGUUGGCUCCUUAUAUGAAAAAAAAUCAUCGGCUGCUUUAUGAAUCAUGUAGAAAAAUACCACCUUUUAAUAUUUUGCUGAUUAUACUACCUAGCAAAAUGCAAAUUCGAGUGCCUGCCUCCAUUUUAAAUUGAUAAACUUUCCAAUGGCAUGGUGCUUGUUUGUUGGAAAUGUUUUCGGUUUGAAUCAAUAAAUUCAUGGUUACAGUUGAAAAGCAAGAUUGUUGAAACAUGCUCAUGAUACCUGCAGAAAGAGCAUUAUCCAAGAUUGAUCGAAGAUGUUCAAUUGAUGAUAAAAGAGCUGGAAAAUGUAACUGUACUUUGGGAAGAGCUAUGGCUCAGCACACUUCAAGAUCUUCAGACAGGUGAGAAGCAUGAUUUUAAAUCUACAUAAUGACACUUUUACCUGACAUAAAUUAUUCUAUAAUGCAGAAAUUUGUUUUUGGUUGCCAACUCACCACAAUAAAUAUAACUUCAAGUUUGACCAUAAUUGACCUUUCACGUGAAAUUUAGGUGCCAAAUUUGACCUGUAGGUUCUGAGACUCAGGGAUAUCAUACCUGCUCUAUGAUUUGCCCAAGUUUCCGUUAUUACUGAAUUUCCUGCACUGAGUAGUUGCUGCGACAUAUUGUAACUAGCACUUCACCUUGGCAUGUUGUAACGUUCAAGAACAAUACCAAUUUGUAAAUUAUCCUUUAAUUGAACAUUUUUCUUUUGAUAAGAAACAACUAAGAUAUAUUCAGAAAAGUCCAACAGUCUAGGGUAAGGUUGAGACAACCCCCAAAGGCCAAAAAGAGCUAUACAAGGAGGGUCUUCCAAUCACUAAUACCAUCAAAAGGCUGUAAUUACAUAAGAAAUUAUUCUGUAAAUAUAUUCACCAAGAGGCCAUAUUUUGUGUCCUAUCACAAAAUUUUAAGAAGUGGAAGGGUGUAGAAUUAUCUUCGGAGGUUCUAGACUAGUUUCUUUCCUCCCAAAUAAGCUGCAAAAUGCUCUAAAGGUGAAACUACCCACCACUUUGGCCUUUUUCUUCAGAUUCUAAGCAGCCAGGCCUUCCAACAUCCAAUUGUCAAUGUUUUUAUGGAGACAAAACUGUAAACCCAGUAUUCCUGCAGCGAUCCAAUCUUGAUUGGCAAAAUCACAAUGCAAAAAGAGGUGGCCAAGGCCUUCUGCCUCUUUCAAGAGCAUUCUGCUUUCCAAAGUGGACAAAAACCACCUUCUAAACUUCCUUUGGAGUCUAUCAUCAUUGUUCAAAUUCCUAUAGGCUGAAGACCAAAACUUUAAUUUUCUGAUGGUUGUCAUGUUUUCAUGUAAGCGUAAUCGGAGCAGAGUUUAUGCUAUUGGGCUUGGAAGCAAGACUAAAGGUGGAGUUGGAAGAGUUUAUGUUACUUGAACACUAUCUGUUGUACAUCUGUCACCUUGAAUUAUGAGGAAUGCCAAUUUGUAAAUUAUUGAGAAUUUUGUUGAUUUGUUUUUCCUUAUACAAAGCAAAAGAUUGAGAAGUCUAUAUUUUGCAGAUGUUAUGAGACGCAUAAAUGUACUCAAGGAAGAAGCUGCUCGAAUUGCUGCAAAUGUCACUCUCAGCCAGAGUGAGAAAGACAAGAUAAAUGCUGCUAAGUACUCAGCCAUGAUGGCCCCCAUUGUGGUGGCUUUGGAGCGUCGUUUGGCUUCAACAUCUCGAAAACCUGAAACACCCCAUGAAACCUGGUUCCAUGAAGAGUAUAAAGAACAGCUGAAAUCAGCUAUUUUUACCUUCAAGAAUCCUCCAUCCUCUGCUGCUGCACUUGUUGAUGUAUGGCGGCCAUUUGAUGAUAUUGCAGCAUCUUUGGCAUCUUAUCAGAGAAAGUCAUCAAUUUCUUUAAAAGAAGUUGCACCGAUGUUAACUUUGUUAUCAUCAUCUGACGUACCAAUGCCUGGUUUUGAGAAGCAUGUUAUCUAUUCAGAAGCUGAUAGAAGCAUUGGCUCUAAUCUUUCAGGAACUGUUACAAUUGGUUCUUUCUCAGAGCAAGUGACUAUCUUGUCUACAAAGACAAAACCUAAAAAGCUUGUAAUACUGGGUUCUGAUGGUGAAACCUACACAUAUCUCUUAAAGGGUAGAGAGGAUCUGCGUCUUGAUGCUAGAAUCAUGCAAAUGUUGCAAGCUAUCAAUAGUUUCCUGUAUUCAUCUCAUUCAACUUAUGGUCAAUCUCUCUCCAUUCGCUAUUAUUCUGUAACUCCAAUUAGUGGUAGAGCUGGUCUCAUCCAAUGGGUGAACAAUGUAAUGAGUGUAUAUACUGUAUUCAAGUCAUGGCAACACCGGGUCCAGGUGGCACAACUCUCAGCAGUUGGUGCUAGCAAUUUGAAAAGUUCUGUACCUCCACAGCUUCCACGUCCGAGUGAUAUGUUUUAUGGUAAAAUCAUACCAGCACUCAAAGAGAAAGGCAUAAGGAGAGUGAUUUCACGUAGAGAUUGGCCUCAUGAAGUUAAACGUAAAGUUCUUUUGGAUCUUAUGAAGGAGGUUCCCAAACAACUUCUUUAUCAAGAACUCUGGUGUGCUAGUGAAGGAUUCAAAGCUUUCAGUUUGAAACUAAAAAGGUAUAACUAUUUUGGUUUGUGUUGUAACAUGCUAAACUUUCUUUCUGUCAAAUACAAACAAAGGGCUAAUUGGCAAAAAGUUGUUUUUCUUAUGCUUGCAUAUAGAAAUUUUUAGGUGAUUAAAGGUAUAAUUGUCCUUUCCCCUUUUCAGCAUUUUUCUUUUAUUUUUUUUUCAAAGGGGUAUUUUCCGGCAUGAUUUUAUUUAAGGACGUUUUCUACAGAAAAUUUUAGUUUAUCAAAGGAAUGAUUACCUUUUUUUUCUUGCUUCUUUCUUCUCCUUGAUCUUCUAUUUUUUUUCUCCUCAAAUUGUAAUUUUCUAUUUUUCUGUAAUACUUCUUUUCUGAACUACUCUCCAAUUACUACUGUUUUCAGCAUGAUUUUUAUUUAAGAUUGUUUGCCUUGCAAGUUGUAUUAUGAAAUAUAUAUUCUUCUUUUUUCUUGUAUUUGCUUAACUUUCUAGAAAGUAAAGUUUCAAUUAGGAUUUCUUUACAAAGAAAUAAAAUUUACUGGCAUGUUUGAAAAUCAGGUUUAACAACAGAAAACAUUUAAAAAAUAAAUAUAAUUAAUACCAUUUGUGUUUUCUUGUUUGGUAGAGUAUUUCAAAAACAAAUUUUUUGAAUAAAAAUCUGUAAAAAUAGUAUUUGUUGCAGAAAUAAGUACAAGGUAUUAGGUAUGUUUCCUCAGGAAAAAAAAGAACAUGAGACUUGAGAGUAAACACAGAAAAUAGGUGCAAGGUUUGAAGAAGAGAGAUCUUUUGUGAUAAAGGUAGACGGUGAAAUAUGUUUUGGAUGAUCCAGAGCUGAUAGUGGCUAGGAAAAUCUGAAAAUAACAUUCAGAACUUGUAAAUUUAAAAUUUGGAAUUGGUCAUGUUCAGUUCAUAAUUGCCUGCCAGCCAACAUUUUUGCGAUAAAACUAAAUUGAUGUUGAGCCAUUCUGUGACAGUUUUCCCUUCCUUUCAUUUCUUUUGAUUUGCAAUAAUCUAGAUUCAGUCUGCUAAUCUUGCAAGAUAUAAAAUUUGUUCUCUACUCAGGUAUGCUGGAAGUGUUGCAGCAAUGAGUAUGGUGGGACACAUCUUGGGCUUAGGCGAUAGACAUCUGGAUAAUAUUCUUAUGGAUUUCUCUACUGGAGAUGUUGUACAUAUUGACUAUAAUGUUUGUUUUGAUAAAGGCCAGAAACUGAAAGUGCCAGAGAUUGUUCCCUUUCGUCUCACCCAAACUAUGGAAGCAGCUUUAGGACUGACAGGAAUAGAAGGGACCUUCAGAGCAAACUGUGAGGCUGUGCUAGAAGUUCUGAGAAAGAACAAAGAUAUACUCCUAAUGCUGCUAGAAGUUUUUGUGUGGGAUCCUCUUGUGGAAUGGACCCGUGGUGAUUUCCAUGAUGAUGCCACUAUAGGUGGUGAAGAAAGAAGAGGCAUGGAGUUGGCUGUUAGCUUGAGUCUAUUUGCAUCUCGUGUGCAGGAAAUUCGUGUCCCCUUGCAGGUUCUAGUCAUUUCCACUGAAUGAUAAUUGCUUUAUUUCUAUUUUCCUCUCUUUAAUUAUAGUGUCUUUUCUGCUAGUAUUUCUAGUUCAUUUAUGCUUAUAAACCACCAAUCAAGUUCACCUAUAAAAGGUGUACAAAGAAGAUGACCAAUCAGCCAGAUGCUGUUGAGCCAAUCAUUUGAUUGUGUGAUAAUGUUGGCUAGUUUGAAUGGAAAUCAUGUAGGUGAUACCGACGAUAAAAGGGUCCUUGGAAGUAGUAGUUUGUUAUUGCUGUUUGUAUUAAGUUAACAGGGAGAGAGGUACUUGUAUGGGGGGAAAAAGAGAGAGAAGGAGAGGGUAAGCUGGGAGGGAUUCAGGACCAUCCAACUUCCUUAAGAACUAAUAAUAUUGAUUUGUAAGCCAUGUCUGAGAUUUUGACAUGCUUCAAGUCAAUUAAGUUAUUUGAUGUGUGCUAUUAUAUAUGUAUAACACCUAUUUCCUCAUUUAAAAGAUGGAAUUAUCUCUAUCACACCUUGAAAGUUCUUAAUUUUCAAAAUUCAUUUCUUAUUGUCCAGAAAAUUUUCAGUCCAUCUUGGUAGUGCUUUACUCACUCAGAAGUUAGUGAUCACAAAACAUAAAACUUGGACUCAUUACUGUACAAUAGAUGAAAUGUUCUUUUUUACCCCAAAAAAAAAAAAAAUACUGUACAAUAAUGAUUUAUUGAAUUGUGGAAUUCAAUACUAACCUAGGUUCCAUUAUAACUCUCUAAAUUUAAAAGAACUAAAAUGUUUUGAGUUUAUGUUUAAUAGAUUUUGCUUGUGCAAACUCAUUAUAACUCUUAACAUUUUCCAGGAGCAUCAUGAUCUUUUAUUGGCUGCCCUACCUGCUGCUGAGUCUUCUCUUGAGGUACUGUACUGCUUGACACUUGUAUCUUGUUUGUAAUUUCCUGAGCUUCUACCAUCUUCACUUGUUGCUUCCAUGAAUUUCUCUGAACCAAAUAAUCUAUUCCAGGGGUUUGCAAAUGUCCUAAAUCACUAUGAGCUUGCCUCUACGCUCUUUUAUCAAGCUGAACAAGAAAGAUCAAGCAUAGUUUUGCGUGAAACAUCAGCUAAGUCAGUUGUUGCUGAUGCAACAUCUAGUGCAGAGAAAGUUCGUACACUAUUUGAAAUGCAGGCUCGAGAGCUUGCUCAAGGUAAGGCUAUUGUUUCUGAGAAAGCUCAAGAGGCAUCAACCUGGAUUGAGCAACAUGGAAGAGUCCUUGAUAAUAUAAGGAGCAAUUUGAUUCCCGAAAUAGACAUGUGUUUGAAUAUGAGAGCAAUUGGAGAAGCUUUGUCACUUAUAUCUGCCGUUACGGUGGCUGGAGUUCCAGUGACAGUUGUACCUGAGCCCACUCAAGUGCAAUGUCAUGAUAUAGAUAGGGAGAUUUCUCAGCUUAUAGCUGCACUAAGCGAUGGACUUUCUUCUGCUAUAGCUACAAUUCAAGUUUAUUCUGUUUCUUUGCAGAGAUUUCUUCCUCUAAACUAUGUAACGACUAGUGUAGUUCAUGGCUGGGCUCAGGCUUUACAAUUAUCUAAGAAUGCCCUCUCCUCUGAUAUUAUUUCACUUGCUAGAAGACAGGCUACUGAACUUAUGAUGAAAGUAAAUGAUAAUAAUGAUUCUGUACAAGUCAGUCAUGACAAUAUGUGUGUUCAAGUGGAUAAGUACGCAAAGGAAAUUGCAAAAAUUGAAGAAGAGUGUACUGAGCUCUUGACCUCUAUUGGUACAGAAACGGAAUUGAAAGCUAAGGAUCGGCUUCUAUCAACUUUUACUAAAUAUAUGACGUCUGCUGGCCUUGUAAAGAGAGAAGCUAUUCCAUCUCUCCAGAUGGGACGAGUUACACAUGAUGGGAAAAAGGACAUCAACAUGCAGCUGGAGCUUGUGGCAGAAAAGGAGAAAAAGGAAAAGCUACUAUCUAGUAUUAACGUUGCUCUGGAUAUUCUAUACUGUGAGGCAAGAGGAAAAAUACUGGACAUUUUGAAUGAUAUGAAUGAUGGGAGACUAGUGAAUAGAACUACAUCUCAUGAUUUUAAUGUUGUUUUCUCCAAUCUAGAAGAGCAAGUGGAGAAAUGUAUGCUUUUGUCAGAGUUUCAUUCUGAAUUAUUGGAUUUGAUUGAUGUUAAGGUGCUGAGUGUUGAAAACAAAUAUAAAAGUUGGCAUAGGAAUCAUUCUCAUAGAAAUUGGACUUCUACUUUUGCUGUCAUGUUCUCUUCUUUCAAAGACCUGAUAGGGAAAAUGACUGAUGCUGUUCUACCUGAUAUAAUUAGAUCUGCUAUUUCGGUGAAUUCAGAAGUUAUGGAUGCAUUUGGGCUGGUCUCACAAAUUCGAGGAUCAAUUGAUACAGCACUAGAUCAGUUUCUUGAGGUUCAAUUAGAGAAGGCUUCGUUAAUUGAAUUGGAAAAAAAUUAUUUUAUCAAUGUUGGCCUCAUUACAGAGCAGCAGUUGGCCCUUGAGGAAGCUGCUGUAAAGGGCAGGGAUCAUCUCUCUUGGGAAGAGGCCGAGGAGCUUGCUUCAGAGGAGGAAGCUUGCAGGGCAGAACUGCAUCAACUCCAUCAAACAUGGAACCAGAGAGAUGUACGCAGCUCGUCUCUUGCAAAGAGGGAGGCUAAUUUAGUACAUGCUUUGGCUUCAUCGGAAUGCCAGUUUCAAUCUCUUAUCAGUGCUGCAGUGGAGGAGACUUUUACGAAAGGCAACACCUUAUUGGCCAAAUUAGUUAAACCAUUCUCUGAACUGGAAUCUAUUGAUGAAAUCUGGUCUUCCUCUGGAGUUUCUUUUUCAUCUAUCUCAAAUGGGAUUCCUACUUUGUCAGAUGUGGUGAGUUCUGGGUAUCCAAUAUCUGAAUAUAUUUGGAGGUUUGGUGGACAAUUAAGCAGUCAUUCUUUCUUUAUUUGGAAAAUUUGUGUUGUGGAUUCUUUCCUUGAUUCGUGCAUACAUGAAAUUGCUUCAGCCGUGGAUCAGAAUUUCGGAUUUGAUCAGCUCUUUAAUGUUAUGAAGAAAAAACUUGAGCUUCAGCUUCAAGAAUAUAUUUUUAGGUACCUUAAAGAACGGGGUGUUCCUGCAUUCUUGGCUUGGCUGGAUAGAGAAAGGGAACAUUUAAAACCACUGGAGGCAAGAAAAGACAAUUUCCAUGAACACCAUGAUGAACAAAUUAAAGAUUUGGAAUUUAUUGAGAGGAUCCGAUACAUGCUGCAGGAACACUGUAAUGUGCAUGAAACUGCCAGAGCAGCAAGGUCUACAGUUUCACUUAUGAGAAAACAGGUGAAUGAGCUCAAAGAAACUCUUCAGAAGACUAGUCUGGAAAUUAUUCAAAUGGAGUGGUUACAUGACAAUAGUUUGACUCCAUCACAAUUUAAUAGGGCCACCUUGCAAAAAUUUCUCUCUGUUGAGGAUAGGUUAUACCCUAUUAUUCUAGACCUUAGCCGAUCUGAAUUGCUGGGAAGUUUGCGAUCGGCUACUUCAAGGAUAGCUAAGUCAAUUGAAGGCCUAGAAGCUUGUGAGCGAGGCUCUCUUACAGCUGAAGCACAGCUGGAGAGAGCAAUGGGGUGGGCUUGUGGUGGCCCAAAUACUGGUCCGGUGAUAAAUACUUCUAAGGCUUCAGGGAUUCCUCCUCAAUUCCAUGACCAUAUCUUGAGGCGGAGGCAGUUGUUAUGGGAAACUAGAGAAAAGGUAUCAGAUAUUAUUAAGAUUUGCAUGUCUAUAUUGGAAUUUGAAGCAUCAAGAGAUGGCAUGCUUCAAUUUCCAGGAGACCAUGCUUUUAGUACAGAUAGUGAUAGCAGGGCAUGGCAGCAAGCUUACUUGAAUGCAAUAACAAGACUGGAUGUUUCUUAUCAUUCCUUUUCCCGUGAGCAAGCUUUUCUCUUUUAUGUUGAUGUUGUCUCAUUGCACUAUUAAGCCCUUUUGGUUCUAAAGAAAAAUUGUUUAGAUAUUUUUAAAAAAAUCCUGAAAUCCAGAAUAAUAUAAUAAUUAUCGUCAAAAUAUAUAGGUUCUGAAGAUAUAUGUGGUUUAUUAUCAAGCUUGAGAUAGUUACAAAGUGAAAGUUUAGUCCCUAGAUGAAAGAUAUAUUUUCUAGAAUUGUCCCCGGGAGUUAUAUUUUUAGAUAUAGUAUUUUUGGGGGUAGAAUUUGUUUCUUUAAAGAUGAUACUUGGGCUACAAUAAGGAAAUUUUUAUCUUUCAGGUUAACUGAUGAUUCCUUAUUCUUUGCGUCUUCUACUAGGUACUGAACAAGAAUGGAAGCUUGCAGAAAGAAGCAUGGAGGCUGCCUCAAACGAAUUAUAUGCUGCAACCAAUAAUCUUCGCAUUGCUAAUCUUAAAAUGAAGUCCGCUUCAGGUCAUGCAUCUUUCUGUUAUUUAAGCUGAGCAAGUACAUAGAUAUAUACACAAGCAUUACACAUUUUCCUCAUUUGACAUUUGACAUACGCAAGUUUUUAUCUUUAUGGUUUAUGCACUAAGAUUAUCCUUGUAUACAAUAUUUUCAACAGUACCUUUUGCUCAUUGCUUGAACAUAUUGGCUGUCUUUGUAGGUGAUUUACAAAGCACUCUUCUCAGUAUGAGAGAUUGUGCAUAUGAAUCAAGUGUUGCACUCUCAGCAUUUGGUAGUGUCUCAAGGAACCACACUGCAUUGACCUCUGAGUGUGGUUCUAUGCUUGAAGAGGUAACUGAAUAUAUCUAUGAAGCUCAGGAUUUGAUUUGAGGUGAUUGUGUCGCCAGCAAUAUUUCUGGAUUUGUUGUCAGGAUGUUGUUCCUUCAAAAGGAAAUCAGCAAGUCCUAAAAGGCACCUGCAGGCUUCAAUUUCACUAAUCUCUUUUACAGAAGACGAUAAUGGUUAACAUGGGGCCAACCUGAACAUAGCUCUGUUGAUUUGAAUCAACUUUUAUCAUAUCUCUGAUUGCCAUCAAUUCAUCUAAAAUAAUCGAUAUAUUAUUCUAUGCACAAUGCAUCCAUCUUUUUUUUGUAGGCUUAAAUUUCAGUAAUCUCUUGUAUGGAAGAUGAUAACUGUGAUUAACAUGAGACCAAUCUGAACAUUACUCAAUUGGUUUAAGCAUAUACCUUCGAUUUGAGAGGUCAAUGAUUGAAUCACCCAACAAGAUGUUAAACUGAAAAAAAAUAUGGUUGUGGGAAGCAAAAUAAAAUCGUUAAAGAUUUUCUAUGCUUUAUAGAUGAUUCUAAAAUUUGCUCUCAUUGGCAUCUUUUCCUUCACCUGUUUAUAUGAUUUUUUAAUUGUUUGCACUUAAGAUUGUUUGAUCUCUUUUGAUCAAGUAUAUGACAAAGUUCUUUUUCUGUUCAAAUGCAGCUAAUAUUUCUACAUUUCCUGUAGGUACUAGCAAUAACCGAAGAUCUGCAUGAUGUUCAUAAUUUGGGAAAGGAGGCUGCUGUAAUUCAUCGUCAACUUAUUGAAGACAUUGCGAAGGUAUUUUGAUCAAUCAUUUACGUGACUAAAUCCCAGUCUAUUUAAUCUAGACAUUCGUGCUGCAGAGCAUGAUAGAGUAGUCUGCUUCCAACUGUAGUCAGCUUAUAGCAUUCCCCAUGUGAAUUGAUACUGGUUAUGGUAUUUCCCAUUCCAGUGCCAUUGUUUGCUUAUUGUUUCACUUCUUAAGCAGGCAAAUUCAGUCCUCCUUCCCCUUGAGGCAAUGUUAUCCAAGGAUGUUGCUGCCAUGAUUGAUGCUAUGGCUAGAGAAAGAGAAAUCAAGAUGGAAAUAUCACCUAUACAUGGACAAGCUAUAUAUCAGUCCUAUUGUUUGAGAAUUAGAGAGGCCUAUCAGAUGUUCAAGCCUUUGGUCCCUUCUCUGACAUUAUCUGUGAAGGGUCUGUAUUCCAUGUUUACCAAGCUUGCACGAACAGCAGGUCUCCAUGCUGGAAAUCUUCAUAAAGUAUGAAUGGAGUCUAUAGUUCAGCUCGUUGAUUUCAUGAAUUAUUUUACAAUGCUUCUGAUGUUACUGAAUUUCCACCAAAUGUGAAAUCUACUUUUUCAGGCUCUUGAAGGACUAGGAGAAAGCCAGGAAAUUAAGUCAGAGGGAAUUCACAUAACUAAGUCUCAGUUCAAUAGUGAAGUAGAUGCAGUUGACUUCGAAAAGGAGAGAGAAAGCCUCUCCUUGUCUGAUAGUGAGAGUAGCGGAGAUAUCCCUGAUAUUACCAGACUUUCUUUGCAAGAUAAAGAAUGGUUAUCUCCACCUGAUAGCUUCUGCAGCAGCAGCUCUGAGUCUGACUUCACCACUAGUAGCUUUCCAGAUAGCUCCAACGACCUAACAGAGGAUAUGGGUCAACACUAUAACGGGUCUAGUGACAGAGAAGCUAGAGUUAUUCCAAAAAUUACCUCAUUUUCUCAAACUGACGUUGGAAAAAUGUUACGUUUGGAGGAGUCAGAAACAAAAUCCACAGAUGGUAGCCAAACCUGUUUUAGAAAGUUAUCAACCAAUGAGUUCAAUGGAGGAAUUAAAAUUGUUGCAACACCACCUGAUGAAUCUAUUGAAGUUCCUGCUAUUGCGUCACAUCCGUUGAAUGAGACUGUUGAAAGACUGGAGGAGGAAAGUGGUGUAACCUCAUCAGAUAAGAGAUUAGAAGAUGAAAAUCAAGAGGCUCCUCCAGCUCAGAAGGCUGCUUGGAGUCGUGCAAGCAGGGGUAAGUAGUGUACCUUCACUCAGACACAUAUCUAUUAUCCUUAAUUCCCAAUUAGCGUUUCCACUGCUGCACUAGAUGAUAUUUAUGAUUACAUGUUUUAUUUAUUGAUCGAUGUUCUUAAUGUUUUCAUUAUUUUAAAUUAUGCAUAUGUGGAUAGGGGAAUUAGCUAUUUUAGAACGGAAAACUAUCACAAAGAAUACAACUGUAAGGAAUCUCCACAAGAGUCGCAAUAUAUUAUCACGAUCCCAAAAUUCAAAGUUCAUACCAGUUCGAGAGGGUGGAUAUCUCCUUGCUGUAUCACCAUCUAAUACAAAAGAUAACAUAACCCAAAAUACAAUGACUAAAAAUAUUAUGUUGUUUUGUUUAUCUUGUAGUGUGCUUCUAAUGCGUAUUAAAUCAGAACUACUGUUCUUUAUUGCAUAUAAAUUAGCCUCAGUUCCUUGCUUUACUUUCGGAUUCAGUAAAAUUUGCUUUUGAUUAUUGGAAAGUCAGCACAAUUUUCUUGUAUAUGAGCUUUGCAUUCAGAGGGAAAACUGAAUCGUCCCCAUUUGAUGUGGCAUUGCAUAUUUCAUUCCAAAAGUUGAAGUCUUGUGUUAUGGUCCUCUCAGGUAGAAAUGCAUACGCAACGUCUGUUUUACGGCGUGUAGAGAUGAAACUCAAUGGAAGAGACAAUGUCGAUAACAGGUACCUACUCUUAACUUGGCGCUGUUGACAAUCUCUAUGCUGGAUUUCUAACUAUCUUUUAACUAACAGAGAACUUAGCAUUGCUGAGCAAGUGGAUUAUCUACUUAAGCAAGCAACGAGUGUAGACAACCUGUGCAACAUGUAUGAAGGUUGGACCCCAUGGAUUUGAAAUUUGAAGACCGAGGAAUCUUGGAUACCUGUACUGAUGGAUGGUUAGCAGAGGUUCGUCGAGAAAUACUAGCACCAGAUUCAUUAAUCCAGAACUUGGAAGAACAUGCUGGGGUAUGUUCAAAGUUACUACCAUGCGGGACCUCUUGUUUGCUGCAUUGGUUCGCCCUACAGCUGGAUUCAUUUCAUCAUAUGAAUUAUUCAGUCACAGUGUGAAAGAAAGUAACAGCGAUUGCUCGAAAAGCUGCGCAAGAUCCAUCUUGGCAUUUCCAUUACUGAGCUGUGCACAUGAACUAUUGACGAAGUGUCCAAACAGCGUUCACGUUCUUCACGUUCCAAUAUGCUGCCCCACGCAAGGUCGAGGGCAGGUAAUAUGGGCCACGUCUGGGGCUUCAAAGUUAUAACGAAACCAAGCUUUGGUCCAUUUGGCAUCUGAGAUGUUGCUUGGGAAUAUUGCAAUGUUGAUGCUGAGGAGUUGUGGGUUUUUGGUAACGAGCUAUUUACUGCGUGGAUAAUCUGAAGAAGGUAGAACAUCACUUCCGCAGAAGAUGAGAAAUUGCAUAAUGUAAUGAAUUAUUGUAUCAUUUAGGAAAAUGAUUAUUUAGCCAUUCAAAUAGGUUAUAUACUUUAUCCAUAACUGUGAAAAUUGGAAUGUAAAUGUAGACUGUAAAUGUCAUGAUAGUUUGUCACUCUUUGUUUUGUUGGGUUUUUACUUAUGUAUGGAUGUUAUGUGAUGUUAUUGAAGGCAAGUUGAUUAAUUUGGUCAAAUAAUUACAUUUUUUUUCAUGCCAGAAGAAACACCAUUUAGUAUAUUUUCAAAGUUUAUAACAAGAUUAUGCUAAUGAAAUUACUUAUUACUUAUGCACUACACCCAUCAAUUUAUCUGACUAUUUAUUUUUUUCAAAAAAGUUUUUAAAAUUCUUUUUUAAGUGAACAAUAUAUAAAUAGGUACAAUCCAACUUACAAUGUCCACGUCACCAACAAGGAUAGACUUGAAGUGAAGUAAUGAAUCCACAAGCAAAUGGUUUAGUCUCUUCCUAUGGGAAGUGAAGAAUCUCCCUUUUCCCAUAGAAUAGAAUUAAAAAUCCCUUUUCCCAUAGAAUAGAAUUAAAAAUCCCUUUUCCCAUAGAAUAGAAUUAGACAAACAAAUUAAAUGAAACUCAAAACUCAAAACUCAAAACCAACCAAUUCUAACAGUUUGUUAAGCACACAGAUAUAAAUCCAGUUUUUUGAAGCUUACUCUUUAAGUGAUCUUAUUUAUAUUGAAACUCUCAUGUUCCUCUAUUUUCCAUCAUCGCAAAUAUAUUUUCCUCUACUUCUUACUCUAGAUUCUAUUACUCCUCGUCAUGUCGGGGCUCGUAGACCUAUGGACUUCUGAGCAGGCUAAACUCCGCCACGAGGGUGGCUCCUCCCCCGCCGCUCCCACCGUUGAUGUGGCUGAACAAGGAAGAUGGAACUCCACUGAGUUAACUCGAGUUUGGGACCGAGUAAGACGACUCGGUAUGAAUGGGAAGAUGUGUUCUGAAGCUUCUGUUUGUAUGUUGGUUGAAUUUAUGAGUCCAUAGAGAUUCAAAACAUCUCACUGUACAUAAAACACUUUCAAUAAAACUUUCCUUUUUCAAUAUCUAUAAUUUGCCUUUAGUUACUUGGGUUAGAGAAUACGAGUAUUAUAUAUCAAUUCAAUUAUGUUCCUUUUGGCUUGAAAUACUAUUUUUAAUAUAACUAUGCGGUGGGGUGGGAAUUGAACUUUCGACCUUACCUUCAAUUUCAAGAAGGUUUGAAUCAAGAUUUGCCAUUUCUUCAACUUUCACUUUCACUACUAUCAUCCCAUGUAGCCUUCAUUGUCUUCUUCUUGGAUUUCUUAGAUGAUUUGAGGAGAGGACAAUCCGUUCUUAUAUGACCCAAUCUUUUGCAUUCAUAACAAAUCACCUCAUCUUUUUUGCUUUUCUCACCUUUUGACUCUUUUUAGAUUGAUAGGUGUUUCUUGAAAUAUUUCUUUCUUUUUAUGAAACUUUUGUAUUUACGUGAGAAAUAAGCAAUGUCAUCUUCAUCAAGGCCAUCCUCAUCUUCGGGAUCAACUUUCAAGGAGAUAGUCUUUAAUGCAAUGGUCUUUUUCUUUUUUGACUCAUCCUCCAAGUGUUCAUUCAUGAUGAUCUCAUGAGUCAUGAGUGAGCCAAUAAGCUCCUCUAGUGGAAGUUUGGUGAGAUCCUUUGCUUCUUGAAUUGCCGUUACCUUAGCUUCCCAAGUCUUAGGUAGAGACCUUAGAAUUUUUCUAACAUUUUCAGAAGUUGUAUAAACUUUACCAAGACCCUUCAAAGCAUUUAUGAUGUUAGUAAAUCUAGUAAACAUAUCGGUGAUAGUCUCAUUAGCAUCCAUCUUAAACAAUUCAUAAUUAUGAACAAACAUGCUAAUUUUAGACUCUUUAACUUGAUUUGUUCCUUCAUGAGUAAUUUCAAGAGUAUUCCAAAUUUCUUGAGCGGAAGAACACAUGGAUAUUCUAUUAAAUUCAUCUUUACUCAAGGCACAAUACAAACAAUUAAUAGCCUUAGCAUUUAAAGAACACUUUUUCAUUUCAUUUUCAUCAUACUCUUCUUCUAAUUUAGGCGUAUCAACAUUAUCAACAUUUUUCAUGGGUACAUAAAGACCUUUAGCAACAAUUAACCACAAAUUAUAGUCAAUAGAUUGCAAAUAAAUUUUCAUUCUUGCUUUCCAAUAUGCAUAAUUUGAAUCAUCAAAAUAAGAAGGUCUAGAAAUAGAUUGACUUUCAACAAUCCCAUUUGCCAAUAGGUUUGCUAUAAUGCUCUAACAAGAAAGUUUAUCAAGAAAUUAAAAUUUCAAGAUGAGCAACCUUACUCUGAUACCAAUUGUUGGAUCGGUAUGGCAGCCCUAGAGGGGUGAAUAGGGUUUAAAUAAACUUUUUGACAAAUAAAAAGUAAAAUCAACUAAUUAGAUAUUUUUUUAAUUUAAAUGAUUGAAAAACUUUGUAAACUUUGUUAAAUAAUCAAGAUUGAUAAAAAGAUAUGAAUGGAAGUAUACAAUCAAACUCAACCAAUAAGAAUAUGUAACUAAAAUUAAAUUAAAAAAUAAUUAGAAAAGAGUUAGAGAAGAAGACACCGUAAUUUUAUAGUGGUUCGGUUAAACUCAACCUACAUCCACUUUCCCAAGCACCUCUUGGGAUUUUGAUUGAAAAUCUUCUUUGGACUCUUUCCACGGAUUUGAGCCGAACCGAUUCUUGCUCCUUUUUCGGGUUCAAGAGCAAACCCGAUCCUUUCCACGGGUUAGGAUCCAACCGUUACAAUAUGUUGAAAUUUUUAAAUCACACAAAAGAAAACUCUCUAAAAGAGUGAGUAUACAAUUUGAAGCUCACAAAUUUAAUCCUCACAAUACAAUAAGAAGCUCUCAAGAAUAAGAUGAAAAGAAUAAAAAUUGGAAGCUUUAGGGAGAAUAACAAUGUUGGUUUUUUGCACUUUUUCAGGAUUGUAAAGAUUUAAUGAUCUUGUGUCUUUUUAAAAUUUGGGAAAAGUGAAGUAUUUAAAAAGAGAGAAAAGAUAAAUUCAAAAUCAUUUUGGGUCAUUAGAUAUAAGUAAAAGAAAAAUAAAUGAUUGAGAUUUAAACUCAAUUAGCCGUUAGACACAAUACAAAUAAUAAUAUAAUAAUAUGGCUUUUCAAAAUACUUUGUUUAAAAAAAAACCAAUAAAGCAACUUCACCAUUUUUUUUAAAAAAAAACUAGCCGUUAGACAAGGAAAAAUAAUAAUAUUAAAGUCAUUUUCUUUAUAAAAGCCAGUAAAACAUAACCAAAAGCCACAUUUGUUACUCCUUCAUUGCUCCAAGUGGCUUUCUCUAAUUGGUUCAAAUUGAAUGCUUGGUCGCCACGUCACCAUCUCGGGUAUUUUUUCGUUAAGCUUCUUUUAGCAAUAUUUUCUUCAUUUGAACUUCGAUUUGGGUGAUUCAAGAGGCGUUAGAAUCAUUUUUCCAAGCUCUACGAUAUGGUCUAUUCAAAUUAAUAAAAUUGUCAAUAAAAAAAAUCAGAUUUGUUAUCAUCAAAACAUAAAUUAAUUGAAUAAUUAAAAUAAAUUAAUUUGAGAUUAAGGGCCAAAAAGCCAACAAUCAACUCAAGUGAGAUCUUUAAAUAAGAACCGAGAUAACAUACUAAAAUACCUAAAAGGAAACGAUUGCUAGCCUACUCAAUAUGCAAAUGACAAUAAAAACAUAAUUUGUAAACAACAGUAAGCAAUAUUCACCUUAUUUUUCAUGAUGGCUUCCAAAGAUAUGAAAUGUGAAAGGAAAGAAGAGAAAACUCAAACAAUUGUAGAAAGUUUCUUGGGAGUUGGUGGUGAAACUUCUUGAGAUAACCAUUUCAUUUUUCAAUAUAACAAUUAUAUUUUCGGUUAUGAGAGCAUUUUCGUCACAACUGAAAAAUUAAAUCUGGGAUGCAUGUUACUAUAUUCACAAAAACUCGAGCAAAUCUCCAACAUACAAAUUAUAUUAUAUCUUGGGAUCGAUUAUGGUCGAGAUUUUUCGAAAAAAACAAAAAUGUAAUUUUUUUUAAACUAUGCUACUUUUGAAAUGUAAAACCUAAGCUGUGUUGUUUUUGUCAAUUUGUCAUUUUUUUUCUUACAAAAUUUCAUGUAAUGUUUCAUGAAACAAAAGGCAAAGCAAAAACAUAUCUAAAAUCAAAUCACAAACUCAUUUAUAAAUUUAUACAUAAUUUAUUGAGAAGCACAUGUUUUGAUUUAAUUUAAGAACAUGCGUUGAUUUUCUUUCUAGUAGGAUAAAAAAAAGUUCCAAAGAAGUUUAAAAAGUCUAACUUAAACGGACCAUAAAUCUACCUGUGAUUUUGUUUUUGGAUAAUUAAGGAUUUGUAGAAUUUUUUUAAGAAUAAUAAUUAAGUGUAGAGCAACAUUUUCAAAAUAUUGUAAAUUUAGCAAACUCAAAAUGGUUAUCGAGUGAUGGAUAUAUUAUAUUUCUAAUAGAUUAUUUUGACAGAUUUAACUAUAUUUGUAAUGUUUUAAGAUGUUGUUAUUUAUCCUAACAUUUUGAAUCUAAUUAUUAUGGUUUCAACUAUCAUAUGUGUUACUUUUUAGUAGUAUAAAUUUGGGUAAAGAAAUUUGAACGAGGUACGAAUCUUUAAGUUUUAGCUGUGAUGAAAUUUAUACAUAUACCAUCCAAAUUUGAUCUUUUUAAAUGAUAUUUUUUUUGAGUUGACUCAAUUUUAGUAUCAAUAUACUUUUAUAAUUCAAUUAUAGUCCUCCUACUUUCAAUAAAUUUUAAAUUUCACUACUAUGUAAAGAAAUUUACAUGAAAUUUAAAUAAAUGUCAUGACCAUUUUUACAUGAAUAAUUAAACAAUUGACUUUCAUGCAAACAAAUAUAGUAUGUGAAAUAUAUUUUCAAAAUUUAUAUAUAGUAAAAGGUUUUUAAAAAUGAACAAUAAAACUAGCUUUAUCGUUGGCUAAAUUUAUGAUUUAUUGAAAGUGUGCGUGGAUAAAAGUUAGAUAAUUGAAAAUGUAAGAACUAAAAUAUAACAAUUUUGAAGAUAUAGGGACGAAAAUGAAUUUUAACCGUCAUCAUUAAUAUAAAUUAAAAUGAUUAAUAAUAAUUUUAGUUAACAAUGUUCUACAUUAUAUAUUCCAAUUCGGAGUAUGAUUGUGUCAUUACUACUAUUCAUUACAAUAUUAUUGUACCAAAGGAUUAAAAUACUGAUAUGUCAUUGUUGAUAUCGAGAUUUCAAUUUUAUGAAUAUAUUAAUAAAAUAUCAAUAUCGACACAUAUUAAUUUCUAAAAGUUACAAAUUUUUUAAAUUUAUUUAGAUUAUUAAUUUUAUUUUUAACCCAAAACUAAGUUAUAUCCAUACAGUUAUUAGUAUAUUAAAUUUAUAUUAGAAAUAUUAGAUGUAUAUAUUGUCUUUUACGAGCAUUUAUUAAAGAUGUUGGAUAUAUCCAUAGAUAUUUAAUAUAAUUCAUAUCUAACUCAUUGACUUACAAAUCCAUCCACAAAUAUAUCGCAUAUGCAUGGAUAUAUUUUAAUCCUUCGUUAUACCUUCCUAAACAAAACAAAUGCAUAACACAUCUUUCUUCCAACAAUGAAAAAUUUCUUCCAGGUAAUAAUCAAUGUUAUCAAGGACAAAAGGUACAAAAGAUGAAUAAAUAAACACAAAUAUAUUUUUGUUUAAAAGUUUCAAAUUAAGAUUAUACAAUGUUAUUGAAAUACUAUUUGUAUUCCUUUUUUCGAUCAAAUGUAACAACAACAAUCUUUUUCAUUCGAAGAGCCAUCUAACUUGGGAUAGCAAAACCCACCAUUUUUUGUCUGUUUGAGACAAUCAUUAUUACACGAAACAUUAUCGUCUGGGUUUGAGCAGGGUUUUAUACAACUCAUGAAUAUAUCUCCUUUUGCUGCCAUAUGAUAAAAUACCAAUAUUGUUAAUAAUAUAUUUUUCAAUUGAAAGAACAUAACAUUAUGAAACUAUUAGAAGGAUUAUGAGAGAAAAACAUACUUGAUAAGACAAAACAUGUGAAUAUCAUCAAGAUAACGAUGAACACCGUAAAAUUUUUCUGAUUUGCCAUGUCCUUUAGAUGUUAUUAACGUGUUUAAAAAAGUUCGAGGAGAACUAAUUUAUAGUAUCUUAGCAACAAUAACUAAAAAACGGUACGGUGCUAAAUAUGUCGUUAAAAACUCAAAUUGAUUUUGUUAAUUUAGUUUAUAAAAACUAAAGUCUAUAUGGAAUUUUUAGAAAAAUAGAAAGAGAUUGGUAAUUGAGACUAUUUUUAGAAAAAAACUGAAAUGAUAAAUUACACAUGAAUUGAUCCUAAAAGUCAUCUGAAGAAAAAUAGGGUUAGCAAUGUGAGGGGGAAUGGUAAAAAAAAAGAAAAGAAAAAGAAAAAACCAAAUCGAUCAAUUACAACCCACUAAAGAUCCAUAGCAAGCCAUCAAACUAAACUACGAAUGUGAUUGAUAACUCCCUCAUAAGUGAGUUAUUAAGUCCCAAAAGGCUUGACUAUCAAGUAUAAAACAUGUGCAUGUCUUGUUAUAUUUGAUCACUUUAUGACUAAUUUUAUGCAAAAAACCAAGCUACUCAUGCAUGUCUUUUUGAGCCUUGAUUAGCAAAUUAGUAACGUAAAUUAUGUACAAAAAGAGUCCAAUCUUUAGUAAUUCUUGAGUUUAUAUAUCAUUUGAAAUUGUUGCUGUAAUUUUUAACAAAUAGAAAGUUCCAAGAUUUUUGAGAUACGUUCAUUCUUUUCAAAUUCAAUAAAAUCAUAUAAAAAAAUUUGCAUUUGAAUAAUUUGAAUAUAUUCAAGCUAAAUCGUGUAGGAAAAAGUUGCAAGGUGUUCUAGAGAAACAUUAUUUUCUUGAAAAUCUUUAAAAGACGUCGUUUCUGCUUUCCAAUGCAUCACUGAACAUCAAACUCAUGCUAUCUAGAAACUCUAGCUACCGUUUUACAUGUUACAUCAUUCACAGUUAAUAACCAUACCCUAAUAUAAUGGCCGUUGUUGUUUUUGAUUCUUUUCAUCCUUUUCAAUUUUCUUUUGGGUGCUUUCUUUACAAGAACAAGCAUAAGUACUAGCCAUUAUUCAUCUUGAAAGAGAGCUUAGGAAGAUCAAUAGGCAAGUUGAGAAUUUAUCUUGUACUUUUACAUCUCACAUAUUUCAUACAUUCGUUUUCAUCCAUUUAUAAUAUGACUUCUUCUCUUCUUUGCUUCUUGAGUUCCUUAUUUUUCAUUAUGAGCUAAACAUCAUUUUAGGAUUAAGGAUAUACUAAGAAUGUAAUAAAUCCUCCACACGUGUCCUAUUUAAUUACCUUGCUCAACAUUUAUUUUACCUUCGAUUUUAUUGAUUUUAUGCAUUUUUUGAAUUUUGAUUAUCACAUAAGUUGGCAUAUAAUGUUGAGUCUUGUAUCAAAAUAGUUAGAUAAUAAAAUGAAUUAAGAAAAAUAAUAUAGGACAAACAGCUAGAGCCCUAGAAAUAGGGUAUAAUGCCUAUAUGAUCAAUAUUGAAUUGGAGUUAACCAUAUCUUAAGUUGUAGUUAGUCAUAGAAAUAGGUGUUUCAUUGCAUAGUCCUCUAAAUGUUCUUCUUUAUGGGAGUUGGCUCCAUUUGAUUUGGUUAAGUGUCUACGUUGUGUGCACAAUCUCUGAUCGCAUAUAGUUUAACUCCGUUUGUUUUUUUGGGGUCGAUUCUGGCUGAGAUUGCCUGAGAAAAACAAAAAUGCAAGUUUUUUUUUUAAAGUGCGCCACUUUUAAAAUAUAAAACUUAAACUGUGUCGUUUUUGUCAUUUAUUUCUUUUUUUACAUAUUUUGUCAUUUAUUUUCUUUCCAUGAAACAAAUGGAGCAUAAAUAUAUACAAAAUUAAAUCACAAAUUCAUUUAUAAAUUUAUACGUGAUUUAUUGAGAAGCACACAUUUUGAUUUAAUUUAAGACAUGGGUUGAUUAUCUUUCUAGUUGAAUAAAAAAAGUUUCAAAUAAGUUUAAAAUGUCUUUUAACUUAAAUGUACCAUAAAUCUACGUAAUUUUACUUUUGGAUGAUUAAUGAGAGGUAGCAAUUUUAGAAACAAUAAUAAAGUAUAGAUUACUAAAAUUUCAAAAUAUAAUAGAACACUAAAAUUUCAAAAUAUAAUGUUGUAAAUAUAGCAUCUCAAUAUGGUCAUCUAGUGAUGGAUAUAUUAUAUUUUCUAAUAUAUUAUUUUGGUAGAUUUUGACAUAUUUAACUAUAUUUACGACGUUUUAAAAAUGUUGUUAUAUAUGCUAAUAUUUUGAAUCUAAUUGAUAAAAAUGUUAAUAUAUACUUAAUUAUUAUUCAUAAAAUUGGUAUCCAUUAUUAUUACAUAAAAAAAUGUCAAAAAUAACAAAUUUAACAAAACAUAGCAAAAAAUUUCAGACUUUAUCACAUUGAUAGCAAUUGAUAAGUUUCUAUCAGUAACAUUGUAGAAAUCUAUCGGUAAUAGAUUUCAAAAUUUUGUUAUAACUUGUAAAUAUUUUAAUUUAUUUUACUAUUUUUAAAAAUGUAUUAAAAAAAUAUUGUCUAAUAAUUACUUUUUUGUUUCGUGGAGUUUGAAACAUACCGACAUAUUUAUUUCAUCAAUAAUAAUAAUAGGAAAAAUAUCCCAUAUCAAUAUCUUAUUGAUAAAUUAUAUUAAUCAAGUUAGAGCUCUUUAAAACUAUAAAAAUUUAAUUAAAAUUAUGUUCAAAUGUAGAUUUUGUUACUUUGAUCCUUUUGUACUUAGGAUCAACAUUUUGAAAUGGAUUGUACUGAAGAUGGGAUGAUGAAACAAUCUAUAUCAUUAUUACAAAGAGGCAAAUGGCUAAAGUAGGGUCACUUUUGAAUGUUCAAUUUAGACACUGACUUGGUGUUGGGGAAGGAUGAAAACAUUAGCAGACAUGUGGAUAUACUUGAUGAUAUAUCUAUAAAUUAAAAUAUAAUGUUUGAUAGUGAUAUUAAAAUAUUCACGGAUAUCUCCCACAUCUUCUAUCAAUAAUAAUGCUUCUAAAAUAUAAAAAAUACCAUUCUAAUGGUCUAGAAAUGUGAAUAAGAAAUAUACUAAUAACAAUAUCCAUAACUUAGUAAAAACAACUUAAUUAUUAGUCUACUUAUAAAAUCCAUUAAUAUAAGAAAAAGAAAAUUGAAAUCUUGAUAAUAAUAAUAUCGACAUCAAUAUUUUAAUUCUUUGUAGGUCAAUACCAUAUUGGUUAGAAAAGAGACUUUAUGAUUAUGGUCGAGUAUAUUUUAAUUGGUAUGAGAACUUUUGGAUGGUUCUAAAAGUAAUAUCACAAAAAUGUUUAUAUCCAUAAACAAUAUCAUAUCAUUGUAGAGAUAGAUGAAAUGUUUUAUUGUCUACUGUGAUUUGUCCUCGAUCAUAAAGUUUUAUAAGUAAAUUGGAUAAGACUCGACUUUUCCUUUGUUUUUGUUUUGUGUUUCUAUUCAUUAUUGUGUUAUUUGUUUUCUAUCUACCAAAAAAGGGGACUCCUUUUAGUUUGAAAAAGUGCAAGGGUGAGAUUGAAAUGAUCCCUCGAAGUAUUUUAUAGUGAUAUUUUAUUUAUCGUAUUAUAGUCCAAUCAUAUCACAAAAUAUAUAUAUAUAUAUAUAUAUGAAAAUAUUCCAAUAAUAUCACUUAUAUCACCAAUAUGUUAACCCUAUGUCAUUAAUAUUCAUUAUUAAACUUUUGUUUCCUUAGACCAAUAGUUGUGAUGGUUUCUACGUACCUACUUUUUGUUAUGUAUAGAAGAUAUAUAUUAGCUCUAUGUAUGGAAGACGUGAGGGAUAAAAGGUAAAUCAUUAAUAAUCAGACAACACCCUAAGUUUAGGAUUCUUCUUCUUUAGAUUUAGUCACGAUUCAUCCAUGUUCCACUCUUAGUUAAACAUAGAGCUUUAUUGUUGAUGAAAAUUUUCUAAAAUGAGUUUUUCUAAAUAUGUACAACAUUUAAACAAAUCAGUUCUAUUUUAAUAAUUAAAAUCGUUGGGGCGUUGAGCUCUAAUUAGGCAUUGGUUGAUGCGUCACUUAAGUGAGGUCUUGUGAUAGGACAACAUUUGAUGCAUUCCUUAAGUGAGGCAUUGUGAUAGGACGACCAUUGAUGCAUCACUUAAGUGAGGCGUUGGGAUCAACUAAUGAUCGUUGAAAACCUUACACAUUGGAAAGACUUGAUGUGUUCUUAAUUGAACGUUGAGGUCAACUAUAAAUGAUUGAGGCCAACUAUAUAUAAAUUAUUGAGGCAUUAUACAAUAAACUCAUGAUUGUUUGAACUCAAUCUCUAAACAAAGAGCUUCUCUUUCUCACAAUUUCUCUCAAUCUUCUCCCUCUCUAUUCUUGGUUUUUGAUUAAAAAAAAAGUGUUUUGGCUAGUGUAGCUACAAUCGAAAUUUUGACGCUCUAAGCAGUGCCGCGAAACAUCUUAAAAUUGUUUAAUCUUGAGAACUUUUGCUUGUUUGUUCUUGAACCACAUUUUAUUGGAAGAAGUUUCACAUUAUUAUACCAUAUGUAACAUCUUAGACUCAUUAUUCGAAAUUCAAAUUUGACACAUAAAAUUGCCUUGACAUCGACUCAAUACCAUCUAAAUAAAAUAAUUCAAAAUUUUGCAACAUUUCCAUUGCUAUACAACCUCAAGUGGUGCAAUAUAAUUAAGAUGGAGACAAUGGUAGUGAGAGAGGGAAAGUCGAGGAGUUUGGCCAUUUUUGAAGGUUAAUUUGUUUGAUUACUAUAAGGUCUUCGGGCGGCCAAUACUUUGUAUAAUAAUGCCAUUCUUAUGUGUCCUUUUUCAACUUAUAUGAGACAAUUUUUUUCUUUUUUUUGAAUAAUUCAACCAAAUAUUGAAUUUGUAACACAGUUUCUAGGAUCUUGACGAUGAAAUUGAUAUCACAUGUUAAAUCUUUCAUCUCUUUUAUCUCUAUCUCUAUCUCUACUAUAUUCAAAGUGUAAGUUGGGAGAAUUUUUACAUUUCCAUAUUUACUGAUUCUCAUUUCGGGAUUAAAGAACACCAAUGGAAUCAAAAUUUGAGUGAAGAACAACUUUAAUUUUAUCUUCCAUCAUUCGCUUACUUGUGAUUUUCUCUACUAAACUCUUGCACAGGAUUUUUAAAAGAAGAAAGCAUAAUGCAAAAACUGCUACUGUGAAACAUUUCAUUUAUAAAAAGUUGGCAUCCUUUCCAUAAAGAAUUAAUAGUGGUACGAAUGAAAGGGGUGAAUAAGAAAACCAAUUACACAUAUUUAUGUGAAAAGGUGGGCGUUAUAACACAUCUUUGAAAGAGUGGAGAGUAAAAUAAGUAACUUUUUUUUAUAAAAAAAGUGAGGGUAAAAAAAUUCUCACAUUUAGUUAACUAAUACGAUAUGAACUAAUCGAGUUCACAUAUAAGUGCGAUUCUACAUCUUUUUUGUUUUACUACAAAGAUAGCAAAAUUAAUUGUAAUCACCUUCUUCUAAGAAAGAUUUUGUCUAUGAUUAUGUUGGUAUUAACAUCUAUGAUUAUGUACUACAUAUAUAUGAAAUAAAUUUUUAUACUUAUGCAAUUAAACAUCCAUUUGUUAAAACAAAAACAUUAAAACCUUGAAUUAUUAGGAGUUAUUAUGUUAGCUGACCAUUUAAUUAUUUAAAUAUAAAAACAAUCUAUUUAUUUUAAUAAACCACAUUUUAAGUGGACUAAAAUAUGAUACUAAAACAAACAUUUUAAAAAAUUAUUAUUUUAGAUAUUUAAAUUCUACACAUACACACAACACACAUUAACUAAUUAAUUUUCAAAACUAAAGCUAUUAUUUUAGAUAUUUACAAAUAUAAUAUCUAAAAUCAACUCAAAAACAUCCAAAUUUAGAAGAUAUUUAAAACUCAAAUUCCAGAAAAGCUCUAACCCUUUUUCUUUUUCUUUUUCUUUUUCUUUUGGGAGAAUAUAAACAUAAAUAAUAUCAAGCAAAAAAGUCCAAAUCCUAUAUCAAUAUCAAAUCAAAAGAAAAUUUUGUUAAAGAAAGAAAGAAAGAAAGAAAGGCUGAAUUAUUCAUUUAAUCAGGAUCUCAUAAUUGAAAUAUUUGAUUUAAAGUAUUUUAAUGUGAUGAGGAUCCCACCACACAACCACAUCACCAUCCUUAUCAUCUUCUCUAUCUUUUCUUCAAAUUUCCAAACAAUAAUGCAAAAUUGAAGUCCCCACACGCAACCUCCCUUUCCCAUCACACAUCUCCUCUUUCUUUCUUUCUUUUCCCCUUUCUCUUCCCAUACAAACAUUAUUCUGUGUGCUCUGAAUUAUCUAGUCUUUUCUCUCUAUUGAAUCUGAAAUUAUUAACUAAUCACGGUUAAAGUUAUUUCUUAAUCAAAAUCAUCACUAAUUUAAAGUUACAAACACAUGAGUUGAUAGAUUUCGAAUCUCACAUGUUUUCACUCUAACCAUUUAAUCAAAUAAAAUAUUUUGGUAGUUGAGUUUAAAGAUAUAUUUAAUUUGGUCCAAAGACAAACUAAACCCUACCAAAUUUAAGACUCCCGAGCUUUAGAAGUCUUCCAAUAAUUAGAAUACUCUAUAACUUAUGAAGUUGAAAACUUCUUAAAGAUACCAAGUUUUUUGAAGAUAUAAAUACUAUUCCAAAGCUUGAUUGUGAAAAACUUUUUUACGUUAUUCAUUUUUUCAAAUCAAGUAUGUACUUUAAUCAAAAGAUAAAAUACUAAAAAUUAAAUAUUAAAUAAGUUCAACUCCAAAAAAAACAUCUUUUCUUUCACAAACAUCAUUCAAAUUAUAAUUAAUAUUUUUUUCAAAUCAUAAUUAAUAUUUUUUUCUAAUUAAUAAUUAUUAAAAAUUAUUGUGAGUUUGAAAAUAGUUUAACUAGUUAAUUAGUUUAGUUACAUAUAUGUUUGAUUGUGGUUAAAUUUGGAAUUUAGACUCAUUGAUAAGUAUUAAGCUAAGAAGUAUGUUUUCUAGUCUUGUGUUUUGGGUUGUUCACCAUCACAUAUAUUAUAUACACAUAUAUUUUUUUUUUUAAAAAAAAAAGAAACUUUUUGCCUUUUGAAAAAGUAACCAUAUAAUUUUUUUAAUGGUAGACAACAAAGUUGGAAAGUACAUUUAUAUAUAUAUACAUAAUGGUUUUUUAGGAAUAAUAAUAUGUUUUAGUUAAAAAGAAAAAAAGAAAAAAAAAAUCUAUGUCCAUUGUGUAGAAUAUUCGUAAACCAAAUUCCAUGUGCCAACUCACCCUCAAAUUCCAUCCACCUUCCCUAUAUAAAUCUUCUCCGCACCCUUUCUCAAAAUUCCAUUUUACACAAAGAAAAAAGAAUAACAAAGUAAAAAUGUCGGCAAUGGUAGAGUCAUGGAUGAACGAACUGGGAAAAUGGAGAAACAGAGUUGAAGCUCAAGACAACAACAACAAGAAGCCAUUGAUGCCCAAAUCCAAGCAACUCCAAACAGAUCACUUCAAACAACCCGCCAAAACCCAUAUGGCGGAUUCCGACGACACAGAAACCUCCGUCCUCUCUGAAUCCACCAUUUGUUUGCUCAUAGAUCGCUUUGCUCCUUUAUGAUUAUGCUUUCUUUCAAUAAUUCCUCUUCCUCUCUUUUAAGUUUUACUCUGUAUAUUGCUGAAUAUAUAUCUAAUAUAAUUGUAAAGGAAAUAGUAAUCUAGUUUUGUCCACUGCCACCUUGUACGCCUGCCGGCCCAUACUGCUUGUGAUGCUCUGUUUCUACAAUUCCUCUUUCCUAUGUUUUCCUUUGUAAUUCUAUGUUGAAUAUAUCUUAGGGUAUGAUCUGUAUUUUUCUCACCGCCGUUGCCAGAUUGGAGAGAUGAGGAGUCCGGUGGGUGGUAGCGGCGGUGGUGGUGGUGGCCGGUUUGGAGACUUUAUGGCUUUCUCCUUUUCAAUUAUGCCUUGCAGAAUUUCUGUAUAUAUUUCUUUAAUCAUUUUUUUCUAAUUAAUAAGAUUUUGCUCUUCCUUUUUGUUGUUUGAAGUAUUAAUAUAAUAAAAUUUACCAUAAUUGAAGUUAUCAAAUUUAAUUUUUAAAUUAUGGCAUAUUAGUGUAAAUCCAUUUUUAUAGUUGUAAUUAAUGAGUGUAAUUUGAAUGUAGAAUAAGAAAAAGAAGAGCAAGAUCCAUUUUGUCAAGUUAUUAAUUCUUUUCUUUAUCUUAUCUUUUCGUGAUUUCUCCGUCUCGACUUCUAGAAUUUCUUUCUUUUUUCAUUUCUUAAAAUUCUCAUCGAAUCGAUUCAAUAAUGUUUGACAUUUCUCAUAUAUUUUCUCUUUCAGAUUUAAAUGAUCGUAUACCAACUUUUAAAUGAUAUUGGUUCAAGAUCGUAUACAAAAUAUAAAAGAUCUUGGCACAUAAUUGUAAAUCAAUAUCGUUUAGAUUUUAUACACGAUCGUUUAGCUCUUGGUACUUGAUUGUAUAUCAAUAUCUAAACGAUCUCGUUUCACGAUCGUUUAGAAGAAGAAUUUCACACGUGGGUAUUACUUAUUAAUCGCAUGUUGGUUGGAUAAUUUGGUAUUUUCCUUUGCAGAUUUUUUCCGUUUUUCAAAAGUAUUUUAUACCGUGUAAGUAUAUUGCUCGCUUAUUAUAUUUUUGAAAACCUUCCAGAUUAAUUUACUGUUAUCAAACACAAACACGGUCUAAAAAAGUUAAAUUUUUUAAGUUUGUGUUUAUAACUUAUUUGUAUUUUGUAUUUAGCAUUUCUACAUCUAAAUUUAGGAAGAUAUUAAUGACAUCUCUCCAGUCUAAUUUAGUUUUUCUAUCUCAUAAUUAAUUUAAACUCAUUUCAUACAUCACUAAAACCGCAUGCAUAACCAAAUACUAUUUCUAAUUCUACUAUUUGCAUGACGACAUGCCUCGUCAACCUACGUUUAAUCAAUUCAAAAAAAUUUAAAACUAGUAUCAAUUACCAAUUUUUUUCUAUUUUUAUUUAAAAAAUUUGUUCUCUAGUAGAUAUAUUAGUUUUCAAAAACUACUUAACAAAAUAAUUUUGGAUUUUAAUAGCAUGUUUAACACCCUCGUUUUUUAGCCAUUGUUUCAAAAACACUAUAAAUACGUUCUCAUCAAACAUUUUUAGACUCACCUUUCUCAACCGCGUUAAUCGCUUAGAAGCAAAACUAGUGACAUCUAACAAGCAUGGAAAAUCAAAAACCUUUUACAGUCUCCAUUGUUGUGAUGGUGAUAUUCGCAUGUUUUGUUUUAUCAAGUAUGCUCUUAUUAUCUCAUAACCCCUUCUUAUCUCAUAAUGGUAUGUUCUUUUGCGUGAAAAAAAAAAAUAUUAACAAUUAAUAUUGAUGUUUUAUCACAUGUGGCAGCAAAAGGAGACAUGUUGUUGAAUUGUAUCGGGCCUUGUUCAAACCCAGAUGAUAAUGUUUCGUGUAACAACGAUUGUCUCAAACAAACUUAAAAACAGUGGAUUUUGCUAUCCCAAGUUAGAUGGUUCUUCAAACGAAAAAGAUUGUUGUUGCUAUAUCUGAUGAUGAAACCCAAAAAAAAAAAAAAGUUGUAUAACCUUGAUUUGAAAUGGUUAAACAAAGUCAUAUUGAUAGAAAUUCAUGUUUAUUUAUUCAUCUUUCGUACUCUUUUGUCCUUAUAAACAUUAAUUAUUUUACCUCUUUGAGAUAGUUGCAAAUGUUGCAAUUAAAAUUAAAUAUUAGCAUACAUAACAACAUUUUAAAAAAAUUUGCGAAUGUAACAAAAUUUGUCAAAGUCUAAAAGCGAUAGAAUAAAUUUAUCACCGAUAGAUUUUGCUAUAUUUGCAAGUUUUUUAAAAAUGUCUCUAAAUGCUUAAUUGUUAUUGCUAAAAUUACUACCUAUUAUAAUUACCCAAUAAAUUUUUAUUCAUUAUUGUUUAAAGAAAGAUGUUAUGCAUUUGUUUGAGAAUGUGCAAUAAUGUUGUUAUGAAUAAUACUAACGGUCGUGCAACGAUAUUUGUAAUAAGAUGUAGAACAUCGUUUUUGAAAUAAUAAUUGAGCGAUCUUUUAUGCUAAUAUAAUAAAAUGAUGUCAAUAAAAUAUUGCAUUAUUACUAAAGACAUGUGAGCAAAGUAGCACAAUUUUUAAAAACAAAACCCAUUCAAAAUCAAAUGGCUAUCCAACAAUGCAUUAAUACCCUAAAUUUAAAAUUUUCGAACAUUACUAAAGUGAAUAUAAGUUAAUUCUUUAGCUCUACACUAUACUCUAUAAGAAGAUCAAGAAUUUACAAGCACUUGAAUUGUGCUACACUAUUUUAUUCUAUAGGAAAUAACCAAUGAAAUAUAAAAUGCAUUUUUCAAAUAUUUGAUUAGCUAUGUGAAGCUGCUUGCAUCAACACUAGUACAUGAAAUUUCAGUAAUGCUGAUGUUAGGUUUGUCAACUUGCCAUUUGAUUAUUUCCCUUGCAUAUCUCAAAGCAGCAUUCACAUUUUCGGGCUCCAUCCCUGUUGUUUGUGAAACAAACAACUUUUUAUCUGUCAAAGAACAAAACAGUCUCUUGAAUUUCACUGCUAUGUACUGAAACGCUCGUUGUGCCAAUGUCGGGUUCGUGCUGCUGCUACUUCUUCCAGUGAUCAUUGGAUUGAAGUCAACAAACCACUCACAUUGAGCAAGAGGAGCGUGGAUGAUCUUUUCUUCGAAGAGAUCAAACUUGUUCAGUAUGAGAAGGAAGUUCUUUCCUCUUGAGGCUUGAUGUGUCACAAUGCUUUCAAACAGUUGCUUGCUUGCGAUCAUUCGGUUCGUUAGAACUCCGUUAUCAUCCUCGUCAAAUUCAUCGUAGUCUGUUAAAUCCACACAAAAUAAAAUUAUUUUUGUGUCGUCAAACAUCUCCAACAAUUUGCAGUUUUCUCCUAGGGUACUGGAAUGGACUCGAAUCAGCUGGUACCUAAAAGAGGAAGGAAUCGGGUUUUUUUAGCUGAUGAUAACUUUAUGCGACUGUAUGCAAAAAUCUAUGCAAAAAGCAACCUUAUUGACAGAUCGUGCUGAUAAGGAGGGUCGAGAAGGGAGUCUUGUCGUGACUCAGGGAACGUGAACUCCAUGCUACUGAGGCUGUUGCACGAGGUGAUUCCCUCAGCGUACAAGAUAUCAUUGUCAGAAGGGUCAUACUCUAUGCUUGAAAUGUCAAUUGCCUGCGUUGAUAAAGAAAUUUACUUUGGUAAAGAUGAUGAUCCUGAAUCAUGAUCAAUAGUCCACUAUUCAAAAGCAAGACACCAAUCAGGGGAAAACUAAUGAAAUUUGACAAACAACUUGAAUUACAUCAAGGUGAACCCACCCAUUACAGGAAAAAGAAAACUUAAAUCAUUGGAAAAAAAAUGUCACCUUUUAAUGUUACUGCAUAAUGGUUUUGAAUUCUAAGCUAAAAGUCGAGCAUGCUAUUUCAACGUUCUUCAAUAACUAGGAAGAAACCUCCAUGUCUACAAGCAUCCGUAUAGCGAAAGGUCAGAGGCAUUGGUGUUUUUAUGUCGGUAACCAAAUGAUCAAAAGGGUUAACAUAUUUUAUGGUUAAAAAAAACGUUCCAAUAGAGUCUAUAGUUCAAAUGAUUUUUACAAGCCCUAAAACUUUCAGUGUCCAAUUUAUGAUCUGGAAAAAUGCUCCUUUUGUCACCAAAUUUUGAAUCUAGUUUUUAUAUGGUUCCUCAAUUUCAAAUGUUACACCUCACCUAUGAGUUCAGAAUUCAAUUUCUAUGUGUCCCUACAUAAAUCCUAGUUUCCAUAUGAUCCCUAGGUUCCUAGAUUUCAAAAUGUUGCACUUCUGCCCUUGAGUUCUAAAUUUAGUCUCAUUCGGUCUCAGGUCAAUAUUUCAUACUUUUACCCUCCAAUUUUCGUUAAUGCUCAAAUUUGAUCUUCAGUCUUGAAUUUUAACAUUCCGUUAAUUAACUUAAAAUAAUUAUGAUGUAAAUUUUUUUAAUUAAUUUUGAUACUAUGAAAACUUAGUGAAAUUUAAUUUGAAUUAAUUUUUUGGUUUAGAGAAUACAAUCAACAUGUCACUAAGAUAGAGACCAAUUAGAUACAAAAUCAAAAGCCCAUACACCUAGUGAAUACUUCUCAACACUAUGAAUUAUACUGGUUUAUAAUGGUAUUAGAAACUUUUUAGAGUAAAAAUGUCUAAUGGACCCAUCUCAGAAACAACUAAGUUUAAUGACUAAACAUCCUACCUUUAACAAAGAAAGGUAUAAGAAAAAUUGCAAGAGAUUAUUUCUAAGGUGGAAUUCAACAGUAAUGACCCAGAACGUAAACUCACCCGAUCAAGGAAAUAAGUAGCAACUCGUGGGAGCAUUUCUAGUUCGUUCCUUCUACUGUACGUGGCUUGGAAGGCUUCAUCCUUCAACAACUCUUCCACUAAUUGACCAUACACACGUGUAGCAGCCGGGAAUAUGGUGUCAAAGUUCCCUGACACCACGACUUGAAGAAGCAAAUCUGCAAAUCCUUUCAGUUUAGGGCCAAGGGAAUAGAUGUCCUUACGCUCCAACUGAUUUUCAUUCCCUGUAACCACUGAAUAAUGUCAUUUGCUUUGCUCAUUGAACAUCAGAAUAAUAUAGUCAGGAUGAUAUGGUAAUUUAUCUACUGAAAUCUGUCGAAAUAUUUAAUACAAAUGAUCGACUAUCAGGGAAAAGUGAAAAUCAUCUGAAAAUGGAAUUACAACAGACCUGAUGCUGAUGAGCUGGACGGAUCAUUCACUGGUUGUUUAUUUUUCUCAUCCAUCAAAAUCUCUUCUUCGAAACGCUCUCGUCCUUCCAGUAGUAUAGUAAGAUACCAAUACAAGUUCCUUUGAAUCAGUAACUUAAUUGUUUGACGCUCGUCAUCAGAGAAAGGAACUUUAUAUAUUUGUUUGGCCUAAAAUGAAGAAAUGACUACUGGUCAGGAAGUAUAUAGGAUAAGCAUUUCUAUAUCAACAUUAUUCGUUGUACACUAAGGAUGGGAGGUGAAGAAUUGGGUAAAAAUAAGUUCAAAUAAACAUGAGAGACAUAAAGAAGUGGUAUGUAAUGAAUCCCAAGUACAACCAAGAAGGGACCUAACACUCUUAGCACAAUAAUGGUUAAGGGCUUGUCUUUUAUGAAGCAGGCGGCAGGCCCCACUGCAAUGUGCGUUGAGGCUUGAAAUAAAAACCUUUUGGUUUCAAUAUUUGAUUAGGUUGACAAGAGUGUGAAUAUGUGAAGAGGACAGCAGAAAGAAAUCAUAUAUUGGUGACAUAUAUGAACUUUACUAUGAAUUAAAAGCCUUUUCUGCAAGCCAUCUGCUUUCUUGACACAAGACUUUCAGGCAAAUCAAUGAACUUUAUUAUGAAUCGAAAUAUUUAUCAAAACAAUGAUCAAACAAGAACUAAAAUUAAGAUUAACAUCAUAAAUAGUAAGAAUUUUAACACGAUCAUAGGUAGAAGUUUUAAGAAGCAUAAAAUGUAGUACUAUAACUGAAAUUACCUGCUUGAAUAUGGUACUCGUGCCAGAUUUUUUGUGGCCAACAAGGAGAAGUUUAUGAAGUACUUUCUGCUCGUAAGAAACAGAUUUAGCUCCGUCCUCUAUUUCCUCUCCAGUACGAACAGAAUUAGAAGGAAUAGGCAAAGAAUAAAGGGCACAUGCAAGCCUCGUUCUAGUCUGCAGAGAUAGGUGAAUUAGUUGUUCUUGCAAAUUUGAUGUAUAUAAGAUAGAGCAGGAAAAACCAAACUGAACAUCAUCGCAUAAGGUUUACCUUGUCCCAUAUUUUUCCCCCAUUGUUCAUUCCUUCUUCCUGGUAUGAUCCAUCUGCACUAACCCAAAAAGAAGGUCUUCCUUCACAAGGCACUCCAGCCAGCUGCAAGCAACAUGAUCUCAUUUGUGUUAUUUGCGCAUACUUUUAUAUUUCAAUAAAGCUAAACUAAAUACGAACACUGGGUAAAAGAAAACCUUCAGUAUCCGGAGCUCGUUUUUAGUGAUCUCUCGAUUAUUGAUGCACACAUUCGUAUUGCCAUUGCUAGCAUUCCUCUUGAUCCGACCUCCAACUUCUAGCUGGGAGCUAACUAUCUGACUCGGUCCAUGUCCUUCCUGUUCAGUUAAAAACAGAUCAAAAAGUUUCUCAUGGUGCAAAUCGCUUCUUCUACAUGCUCAAAAGAUAAAAUAAUAUCAAUCAAUCAAAGAGAGAGGACCUUUCCCCAGAAGCCUGAUUCUUUGUCAUACCAAUAUUGUCCUGGUUUUAGAUUCUUUGGUGGCUUUCGACAACUUCGCAACGUAAGCAGUUCCUGUCGACUUAAAGGAUCGCCAUUGACGUAGAUAAGUCUUGCUGGUAGUUGGUUUAUUUCACACUCUUUCUCAUGCAACAUUGCGCUCUUAAUUUCAUAGUCAGAAAGCAACCUCUUGAGCACUUUAGAGCUUUUACCCAAGUUCUCCCUUCUUGAUUCAUCAAUCCUAUACCCAAUGCAAGAGAUACACUUCCUUCCUUCUGGCAUUGCUCCCAUUGCUCUGAUUAUACAAUCAAAGCAAUAUUUGGCUCCACAAACAAUGCAUACUUCCUUUUCAGUGAAACGGUUUCCUUUAAGGCAGAAGUAGCAUGAUCCUUUUUUUCCCUUCCUUUCAGCUCGAGGCAUCUCUUGAAUGCUUUCACCCUCAAAUUGACUUGACUCAGCCUCUUCAGAAAUCGUGUUGCUCGUAUGGGGAUCAAGAAAGGUAACAGCUGAUGGCCUUCUGCCAUGCCUACGCGUAGUUUCAUAGUCAACUUCCUCUUCCUCUCUUACAGCAAAAAUUCCAGAAGACGAACUCAAACCCGAUUCUACUGAUUCCGAGUCGCUGGAAUUCGUAUAGCCUUGAAAAUCCUCUUCAUUCUUAAUUUCCAAUGAUUCUACCCCUCCUAUUCUUCCUUUCAGCUCAUUGAAAUUCUCAAGUUCACCAGAACUUUCAACUCCAUCACACGAAUCGAUAUUACAUUUAUCUUCCUUAUUGGCAUGGAGGCAAACAACCCCAUCUUCCUGGAUUUCUGAAGUUGAAGAAAUUACAGAAUUAGGGCUGGAACUUGAACCCUUCUUUAGUUUCUUAACAAUGGGUUGUAUCACAGGCAGAGAUGAUAAAUCAUCACUGAAUUGAGAUGAUGAAAGAACCACAGAAGCCGUUGGAAUAUAAUCAACAUUUAUAGGAACUGCACGAGGAAUCUCGUAACUAAUUCCAGGACCUUUAUACUCCAUGGCAAAAGAAUAUUCACCAGUAAAAUCCACAUGAUUAACAGGAGAAGAAGGCUUCUCGUGAAAAAGUUUUUUAAGAAUCCCAGCCAUAACUCAACAAUUCAACAACACAAAUUUUAACACAACAAAUCUAACGAUUUAAACAAUUACAACCCAACCCCAUCAAGCAUAACCAAUCAAACAAGCCCACAAAACAGAGAAACAAAAGAUCGAUCAAUCAUCAAAUCCAAAUGAUCGAAGAGAAAAAAGCUCCCAGUGGAGGAAAAUAUCGAAAGAAGAAGUUACAAUUGUGAAUUAGUAGGAACCCAUGUUCAAGAAAGUCGAAUCAGAAGACUUUUUGACAGUGGGGUUCAAGGAAAACGAGUGUGCUGUUAAAGAUAAUAAUAAAAAAAAAAAAUGGUGGGAAUGGAAAUGCUAUACUCAGUCAACACAAAGACUAGAGAGAAGACUUUGGAUUAGUAGAAAAAUGGGUUCAAUGGUGGAAAAGAACGCGUUCAAGUAAGAAGAAAACUGACAAGAAAGGGACAUAAAAGAGGAAAUUUAAGAGAGAAAGUGGAAAAGAAGGUAGGUGUUGGUCAUUAUUAUAAUCAAUUACAUUACAAUACGUCAAAUUAGAAAAGCAGAGAAAUUACCAGUCCCUUCCUUCCUUCCUUCCUUCCUUCCUUCCUUACUUCAUUCCACGUUUUUGCUUCCGAUUUGUCUAAGAUGAACUCAAAAUUGAAAGGCAAUUAAGAACAGUCUGCCACUGAGAGAAGGAAAUAUUGCUUUGAAUUUAUUUGUCGUGCCUAACACGAGAGCGGAUGUGUGAGAAAUUUUACCGUAUUCUCCAUAGCUUUAACAAGAAAUCUGUUGUACUGUUGUAACUUUGAGAGAAUUUCUUACAUUUCUUGUUCUUGGUUCUGCAAAGGGUUCCAUGAUUAUUGAAUUCAGUACAUUAUAAUUAAUAUGCAAAGUUUUUAAGACUGAAACAUUACUUUUUUUCUUUUAUAUUUUUAUUAUUUUAUUACAACUCAAUAAAUUUAUAUAUAUAGCAAAACUUCUACCUUUUAUUUUCAUUUUCAUUUCAACUCUUUUUAUUUAUUUUUAACUAUGCUAAAAUCCAAAUAUGGAAACCAUAAAAUAUAAUAUAUAAAUAAAUUAGAUAUGUAAGAAAAUUCAAAUUUCUCUACCUCCUCUCAAUUUCAUUGAUUUAUAUAUGUGUCUCACGAAUCUACUAAAUGUCACUAUUUAUACACAAUUUGGUAGGCAUGAACUAGAUUACAUGACAAUGUGAGUAUCAUCUAGACUUUUGUUAAUGGUGUUGAAUGAUUAAGAAAUUGACAUGUGGUGGACAUCUAUUUAUUUAGUAUUUAUAAUAUUUUUUUUUUCAUUUGUACGACCUUAUAGAAUUAAAUACUUUUUCUUAUUUUAUAUGUUGGAUAUUGAAACUACAUUUCAAACUUAAAUUAAUAAUAAUAAAAAGUUUGAUUAAUUUUCUAAAUUUAUGUUAAAUAUUAAAUAUAUUUUGUUUGAUUUACAAAAUUGAAAAUUUAACAACUUUAGAGAUGCAAAAGGUAUUUGAAUCACUCAAAUAUAAAUUUAAAAUUUAUGACCUUACAUCUUCUUGAGAAGACUUCUAGUUCAUGUUUAUGUUUCAUAAUUAAAAUUAUAAAUUUAAAUUUGAUUCAUUCAAAUCUCUUUUAAAUUUCUAAAUUUGUUAAUUCCUGAAUUUUGUAAAAAACAAUGAUUUACAUAAACUUAGAAAAUUAAAUAAGCAUUUUAUUGUUAAUUGAGAUGUCUAAGGUAGUUCACUGUUAUACAAAUGAUGUACAAAAAAUUAUUUUACUCUUUUAAGAAUGAACUUAUAAAAAAGAAAUGAAAAUAAAAGAAAAACAUUUAUGUAUAUAUAAUUUUAUUAAAUCACAAUAAAAUAAUAAAAAAAAUGGUAGAACACUUAACAAAAUAUUAACCCUUCAUAAAAAAUUGUGUAAUAAUUUAUCAAAUAAAAUUUAUCUUUUUAAUGAUUUUGUGGAUGAAGUGUAAAUAGUUUGAUAAUGGUUUUGUUUUUGAAAAAGAUUCACUAACAAAAGUAUAAAACAAAAUUUAAUGGUUUUUAAUAAAUAAAUAAAAAAUCACUAUUUUUUUUUGCAAAUAGUUUCAUACAUUCGUUUUUUUUUUUUUUUUUGCAAAUGUUUUACAAAACGGCCCUAUUUUAAUACUAAACUCCAAUUCUUAAAAGAAUGCAAACAAAUUUUUUUUAGUUAUUUUAAAAUUUGUUUGAAUAAGAAACACAGGUAUAAACUAAUAAAAAAUUUAGUUACAUGUCCAUUUAACUACUAUUUCUUAAUAUAAUAAAAUAAAGAUAUAUUUUAAAAAUAGCAAAAUAAAUUAAAAUAUUUAUAAGCUAUAGCAAAAUUUUGAAUUCUAUCACUAUAGUCUUCAAUCACUGUAGAAAAUUAAUGACUAUCAGUGAUAGAAUUUGUUAUAGGUUGUAAAUAUUUUGUAAAAUCUUAUACUUUUAGAAAUUCCUCUAAAAUAAACCGAAAUAUUUAUAAAAUAUAACAAACUUUUAAAUUUUAUUAAGAAUAAAUACUUAUAACUUUUAUGGGUGUAUAACAGUUCACUAAUAGAAAUUGAUAGAAAUCUGUAUGUGCUAAUAAUAAAUAGAAUCUAAAAUUUUAUUAUAUUUUGUAAAUAUUUUCAGUAAUUUUAUCCUUUACAAUAAUUUUUUUCUAUUCAAUUUUUAAAUUGUAUAAAUAGCAAUUUUAGUCCAUAAAUUUCUCGACUUUAAUAGUAAAAUGAGAGGCAAAAUAUUCUCCCCUCUUACCUAUUUUAUAUAAAGUACAGAUUUAUAAUUAUCGAUGAACUGAUGAGCAAGAUAAUUUAAAGUAUAAAGUAAAUGCAAAAUAAAUAAACAAAUAUUUAUUUUUACAUCGCGAGCUUUAAAACUUGUUAGAGAAAUAUGGUAGUUUAGAGAAGUCAUAUGAACUUCUUCCGAAUUAAAAUUGAGGCAACGAGAUAAAGUUUAUGUCUCUACAAGAAACAUCUUUACAAACAUUCUAAUAGAUGUGUUGUCUGGGUGCAAUGGUUCUUAUCAUCGUUUAGUGUUUGAUUAAAAUUUUCCUUUUUUUCUUUUUAUAAAUAAGGUGAAAUAAAAAUGAUUCUAAGAAAUAGAGUAGAUAACUGUGGACAUAGCACGUUCUUGAGUUAAUAAAGAAAUUGUUUAUGUAAUACAUGAUUAGGGCCCAAAUUGUGUUUUGCACAUACUAGUACCAAAUGAAUGUCAGUUGCAUGUACGCUCCAUACCAUGUGUACUACAUGUAAGUGAUUAGAGCUUAAAUUGUGUAAGAUUAACAUGACAUGGGUCUAACCUAGACACGUGACAUGGGUCUAACCUAGACACGCAUACUGGCAAUUGUGUCAUAGAACUUGUGUACCAUAUACAUGAGUUCCAUAUGUGGCUUGUGUGCAUGGUAAUACUAUUUUGACAUAUGACUCAUGUAUCAUAUACACAAGUUCAUAGUUCUAAUCACCUCAAAAUAUAACUUAUAAAUAUUUUAAAAAAUACUGAAAUUUGUAUCACUUUCACGUGAGAAAUUGUAAAUUUGACUCACGGAUGACAAUAGAUUGAACAAAUUCACCCAAAUUGAAUUUGAUUUCUCGUGAUCACAAAUAAGUGAAGAAUUACUUGUUUUGAAUAUCCUAUUUUUUCCUGAUUUGAUUUUCUUCCAAAUAAAUAUUUGACUUAAGAUUUAGGGGUAAGUAUGAUAAUAGUCUUCUCUAUCACACCUAAUUUCUUUGUAUGUUUUACAAAGGGAAAAAAGGGUGAGUAUUGCAUGUUCUCAAAUUUGAUUCACAAACAUCAUAAAAGCAUGGUGAAUAUGAGAUUGGUAAUUAAAGGCAUUAAUUACCAUUUUUAGAGGAUGAUGAUAUUUUAUCUCUACAUUUACCAUUCUUCAGCUCAAAAGAAAUUUUAAACGCAUAGUACCAAUUUUAAAUUCACCAUUUAUAAUCAUAAAAGUCAAAUUAACCCAUUUUGGAUGGGAAAAAUAAAGUCUAAGAAAGUUUGAGUAAAAUUCCUCAAAACAAAAAAAACAAAAAAAAAGUUUAGUAAAAUAUGUUAAAGAAAAUAAUAAAAUAAGCAGUAAAAAAUAUAACACUAGUAACUAAAAAAUAGUUUAAAAAAAUAUGGAAAGAUAGAGUUCGGUACUAAAGUUAAGUGUAUAACGACAUAUAUUAUAAACGAUUAAGUAGGAAUUGACAAAAUUUUGUUACACUUGUAAAUUCUACAAAUACUUUAGAUUUGAUUGUUAUAUUUGUAUUGUUUACAAACUAGAGAAAUUGAAAUACAAAUAUUUUUUUAUUUAAUCUCUAUAACCCAUAUUUGGAAUGAUUUUAAAAUCUUCAAAAUCAUUUUUGGUUAUUCUUAAAAUCUAUUUAAAAUAUGUUUUUAAUUAUUUAAAAUUAAUUUAUUAUCAAAUUUCACAUUUUUAAAUAUAUUUUUUACAUACUAAAAUUAGUUUAGAAGAAUUAAAAAUAUAGUCCUAAAUAAUUUUAACUAUUUUAGGAUGAAUCUCAAAUGUGUUAAAAAGAAAAUAUUUUUUUCCAAAUACUAAUUAAUUUGGUUCGAAAAUUUUUAAAAAUAGUCAAGUAAAUUAAAAUAUUUAUAAGUUAUAGCAAAAAUUUUAAUUUUAUCAAUAAUAAAAAUUGAUAGACUUCUAUCACUGUUUGUCAAUGCCACCCAACGAUGGAAGCAUAUCAGUGUCUAUCAUCAAUGUUUACUAUCGAUAGAAUCUAAAAUUUUGCUAUAUGUUAUUAAUAUUUUGUCAAACCUGUUAUUUUUGACAAUUUUCCUUUAUUUUAAAAAACGAAGAAUAACGCAUCCACUAAUGACAACUUAUAACAAGGGGUGCUUGCAAAAAUAGCAAAAAAAAAAAAUUAUGAUAGUAGAGUUCAUGUCACUACAUUUUCUAAAUUGUAAAAGUAGCAAAUUUAAUAAAGUCAAUAACUCUUUGAUAACACUCCUAUAGUCUUUCGCAAUAAUAGUUUGAUAUCAUUAAUUACUUGUCAUAUUCACAAUAUGCAAAAAGAUGUGUCAUUAGCUAUUUUCUCUAAAUAUUUUUUUUUUUUGUCAAUUUUCCUUAUAUAUAUUCACAUUACCUUCAAUGUCAUGAGCGCUCUUAGGUCGGUAGAGGUAUAGUUUUGAAAAUGGUCAUUCCUUUGUUAAUUCUCAAACCAUUAAUUAUAUAUACUUUUAGGAAUUGAAAGAAUUAUUUCAUUUUAAAAACCCAAGCAACCAUCGUCCUUAAUCAAAAGAAUUAACAAUCUUAGAACCUUUUGUUUUGUUUUUUCUUGAGUGAAGUGUGACGUAAUUUUAAUUGGACUAGUUAAUGAGGAUCUUUUUACUAAACAAGAAAAAAAAUGGUACACUUCAAAUUGUCAAAAUCUUUGUCUAAAAUGGAAGAAAAUAAACCCAAAAAAAAGUUAGAAUUCCUCAAGAUUUGCAUAACUACUUGGUCAAAUUAGGUUAGGGGAGAACAAGUAUUUGACAAUUAAAGAAAUUUAAAAUAUAAGAGCAAUAGUUUGUGAAUCAAUUUUCCCAUUUUUCUCUAACUAAUGAGUGAAUUACAAAUAAAGUCAUUGUCAUGUUGAGAUAUGAAUAACUUCCCUUGUAAGUUAAAAGUUUAAAAAUGAUGUCCCUUAAAUAAUUCAUUUCUCAAAAAAAUUAAUUAUUUCAAAUAAUCACCUCAAAAUCAAUAAUAUCAUAUAUAUAUAUAUAUAUAUAUAUAUAUAUAUAUAUAUAUAUAUAUAUAUAUAUAUAUAUAUAUAUAUAUAUAUUAAUAAAAAAAUCAAACACCCUAACGUAUGGAUAUAAUAAGGCGUUAAUUGAUAUGAUCUCUUUUGAGUAUAACUUCAUGGCUUUAUUUUUUGUUUCACUCAAAUGGCAUCAUACCGUUAAAGAUAGUUGUCUACUUACUUAUAUCUCAUUCUUGUUGGGAAAACAGACAUCAUAAGAUCUCAAUAAUUAUAGGAUAUUGUCCACUUUAGCCUCGUGAUUUUAUUAUUUUUCUUUUUGUGUCAACUAAAAGCCAAAUACAGUUAAAGAUAGUUGUUUCCUCAUUUAUAUAUCAUUCUUUAAUGAUCAUCCAAAUAUCUUUACAGGUUUAAUAUAAUAAGGCCAAUAUAGGAUUUUGGGUCAUAGUCCUACAAUUCUCUCCUUGAAUAAAAGGACCAUCAAAAGUCUUCCCUCAAAUAAUCAUCCAUAUGUGUUUACUUCCAAGUAAUCACCUUUAAUUAGGUCAAUUUCUUUUCAUCGGAGUUCAUUCCCUAUGUCAUCAAAUCACAUCAACAUGAUUAAGUGUGAGGGGCAUGAUACUGAUACUAAUUUCUAAGAAGAACGAACCCUCCAACGAGACCUGUAUUUGAAUAGAAGGGUCAUUUUGGAAAAAUAAGAAGCUAAGUAAAGGAUUUUGAAAAAUGAAGGUUUUGAGAAUUUAGGCGUUUUAAUGACUUGGCGUUGAGUGAAAGCAACGUGAGGUGAAGGAAAAGACGGCCAAGAUUAACUGAGUAGUUUGAGGUUCAACACAAGUUGAAGUUAGGCGUUGAGAGUUAGGAAUUUGUUGGGAAAUUUCCUAAUCGUACUUAAUGGGUCACGUGUAAGGGCUUAAGCUAAGGAUGGUUUGAAAAAUUAUUAGACUUACACGUGUAUUACUUUAAGUAGGAGCUGACAAGCUUAAGGAAAAUUAAGGAUGAUUAACCCAAUUUAGGAUUAGUAUAUAAACAGAAAUGAAGAGUUAGUAGAACAGAAGAUUAUGCUUAAAUUCUUAAGGUUGUCGUUAAAAGGAAGACUCACUAUGCGAGAAGAAGGCCAUUUGGGGAACUAGGCAUUCUAAACAAAAGAAAAGCGUGUUGUGAGUGAUUUUCCAAAAAUGUUUAAAUAUUUAAAGCUUUCUACUAAAUUUCCUUAUUGAUUUGUAAUAACAUUCAUAUGAUAAUGUUUACAAAGAAUGAUUUCGAAAGAAAGUUUGUGUUAUGUUUAAAUGAUUGUAUUGUAUGUUAUAUAUGUCUGUAAAAAUUUAGUCUUAUUUCUCUCAAUGAAGCUAACUAUUAUGUACACAUAAGGAGUAAAGGAACCUAUGUAGAAAAUAACUGUAUGUGGAGUGAAAUUGACCAAUGCGUAAAAAGAGUGUAUUGAUCAGCUUGGUGACCUGAGCAACGAGAACUUGAACCAAGAAAAUUUCUAAGGAAUGUUGAUGAUGAAAAGGACGUUACCGUAGUCUAUGUGUGGGAACGGUUCAUGUUCUUGGAAGAAAGGAAUAUGAAAGGCUAGUGAGUGAUUUCUGUUUUAUGAAAAGAGACGAUGAAAACCAUAUUUAUGAAAAUGAUUUCACAUGUUGUCUGCAAAAGAAUUUUCAAAACUAUCACUCACUAAGCUUUGACUUAUGUUUUAAGUUUUUCAUCCCUAAGGUUUCAGACGUUAUGGCUAAGUGUGGAUAAGGAAGGUAAGUUGCUACACGAAGAAGCUAAGCAAGACGUUCUAAGUUUAUUUCAUAGAUUAUCUAUUUAAGAAAGUGUGUAAUAAGUGUAUUUUGAUCACACGCUUAUAAGUAAUAAAGUGAAGUUGUUUUUCUACACUGCGUUAUGAAUUUAUAUAUUUCUUUAUCGCCUAAUAUUUAAGUUUAAGUUCAAUUUAGUUGAGGUUAGGUUACUUGAAUUGCAUUGGGUGAGCAAGCUAAGUUCAACGACUUAAGUUGAGCAUUCUGACGUUUCAUAUACUUGAGGCGUCAUGCCUACUCAAGUCAGGUCGCAUUACGAAGUUAACAAUGGGUGUAGGGUAGGACGUGACACCAACAUAUUCAUAAUUGUAUGAUCGAUAAUAUUUGUUUUGGGUAUAAUCAUCACAAUUUUGGUUUUGAUUUCACCUAAAAGACAUUAUUUCAUUGAAGAUAAUUGUCCUUACUCAUACAACAUAAAUCCUCCCUAUAUCUAGCCAAUGUGAAAAUUUGUUUCGCACUCUAACACCAACAAUGAGACUAAGACCCACACAUUAUACCCAAAAGGCUAAGUCAUCUACAACCAUAUUUUGAAAUGAGUCAUAUGUAAUAAAAUUGAAUAUCCAACAAUGAACCAUGAACAAAAUACCUUUUAUUUCUAAUUUCACAUAGAACUAACAAAAUAGCUCUUGUUAACAACUGGACAACUAUCACGUUGCUCAACUCCACCAUAGUUGUAACAUCAACCUAACAUCUAUAUAUGUGAAAAACACACAUUAUUAACCUGAAGAAUUAAGUUUUCACCAAAGUUAUAGACAAUGUAAACAGUGCAAGCAACACUACAAGAAAAAUGUAAAACACGACUAAGUUGGUAACCCGGUUUAGUGCAAUCACACCUAUAUCUGAGGAGCCUUGAGUCCAAUCGAAAAGACCAUUUAUUGAAAUUCAAAAAAGCUCACAAAUAUAUAGCUUAUCAAGAAUUAUUGUCUUGAUAUACAUAACUUUGACAAGAUCAAAGUACAGACUACCUCUAGACCACCUAAAGCAUGAAUAAGAGCUUUAAUCUAUGCUCCCUUAGAUCAAGUACUCCACGCUUUACCCUUUUGACUUUAUUGCCCAGGCUCUCCUUGGGAGAGACACCUCAUAAUUCACUUAUAAUGUUAGGCUUCCCCUGACGUUUUAAAUCUUUUCAAUCUAGUGUAUUAUAAAGUCGUUAGUAAGGUGUUCAACACCACACACGAGAAUUUCUCAUAAGGAACUCAACGUCAACCUAAAACACCACUUGAAAUAAACAUCAUUGACUCAUGUUUUCCGCCUAUAUAAAACACCACAGUUCACAAGCUCUUGUUUAGAUCAAAGACCAAGAAAAUAACGAAAUCACUUGAAAACUUGAACAUGAAAUUAUACUAAUUUGAAUCCUAGUUAUAAGAAGAUCUUUAUAUUAAUCAAAGAUUCAAACUCUAAUAAUCUUUCCAAAUUUGAAUUUGAUGUCCAAUUGAUCCACAAAGUUUGAGAAAGAAAAGAAGAAAGAGUAUAAUCACUCUAAUAUCUAAAGUUUAGAAAAUAAUUUCAAAUAUUCGUUAAGUUGUUAGUUCAAAGAUGAUUUUGUCAAUAAAAUUUGGUGAGGUAUAUAGGUGUAAUGUAUUUAAUUAUUUUAUAAUAGACUUUAUGAAUUAUAAUUUAACACGUAUGUUAUUUAUAAUAUAUAUAUUUGAUUACAAGUCAUUAGAAAUUAGAAGGUGGAGAAAGCAAUUUCAUUUUUUCAAGUCAUCUUUUUAGUUCUUAUUAAUUAGAAAUUAAAAGAGUAUAUAUAAUAAUAAAUAAAUAAGGACAGCUUUCAAUAUUAAAAAAAAAUGAAUAAAUAAAUAAAAGAAAAGUCGAGAAUGCCACGUGGCUGAAGAAAAGGCAAUAAAAGAAUGUGGGGCCAUCAAUUAUAAGGUCCACGUGGUAUCGUUAAUUUGAUCCAAUCCAUUUCUUUAUUUAUAUAUUUAACAGAAAAAUCCUAUCUGUCUUUCAGUACGCUGCUUCGAAUAUUUCGCUCUUCUUCUUCUUCUUCUUCUUCUUCUUCUUCUUCGUCGGAGAUGGUGAAACCCAACCACUUGAAAAUGGUGACGGAUUCUGACGCUGCCGAUCUCAUUUCCUCUGAUCUCCGGGAACUCGGUAACGCUGCUAGAAAGCUUGCUACACACGCUGUUAAGCUCGGUGCUUCGGGUUUUACUGCUUCUUUUCUCCAAUGGAUUGCUUCCUUUGCUGCUAUGUAUGUUCCCCCCCUCUCUCUCUCUUUUCUGUUUGUUUGAUUUCUGAAUUUUUUUUAUGUUGUUUGUUUGUGGUUCUUCGCUGCUGAUCGGUUAUUUUAGUAGUUUUUUUUUUGCUGUGAGAAAGCUAAUUGGUGAUUUUGAUUCGAGGAAUUGAGUGUUUUUCAAUUGAUUUCUACUUGAUUUUAGUAAUUUGUUUGUUGAUUUAUGUGAUGAAGUGGUUAAGGAGUAUGACUAUGAUUUAGUUAGGGAAAUGAUUCGUGUUACAUUAAGAUAUGUGCUUCUGAGUGUUCUUUUUCGUGUUCCUUAUAUUAAUCUACUUUUAGGUUUUCAUAGAUCGUCUUAAUUUCACUUCGAUUCUUUUUAACUGCAGUUACUUGUUGAUUUUGGAUCGGACGAACUGGAAGACGAAUAUCCUUACUUCAUUGUUGAUUCCGUACAUUUUCUUUAGUCUUCCCGGUGUGAUCUUCGGUUUUUUCAGGUGAUCAUCUCCACUCCAAGCAAUUGCCUUCAAUUGAAGCUUCUGGAUUUGCGUUUUUUUUUUUCUCUUUUUUUUUUUUUUGGCUAAAUUGCUCUCUCUUUGCAGGGGAGAGUUUGGAAAAUGGGUUGCCGUCAUUGCUGUUGUGCUCCGUCUCUUCUUCCCGCGACGAUUUCCAGGUACAUUAGCCUCGACUUGAUUAAUGAUUACACAUUUAUUGAAUUCAUUUUUGGUUAAUAAUAAGUACAGAUUGUGCUAGCUGAUAAGUAUGUUGAUAUAGAUUUAGAGCCAUUAGUCGUUCUGAUCUUCAUUUAGAGAUUUUUGGAUGACUACCGCAAUUACUAGUUUUGAACUUUUGCUUUCUUCCCUUUUAGAUUAACUUUCUAAUUUAUGAACUGCUUGCUUUUGUUUUCUAAUUUGUUCCUUUACUUUUUUAAAAGUAUUUUUUGAAAUCUUAACUAAAUUUGAAAAGAAAUUUUCAGUGGUUUUCUGAAAACUAUGAGUUGCUUAAUUUUAUUUCAGAAACUGUUUGGUAGGAUGAUGUUUAUUUUGUUUUGAAAAAGAUGUUCUUCCUUCCUAUCACACAUGUUCUUGAUUUUUAAACAAUAUGUAAACAGGGAAGCUGUUUUUGAACAUGAUUUUGAAAGACCCAUCUCAUCUAUUUUCAAACUCUUUAAGCAUUGAUGUAAACAAACAAUUCACAAACAAAAACCCAUUAUCAAACCUCUUUGACAUCUUUGAGGUUAUGAAGUUUGACAGGAAGAACUUUAUAGUAAUCAAAAGAUCCAAAACUUUAGUUCAAAUAUAGGAAGUACCUUUAGGCAUUUAGUAUAUCUUCAAAACUUAUUUUCACAUUUGUAUUCCCAGCCCCAAGAUAAUUUGAUUCACCAAAGUUAAAAGGAACAAAUUACAUGUCAAACCUCAUUCAUAAUUAUUCACACUCCAAUCUUACAAGUAAAAGGGAUAUACGUUAGAUUUCAUCUUUAGGAUAUAGAUUUGAGAUUCGAGUUUUGUUUCAAUUUGAUAAUUGACCCUAAUUUUUUAAUUUUCCAUCUUGAAUGUUAAUCUUCAUUAAUUAAUUUCAGAGAAAUGUAAUUAAUUAACACUCAUUAUUAAGUAAUUUAAAAAUGUAAAUAUUAGGGACCAAAUUGGAACUAAACUCAAAACUUAACUAAACUAAGUAAUUAUAAAACAUUACGAAACUCAAAACUUAACUAAACUAAGUAAUUAUAAAACAUUACGAAAUUAGGGACGAAAAUAGUUUUUUUACUUAAAAGUUCAAGUUAAUAAUAGUAAUUUCACAUCACAUAAUUAAGUUACAAUCUAUUAUCCUGUGGAAGUAUAAUUAUUGCAUUCCAUGCUCUGAUUGUGUGGUAAUACAGAUUGGCUUGAAUUGCCUGGAGCUUUGAUACUUCUCAUUGUGGUGGCUCCAAGUUUGUUUGCCAAGACCAUAAGAAACGAUCCCAUCGGAGAAGCAAUCUGUUUGAUCAUAUCAUGCUAUUUACUGCAAGAACACAUCAGAGCCUCUGGUGGAUUCAGAAACUCAUUCACAAAAGCGAAUGGCAUCUCGAACACCAUCGGCAUCAUCCUUCUCUUCGUUUUCCCUGUCUGGGCACUGGUACUCCGUGUUCUUUGAUUGGUUUUUUCUUUUAUUUUCAAAAUGCAAUUAUGCAUUAUUGAUCUUUGCAUUUGUUUGGGAAUGUGGGCUUGUGAGAAUUGUGUUUACCUUUUUUUCUCUUCAAAUUGGGUGUUUGAUUGUCUGAAUGUAGGGGCUGUAUCAGUGUAAAGUUAGAUGAGGAGUUUCUCUCACAAAAGAUUUGUGUAUCAUUUCUUUGAGGGACAAAAUGUGAGAUAAUAUAGAUGUUAUUGUGCUACAAACAGACUUUAUUGCAAAUUAAUAAUAAUAAAUAAUAAAUCUAAAAUUUAAUAAUUAUUAUUAUUAAAAUAUAAUUUGUGGAUUACACAGAUAAUGUAAACUAGAGCAAUGGUUUUACGGUUGUAGAGAUGUUGAAUUUGAAAUUUUGAAAUUUUGAUGUGUAAACAUAUAUCUUAUUAAAAAAGGGUAUAAUUAAAGUGCAGAUUUGGCCCAUCUAUUUAUUUUAUAUAUAAUCUCUCUAUUUAUCAUAUUGUAAAAGAAUAAUGAUUAAUUUUUUUAUAAUAAAAGCAUUGAUGAGUUAUAGCCAAAGUUUUUACCUUUCUUAUGAAAAGAAAUUUAUAUAAGCCUAUUAUUGUCACACCUUAAUAGAAAUGGAUAAAAGUCUAUUAAAAAAAUGUAUAAAACUCUAUUAAAAAAAGGUAAAACUUUUGAAUAAAAAUCUAUUAAAUAAAGGUAAAACUAAUCUUUUAAUAAAGUAGUCUAUAAAAUUGAUAGGAUGUAUCAUUAAUACUAUAAUGGAUAGAAUUAUUGAUUUCUAUUUUUUCUUUUUUAGUUUUAACAUUUUUCGGGUGGAUGAAUAUUUGUCUGAGGAAAAAAAAGAAGAAGAUAUUGAUAUAUAGAUUGAUUGAUAGAGAUGGGCUAAUUUAAGACCACUUGUCUUUGUUGGUGGAUAGCACUCAAGUCAAGGGAAUGUGCCUAUCUAUGUGCUUUAAUUGGGUUAUAGUUGCUACCAAAACAACUUUCUCAACCCAAACUUGAACAACUCUAAGUCACUAUCAAAGUCAAAGAGAAAUAUUCUUAGGAUGUAGUGUAGGAUAUUCGAUUGGAUCUAUGGAGUCCUCCACAUUUCACCCCACACUCAUUUGUGUAGAGGGUGAGGUCGUCUUUUUCUUCACUUCACUGUUCUUCACUAUUCAUUUCUACAAAAUUCUCUAUUUAAUUCUACACGAAAUUGUGGUGGAGAUUCCAUGAAUUGAAAUCUCCGUCAGAAUUUUUUUUCUCGUACUUAAAAAGAAAGUAAUUAACUUAAUAACAAUUAUUGAAAUGAUUGUUUUUAAAUGUAGCAAAAUAGACUAAUAUAUAUAUAAUAUACCAAAUAUUAGUGCCUUUCUAGCGAUAGACAAUUAUAGACAAUAUCGAUCAUUACUUAUCAUUGAUAUACAAUGACAUUUUGCUAUAUUAAAAAUUAUUUUCGGUAAUUUUGUCGUUUAAAAUAAUUAUCCUUACAGAGAAAUUUUAAUCAUAAAGAACUUUUAAAAGUUCACGAACUCAAUUAAUUGUUACUAGAAUGUCAUUGCAACUAGUCUAAUGCUUUAUGAGUAGUUUUACGAUUUCUCUCUUUUUUUAACGAGUUGCAAUUGACAAUUACAAGAAAGCACUAGUUUUGAGAAAUUAAUUUAAAAAAUGUCGAACAGUUUAAUCACCUUUAAACUUCCUAAGAUUUUUGUUACUGCUAUGUGUGUGUGAAAAGUUCAGAUUUAAAGUCACACUUUGACAACUCCAAUAGUAAGUAAUAAAGCUUAUUGUCUGCCAAAUAUAUGUGUUCUUCCACAAAAACAAACACAAAAAUUGACAAAAUCACCACCACUCACUAUUUGCAUCAUAAUAUUCUCUCUUAUUAGAAUUUCAAAAGAAGCUAUAAUAUAAAUUAAAGGAUGGCUUCUUCUAAUAUUUUGUACAACACUAUUUUAAUAUGUAAUAUUAGCUAUUGAAGUUUUCAUUUCUUUGCGUUCUUUGCCUCUUCAUAUAGUUCAUCGAUUUGCUCCUGUAAAUGAAAUGAAACAGAAUAAACUCUCACAUUGCACAUCACUACAUACACUGCCAUCAUACAAUGAGAUAUAUCAGAAGUUGUAUAUAGAUUUUGGACUGCAGUUCAAGGUGAGGUUAACUAUUGUUUGCGAACCCACUUUUUCAGUAGCAUUUUCGAUAAAGAAAAUGUUUUUCAAAGAAUUUUGUGGUGCUUCAUGUCAUAAGACAGGGGAGUAGAUCCACACACGAUCUUUCAUCCAAUCCAAUCCAACUUGAAUUUUAUUAUUAAUUGUUUCUUAUUAAAUUAAAAUAUUUAAAUUUAUAUUUAUAUAACACAGUCUCUAAGACCUCGUUUGGUGAACAUUGUGUUUUUUGUUUUGUUUUUUAAAAUUGAGUUUAUAAACACUACUUCUCCCUACAUUUUCUUUCUUUGCUAUCUACAUUCUACUUAUAAUUUUAAAAACUAAUCCAAAUCUUGAAAGUUAAAAAUAGUAACUUUCAAAAAGUUGUUUUUGGAAUUUGAAAUUUGACUAAGAAUUCAACCAUUGUAAUUAAGCAAAAUGCAAAAUAUUGUAGGACAUAUGAUAGAAAUAGACUUAAUUUUCAAAAGUAAAAAACGAAACAAAAUGAUUACCAAAUAAGACCUAAAUUUUCAUAAAAUAAACAAAUUUUAAACAUCAAAUAUCUCUAUUAUCUAUUACAAAUUUUAAACUAAAACAUCCAUGGAAGAAAAACAUUAAAAUUCCACGAAUUCUAACACUUUAACAAAAUAUGUUAUAUGUUUACUUUUUUUUUUUAGUAUAUAAGUAAUUCAGGUUAGGUUGGAGUUGGACCAACUCAACAAAAAAAUUGAUUAAAUCCAAGACCCAACCUAUUCCAACCAAAAUAAAAAGAAUUACGAAUGGGUUUGGAUAUUCUAAGGCUAAGAAGAAUGGACAUUUCAUAUUAGAGGUCGUAUGGUAUCGAACACUUGGGGGACAUGGAUUCAUCUAGAAAUGUUUGGACAUGUGUCUUAUACACAAAAUUCCGUGUUUUUUUAGAAAAAAAAUUAGACACGUCCAAACACACCCAAUUGUAGUUUUUAGCCAAGAAGGAUCGUUGCAGGGAAAAAGAGAAUUUUCAUAUGGAGGAAGGUUUUUGCUUCAAUAUAAUCGUGUUAGGAACUAAGGUAGUAUGGAAUGCUUUCUUCCCACGUUAAUUAGAAUGGGAUGACGAAUGUAGUAAUUAAGUGGCUUGGCUGGUGUGGUUCUCGAAGUACUUAAAAAUACCCACCAAAUCGCACAUACACGGGUGAAUUCUUCUUCAAUAAUUUAUUCCUAUCAAAUCACAGCCAAUUGGGAAGCAUGCACAUCCUUUUCUUACGUUGGGUGCGUAGAGAAAGAGAAGGGAAACCAAAAUGGAAUGCAAAAAAAUGUCUUUCAUGGUAUGGGUACCUUUUUGAAACACAGCCCUAAUGGCCAAAAAUAAACGUUAACAGGCAGUACACUGAGUUUAGCACUCAAAAAAUAAAGAAGCUCCCAGUAAAAGAGAACAGCAGAAAUGCUGAAGGAACGAAUUUGGAAGUGGGAAAAGUGUACCUUGUAGUAUUUAAGCAGUUGUGGUCUCUUCAACUUAAAUGUUGGAGUUAUCAAAUCCCUCUCCAUGUCAAAGGGAUAUGGUUCCAAAUGAAUUGCUUUUAAUAGCUCAAAUCCUCGAAGCUGCCAAAUAUUUUACCAGAUUAGAUAAAGAAGUAUCUGUAAACAAUAAGAUCCCAACCGAAGUUAAGUAUCUAAAAGAUACUUACAUGGUGCUUUUGACCAUUACUAUUGAGCUCAUCCAAAAUAUACUUCCUUGCUUUGAGGUUCUCACAUAAAGAUUUAAAGUCACCAGUCAUAUUAUGGUUUUGUGCCCAAUCCUCCAAGGCCUUUUGAUCGGGAACCGCCACACCCACAAGAAAUGACUCAAAACUGUUUCCAUAGACCCAAAUCUGUACACCACAGGAAUUGUUUUUUUGCCAUGAGUAAAGGAAAGAUAAAAAUUAAAAUUUUAAAAGUGCACGUACUUCCAAUAUAUAUGAGCAAAAGAAAUGUGACCAUUAGAGAAAGUAUCCAAAUAAAUAAAACUGUCAUCUAAUGUAUCUGAGUUAUGCAAGAAUCAAUUUCUCCUACCGAGGUAAUCAAAGAGCAUUGCAAGAAUAUGUUUUCAAUGUUCUCCACUGCAACAUACUCCCCCUGUGACAGCUUAAAUAUAUUCUUUUUCCGAUCAAUUAUUUUCAUCGAUCCAUCAGGCUGCCAUUCACCGAUGUCCCCUGUAAUGUGUAUACAUGUCAUUUUCUAGUAAAUAGCUAAUCGCAUUUAUAAAACAAAUGUUAAAAUGAUAAGAGUAAACCAUUGAAAUGUAUUUUAUAAUGGUGAAAACGUUAACCUUGAAAUAGGUAACAAGUUGCACACCUAGAGAAAAAUUUCUAGCCUUGCGACAUGAUUAAAUGUGAAUGACCUGGAUUUGCAUAGUGGCUACAUAUAAAAAGUAAACAAAACUUCAAAGGUUUGGGAUCAAAUGGACCGUCUCAAAUUAAGUAGAAAUUCUUUCGAAAGAUGCUAUACGGGAACAGAUGGAAUUAACCCAAAGGAGCUAUUCUGUUCUGGCAACCUUGUUAGUGGAUAGAGAGAGCUUAAAGGAGUUAAGCAAAGAAAGUUAAUAUUUUUGGUGUUCGCCAACCGAAACCUAGUGUUUCAUGUGUUCAUAAAUUCUAAAUUUUAUCAUUUUUCUAUUAUCUUCACUUUUUAAAAAAAGUUCAAAAAUGUUUAAACAAGCAUGAAGCACUACAAUCAGGUUGGCAGUUCAACAAUACUUUUCAAAACAAAUACCAAGCUUGCAUAAAUUUAAUUAAAACCCUCUCUCAAACAGAUGCAAGAUACUUGCAUUGAAGUGACAUAAUCAGUACGAAACACUUCUCUAAAAUAAAUGUGUUUAAACUGAACUUCCUGCUACAUUUGAAACUUAUUUGGCACCUUCAUUCAAUCAACCCAGUUAUGCUAAUUUUUUAUUUGAUGGUACAGAAAAUUGGAAGAAAUUAACUACUUUAAGGAUACAAUUUGCAUAGAUGAUUGCAAGAACAAAAUGGAUAUGAAAACGUAUAUGAAAAUGAGAGAAAUAGAGAAAAAGGAAAAAUUAUGUAGAGAAACUUCCUCCCUUUCGAUCCCAUCUAAUUAUAGUACAGAUUCUAGCAUGUAGUUUUACCUGUAUGAAACCAUCCGUCAAUAAGAACUUCGCCAGUUAGAUCUUGCCGUUUAUGGUAUCCAGAGAACAAGGUACUUCCCCUUAAGCAAAUCUCUCCACGGGGUGUGGUGGCCAGUGCAUCAUACCCCAUAUCAGGAACUGACUCUAGCCUUGCUUCAAUUGUAGUAACUGGAACUCCAACCGUUCCCAUCAUGGUGAAAACAUUGGCUAUGGAUGUAAAACAUCCACCACAACUUUCUGUAAGGCCUAAAAUUGUAAUACGAUACAAGCUCAUUAAAAGAAUUAUUAAUACAUUGUGUUCUUUUCAAAGUUUGAAAUUUUUGCUUCAAUUCCUCCCAAAAAGAGAUAAGAGAGUUUCUCCUUUUUCUUUCACUUAAUGAAAAUAGUCGCUUGUUAAGAAAAAAAUGCAGCUUCUUCAAGAAUGACAUUGCUCAAUGAUAACUAGCACUAAUUUUUUACCGGAGACAAAGACUUCAAUUAUAUUCAGGUGAAUCUACUCUGAUUAGGUAAAAACAAAAUAAAUAGCAUCUUGCAUACCAUAUCCUUGGCUUAGAGUUGCACAACUGGUAACCCUCAGGAACUCUUCCACAUGCCUAGGCAAAGGUGCAGCACCAGAUAAAAAAAGGCGAACUCUCCCACCAAAUGCUUCUUUUAUCUUUCAAAAUAUAACAGCACUUUAAUUAUGUAAAAGAAGCCUUACAUUUAAACGAACCAUACACAAGAUAAAUGACAAACCUUGUCAAAUACAAGCUUGUCCAAGAGAGGUGCUGCUUUUUCCUGGAGCAGACCCUUCUUCAGAUAUCCUAGCUUGCUAUUAGCACUCUGUUUGUAAGUUACACUAUAGGUGAUAAUACAGGUAAUUUAAACCAAUAUAAUAAGUACAGAAUUCAAACGUACUAAAUGUAUGCAUAAUCGAAUAACAUCUUCCGCAAACUGCCUCCAGAAGAAACUUUGUUCAGAAUACCUAUAACAAUAAAGGUUGUGGAAAUUACUUAAACCACGUAAUUUCAAAACAUUAAGUAGUAAUCAAAUUAUGUAGAUAAAACAAGAACAUGUAUUGUACCAGAAUAAAUACGAUCGUAAACUCUAGGAACUCCAGAAAAUAUUGUUGGCUUCAGUUCCUGAAUAUCAUCUAGUAAAAACCUGAUGUCCUGCAAAUUUACACAGAAACAACUACAUAAGUUCAAAACAUAAGGGCAUGAGGUCGUAAAAACAAGAACUUCAACUGAUCAAAAUUACCCCACGCCAAAACCCAAUAGAUGAACCCUUGUAGAUGCAAUAGGUCUCCAUUAUCUGAUCAUACACAUGAGCUAGUGGAAGAAAUGAGAAAUAUGAAUCUUCUUCUGUCGCCUGUAAUGUUACCAUCGUGUAAUUACUACAGUUGUCAUGCAAAAUAUGAGAAAAAUGUGAUAGAACAUUAAUCAAACUACAUCGGCACAUAGUCAUUUAAGAACUCCCACAAUUCCUUCAUCAGGUCAAAAUUUAUAGUUGGCUGCUUACCACUUUAUCUGUCAAUAAAAGUAGGUGCUCCACAGACAAGACUUCGGCCAUUACAGCUGUAUUAUUGAGGAUAACACCUUUUGGUUCCCCUGUGGUUCCACUUGUGUACAUUAUCGUGCAGAUAUCGGUUUUCUGUUUUGAAGGGAGUUCACAGUCCAAGCUUCCCUGGAGCAAAGUAAAAAGAAAAAAAAUAGAUAUGCUGCUAUGGUGCUAAUGAUAAGACAAUAAAUGGUUGAGAAAAAAACGUAUAGUACCAACUGACAGAACUCCUCCCAAGAAAAGCAAGACACUCCCAGUUCUUCAGCUUCCUUCUUAAGUACGCUCGAAACAUUGGUAAAACUGACAAUAGCUGUGAACCAAAAUGAUACACAAUGGUUAGAGUUACAAAUUACAAAACUCUAGAAAGAAAGUGUACUUCAAGUUCUAAACUAAUACAACAUACUUUUUAAUUGAUUUGAACACCUGGGAAGGCAUGAAAAAAUCUGCACAAUGAACAAAAUGGAGGGAACAUUUAGAAUUGGCCGUUAUACAUUUAUACUUCCCGCUGAAAAAAAUGGAGUUUUGUUCAAAAACCAAUUAUAUUUUUUAAAAAUUUCUGUAUCUCAUGCGCGGAAACAACAUACAUUUAAUAAAUAAUUUUUUUUAUUUUUAUAUCGUUUGCCACACCAGGCAAAAGAAAACAAACUAUGUGCAUAUUUUGGCACUUAGCACUCAAAUCCCAGGGCUCUCUAUUGUGCCUCCAUUUUCCAGUUUAAAAUACACUAACACCAAACAUAAAGUCCAUGGAACAACUUAAAUAAUUAGCAAUAUAAAAGGGGUAAGAAUGAUAAGGUUAGCAGCAUGGAGACGUACAGAAGCAAGUUUGUUUUCUUGAACAAAAGCAAUUGAAACUUCAGCGUGGUUAAUGAUGAACUCGACAGCAUUAGCACCUGUAACAGUUUGAUUGUCAAUACAGGAGCUCAAGCUACUAUUCUCUUAUUCUUAAAGUUCAAAAGAUGCCAGAAAGAAAAUGGAACCAUACCAAGCGUGUCAUACAGCGGCACAUAAGUGAUAGCUUGGCUAUUACAGGCCUGUAGGUAACAAAGGGUACAUCAAAUUCUCAAACAUCAGUGUUAAGAGCAGAGGAAAUGAGAGCACUAGCCUAUCAACUUAAACUUUCAGCAUGAUAUCAAAUUCAAAUUUUCCGUAAAUGUCAUAGAAAUAAUACUGUUCCCCCAUUUUAUAUUCAUAGUCUAAUGCUGUCCUGAUAUUUUAGCUAAGGCCCAACAGAAAAUAUAGAAAAAAAUAUUAAAAUAAUUUAGAAGCUCAACUUUUGAAUCAAAUGAUGGUUUUUACUUCAUGAGAGAGAACUUGAAAAGAAAUAACAUGAAAGGAGGGGAAAUGAGCCAACAGUCCAACAGAAUUGGCGGAUUUAGCCCACACAUUGGUCAUUGUCCCCCUAAAUCUCAACCUCAUAUACAUCGUCAAAAACACAAAAUUGCAUACCUCCAUCGAAAUUAUCCAUUCAGGGCAAUUGGAACCAUAUAUACCACAGCGAUCGCCCUAUAAAACCCAAAAAAGGAACCAGUAACAGCAGGAAAAAACAUAAUUCCACUAAGCAUAGUUCCAAUUUAGAACAAUAAUAGAAAAGUAAGAACUUCUAAACACAUCCACUUCACUGAACAACACUUGGACUUACAGAAUUAACCCCACGCUUUCUAAUUGCAGAUCCCAUCCUGAUUGCAGCAUCAUAUGCUUCUUGAUAUGUGAGCCAUACAUAGGAACCCGCCUGCAAAGUUCAAUAAAAAAAAAAAAAAAACAGUUCCAAUAACUCGAUUUCAGCUUUUAGAUUUGAUAUUUGAUUUUCAUCAAGACUCAGAGUUGGCUGGAAAUUGUUACCUUAGAGUCGCCGUUGGUUUGCCGACGACCGAGCAUUGGGUUGCCUGGAUUCCUCUUGACGGAAUCACUGCAAGACACAAAAUCAUAUUGUUGGGCGAUCAAAAAUUCAUAUCAUGGCUAGGAAAUGCGAUCACUUCCUCAAAUGGUGCGUUUGAUUUUAAUCAACUACAGAAUCCAAAUUUGUGUGCACUUAGCACUGAUACUGAUACUGAUACUAAUACUAAUAGUCACUCAUAAACAUUAACUACCCUCACCCUCUCUCUCUAUCUAUUGUUAAUAGAUAUAUAUUCCCACUAAUACAUCCAAGUCUACUAUCAUUUAUUCUCCUAAUACACAAUUAAAUUUUGUUAUAUUUAUAUUUAUCUUUUAAAAUUAUUAUUCUUCUAAUUCUUUUAAUUUGAUUAAUUAAUUAUUAAACAUCACAUUCAAGAUAUGGCUACAAUGUUUUAAAGUUUAGAAAUACAAAUUGAAAUAUAACUCAAAUCUUUUACCAUUUUGGAACUUUUAACACAAAAAUCUACCUUUUAAAUCUGCCAUCAAACUAAAUCUAAAUAAAAAAAACAAAACUAUAAUACUUAAUUAAGUCCAUGAAGGAAAAAAAAGGCCACAACAUGAAACUGUAAUUGUAGACUGAAUUGGAUGUAGUUACUUUUUCAUAUGAAAAUGUCCAAAGAAAAGAAAUGGGAAACCUGAAGAAUUGCCAUGGAGAUUGAAGUUCAUCAGGCAAUUGCAGAAGUCCAUCUUUGGCGUAGAUGCUCCGGUAGACUGGCCCUGCGGAUGGCCUUCCGCCGCUCUGGGGUGUGUCCGCUUCGACGACCACCGUGUACGAUGUCGACAUUGUGAUGAAGAAAGGCGCUGUGUGCUGCAAAAUUGAUGAAAUGGUUUUGAAGAGGUAGCAGUGACUUUAAUACAAUUUGAUCUUUUAAACACACAAGAGAUAUGGGGGUGUUGGGAAGGUUAUUGGUUGGUUGAGCUCAGCUAAAUGCAUUAAAUUCUCAGCAAUACUACACCACCUUUGUCCUCAUACCCUUCAUACUAUUUUCUACAAUCUCUUAUUAAUUUCAUAUCUUUCUUACUUUAAUUAAAUACUUUAUAAGUUACCUUUUACAUAUCAAUUAUUCCAACACUUCCUUUCUUUUUCAAUAUUUGAUAAAUUGAUCGUAGAUUUGGAAUUUGUAUCCAAUUGUUAGUAAAGAAGAGAUGUCCAUUGUAAACAAGGAAAAUAAAUAUAUAUUAUGUUUACUACAUAAAGUGAUAUUCUACCCCUUAUUGUAAGCACACACUUUUAGGUUACUAUACACUUUUAAGUUUAUUUGUUGCAAACUAAAACCAUCUACAAGGUUUUCCUUUUUUUAAAAGAGAAGUUGCAUUAUCCUUAGUUUAUGAGAGAGAUGGAUAGUUGGUCAUUCAUAACUAAUAAACAAAAUUCAUUUGAAAUCUCAUCACUCAAAAAUCAAAAUCAUAAACUUUCAAACACAUUAUAAAAAAAGGACAUAAAAGGCAAAUUGUCAACUUCAAGAUCUCUUUAACGUAUUAUAAAAAUAACUAAGGCCAAAUUGUAAAAAUUUGCCUUUAAAAUACGAUGGUAGUUGUAACUAUAUUUCUAAACUUUCACUGAUAAAAUUUAUCCAAAUUUUAAAAUCUUCCUCCUAAACUUAUGUAUCUGUCUUGAUUAUAUAAGUUUUAAAUAUUCAAAUUUUAUUACUGGUAAGUUGAGUUUUCCAGUAUUAUUAUAAACUUGACAGACUAGUUUGAAGCCUCUUAAAGAAGAGUUGAUAUUGGCUCCUAAUUGGAAAAGAAGAAAAAAGAAAAGGUGGAGUGGGUAAUAGAGUAAGUGUGACAUUAAAUAUAGGUAGAUAUGAUGGUAAAGCGUUGAAAAAUGGGAAUCCCCAAAACCAAUCCCAACUAAUAUAUAAUGUGCAUAUAUUAAUUAACUUCAUCCUUUCCAGCCUCCCCUUUAAUGAACCAUGCCAAACAAAUAUAAAUAUAUAUAUAUAUACACAUACAAAAUUUAAAGCACAUCUCAGUUUUUUUAUCUUCAUUAAAAAGAGACAAAGGUAAUGUUUUUUCAGUAAAGUUCUUUUUUUCUUCUAAACCAACUAAAAGCUUAUAAAGUAGAGGGUAAACAUAAGUUUACGUCCCAUUUAAUGACAACAAAUUUGCACUGCCAACUUUGGUGGCCGCCUCAUUUUCCAUCUAAUGCAAAACCUUGAGUUUUUUUUAGUUUGAUAAUUGAUACAUCUACUUCCUUUCUAUUCUAUUGUAGUAAGCCGUUUAUGUAAACUAAAAUUUUGUAAAUGUUGUCUAACAAGAGACACGAUGCUUUUUAAAACUACGAUACUUUUCUAAUAAGUCUUCAAAUGUUUAGAAAUUUGUAAUGUUUAGGAGAAGAAGAAACACCAUUUAUUUUUAAAUUAUUGAUCUAUUGUUCCAUCGAAUUUUUAAUCUUGCUUUUUAAUAUAGAAGCUAAAUCAUUAUAUAAAAAUCUUAUAAAUUGAAAAGUAUGGAGACUAAACCCUAAUACGUUCAAAUUCUAAAACCAAUAAAGUAUAUACAAGGUGUGAUUUAGUUUAUAUUUUUAAAUCUUUAGAAAAAUAACUAUUUUUAUCCUCUCUUUUUUUCUCUUGUAAGCCAUUGCUGUCAAAUUAUAAUAACAAAUAGUUGAUUUGAUUUUGAUUAUAUAUUAGGAGUAUUUAACAAUAAAAUAAGGAAGACACUUUUUAAUAGUCAAUUUACUAAAAUGGAUCUUAAUUGACCAAAAAUAAAAUAAGCCUAAAUGUAAGAACAAAAGUGAUUUUGUUUUCAAUUUCAACCCUUAAAUCUUUGGGAGGGCUUAGGGUUUUCUUUUUUUCUCACUAAACUAUAUUUUAAUUGAAGUAAAAAUUUAAACAAAAAUAUUAAAUGAUGUAAUUGAUCUAACAUAAAAUAUAUAUUUCCUUCCUUAAACUACUUGUGAAAGAUCAAACAAGUUAAUUAAUAUUCCUAAACUUUUUCGUUCUACACUACAUUGUUUUUUUAUCGAGACCGACAAGAUUUAAAUCUCUAUAAUCUAUAUUUACUUGAAGAAUUUGAAAACGAAAUAGUUUGAUGAGAAGUAUCUAAAAUGUUUUGAAAAUAUUAGUGGUUAUAAAUAAGUUUGAUAGUUCAAGUUAACAAAUUGGCGAUUCAUUUAACUUUAGUUUAACACGUUGUCAUUUUGACUAAAGACCGGAAAGUCUAAUCAAUUGCCUUGUAUAAGUUAGAGACUUAAUUGAUAUAUAAAAUUACAAAUCUAUGUUAUGUUUAUCCGAACGAAUCAUAAUUGAGUAAAAAUCUAAGAUUUUAAUUAGUAUUAUUAAUUUACCGUUUAUCAAUUUAAAAACGCAAUUUGUUUACGCUAUAGAUUUGUUUUAGUGGACUCGACGCGUAAGUAUUUAUUUUUGCAUUGUUUAUAUAAAUAUGUGUUUUAAUUAUAAUAUAUAGUAGUUUGAAAGGGAAGGGACUUUAUAUUGUUGGACAAUCAUUUUACUAGAAGUUAGGUGUUUUAUCCAAAGCAACAGUGAUUUUGGUCAAAGUUAAUUUGUCUUUCUCAACAAAAAAAAAAAAAAAUGGAAAAUUAACUUUUUUUUAAAGAAAAAAAAAAAAGCAAAAGCUACUAAAAUACAAAUCUAUAAAUAUUCUUUUUUCUAGACAAGGUAAAAUUGGACAAAAGGCCAAACUUUUUUCUCAUGAUCUCUCUCAUCAAUGUGAUUGUAAAUAACUAUACCCUAAAACAAAUAUUGGUAACAUCCAAACUCUUGUUUGAAACAUUCCUCUACUAUUCUUGAUAGAUCAUAUUCUAAAAAUACUACAUAUCGUGGUCUUUAACAAAAUGAUUAUUAAAAAUGUGAAUAGAGUUUCAUGUCUUCCAUAAAUUUACUGUUCGAUAUUAUAUAUUUAUAAAUCAUAAAAUAUAUUUUUUUAAAAUAAAAAUAAUUUACAUGAUAUACUUAAUUUUAAACUUUUGACUUUAAAUUAUAUUAAUUCCAAUUUUAUAUCUAGUAGUGUUGUAAAAUGUUGAAUGGAUCAAGUAUCUAUUGCGAAAAGACACAAACUGAAGGUUUAGUAAUUCACUGAACGCUUUUUAAAGUCUAUCAAUCAAAUAGACACAAAUCUAAACGUUUUUAAAAUAACAUUUAAAUAUGGAAUAAGUAUAAAUAAUAAACAAUACCAUACCAACAUUUUGUAUAACAUAAUGAAAAACAAUAGCAAACAAUAAAGUGAACAAUUAAAUGUUAUUGACCAUAACUCGUUAAUAAUUGACGUGCACAUCAAAUCCUCAUACCAAUUACUCAUUGUACUAAAAACAAUAAUAAUUAACCUCCAGUGAGCACGUCUAUUUUUCUUUAUUUUUGGUUUCUUUCUUUUUCUUUUUUUAUGUUUAUUUUUGGUUUCUUUCUUUUUCUUUUUUUAUGUUUAUUUUUGGUUUCUUUCUUUUUCUUUUUUUAUGUUUGAAAAUGUUACAAUUUUAUCUUAAGUUAUUUACGUUAAUUUUCUAUUAAUUAACUUAAAAUAAUGAUUAAAAUUAAAUUGAAUUUCAUUAAUUAUCUAUUGAAUUAAAAACAAUGGAACAAUCAAUAUAUAUCUACAUCAUCAUGAUUGUUUUAGUUUAUUAAAGAAAAAUAAAAGUGUAAAAUUAGAAAAGGUUAUAAACCAAAUAAAAAGUAAACUCAUUGUAUGAGAGAAGGAAUGAAAAUAAAAGUAAGAAUUAAGAAAUUGAUGGGUAGAAAAUGGAAGAUUAGAGGAUAUAAAAAGAGAUUUGAGAAAGAGAGGGAGAGGGAGAGGGGAAAACAACAAUAAAUUGGUAACAAUAAUGCAGCUACCAAAUAUUGAUGUAUAAUAAAUGAGGGAUCAUUAAUUAGUUUCACCUUAUAAUUUUAUAUUUAGUAACAAAUUUAAUGCUAGAUCUUCUUGCAUCACCCAACUGGCCCCUACCACAAUUAUUUUUCUAUAUUUUUCUUUUUUUUACUUUUCUUUUUUUUCAAAAAAAUUAUUGUUGUUGUUUUACAUUUACCACCCUUUGUUCUAAUAAAAAUAUUCAAAACUUUAUUUUUAAAAAAAUAAUUUUAGAUUGGUGUAUAUAUGUUUAUUGGGUCAAUUGGUUAGAACUCAAGGUAGGGUUAGGACUUCUACUUUGGGAUGUAGAUUUCCCUAAGGUCGCCUAGUGGUUUUUCUUCGACUUGAACUUGUCUACACGCUAUCGACCUUAAUUAGCCUCGGACAACCUUGAACAAGUCUUUUAAGUUUCAAAGUAUUAUAAGUUUCAAAAAAUUGUUAGGAUAUUGAUACAGAUUUGGUACACGAUCUUGUACCAAAUCUAUAAGAGAUCGUAUAUCAAAUAUAAAAGAUUUUGGUACCAAGAUCAUUUAGAAGAAUUGCAUGCAUGUGACCGAUUAAUCGCGUAUUAACCGUAACAUUUUUUGUAUUUUCAUUAUGGGCCUAUAGGUUUUUUCUGUUUUUGAAAUUAUUCUAUAAAAUGUAAAUAUUUUUACCGGUAUGUAUUUACAAAUAUAGAAAAAUGAUAAAAAAAUAUAUAUAUAUUUUAUCUAUAACGCCCGAGACUAGGAGGAAGACAUGAUUGAACCGAUAUACCAUCUAAAUGAAAGAGAUUAUGAGGACAUGAAAGUCAUGUUAAGAAAAAGAAUUAAAAGUUAAUACAUGUACCAACAAAGUGCACAUUUCUUUUCGGUGACUCGAUUAUAGGAACUCCAAAGUAAUUUUUCUAAGAUUACACCAUCUUGUUGUCAUUUUGUUAUAUUUAAAAAAUAAUUUUAGGAUUAUGUUAUUUAAAAUAAUUAGGAAGUAAAAUUUUAAAUUUGAUUUGUAAUAGUGAUGAAAAAUAGUUAAAGUUGAUAAGUUAGCUCUGAGUUAAUUGAUAAAUACUAAUACUAAAAACAAAGAUAGAGUAUUUAAGGAAAGAUUGAGAUUAUAAGGUAGACACCAAAUUAAAAUAAAACGCAAAUUUAAGAUGGUAACAUUUGGAAACUAAGAAUUAAAAAUAGAAACCAAGUACAAAAUUUAAACGCCAAACUUGUAAAUAAAGACUAAACCUAAAACUAAAAUUAAAAGGCCAAAAACAUAUUUUCUCCCCUCCCCCUAAAAUUAUAGAUCAUAUAGGGACAAUAUGGCUACUUAGUCCAUACAUUAAAAAUCAAAAUUAUACAUAAUAAAUUCAGUCAAACCCACUAAUAUCAACAACAACGUCCCUUUUUUUGACCAUCAUAAUUAGGUUUAUGUUAUAUCAUUCAAACUCAGUCAAAUUAAAUUAAUAAAGCAUUAACCCACACAUUCACUAAAACCUAAGUUUGAAACAUUUUUCAAAAUCCAUAAUAUUUCUCAAUUUUAGAAAGAGUUUUAACAUUUUAUUUCACAUCCAAUUCUGUAUCAAAUGAAUAUUCUAUUAGAAGAAAACAUAAAUUUUAGGAGUCUCCAUUGUAAAAAUAUAUUGUUUUUAUUUAUCAAUUCAUAUUUAUUCCUUGUAUUUUUAAUAUCUAUCAAUUGAAAUGAGAAUUAAAUUGAAAUCCCUUUAGAUACAAAAUUGUUCUUCUUCCAUCACGUGAAUGUGAACUAUGGAUGUUUACAUUUGUGUGUCAAUCUCUCCUUUUGUUGGAAGGUUAAGAGUCCUCAAAAUGUUAAAUGAGAGAUUUAGAGUUCCUCCAAUGAGUAUGAUUGUGACUGUCUACUAUCCAUUACUUUCCUUCCAUUUCUAAUCUUAUACUUGGAAAUUGGGUUUGCAAAAGUAGCCUCUAAGAAUUUGAAAUUGAAGGACCAAAAGUAAAUGGCAAGAGUAAAGAGGGACCAAUUAGCAAAAUAAAAAAAAAAAAGAGUGAAGAAGUAGAAAAAAAUGUUGCAUUAAAUUUGUUAGAGUAGGGAUUUAACCUCAUAUGAGCAGUGGUUCAUCGAUUAAAGUUUAAGAGAGAGAGAGAGAGAGAGAGAGAGCGAGAGAGAGGGAGAGAGAGUGUGUAUUCUCUCUCGUCAAUUUUUCAUUAAAUGCUUCUCCCCACCUCCCAUUAAUGACCUCUACAAAAUUUGCCAGACAUCUCUUCAUUAAAACCCCCCACCACCAUUCUCUCUCUCCACCACCACCGCCGCCGCUUCUCUCUCCUUCCCUCCUCCCUAUCUCCCACCCUCCAUUUCCCUCUCUCAUCAUAGCCGCACACGUGUCCUCGUUUUUUCAUUUCUUUUCCUCCUUUCUCCUCUCCUCUCAUCUUCUAUUGAAUCUCUCCGGUGAUAAUAACGCCUCGGGAUCUCCGCAUCUCAACCGGCUCGACGAAAACGCCGCUGCUCCUCCUCCGCCUGUUACUGACGAUCGGAGAAACAUUGGACUCGUCAUUGACUUACUCCGUCUCGAUGAACCUCCACCUACGCCGUUGGAGAAUCUCCAGCUUGAUUCCGAUAACGGAAAGAAUCCUCCUCUUCGUCUGAAGAACGGGGACUUCAUACCUCUGUAGUAUCGGAAUGAGAAUACUCUCGCUUUCGGUAGAGAUCCGAAUGGUGACGGCCGUUUGCUCCAGAAGCUUCCACGACGGUACCUCCAUGGAGACGUGGUUGCUGGUUCUAGAAUCAUUCUCUCCGACGCUAAGCUCCGUUCGAAUCCGAAUGAAUACGAUCGUUUCAACAAAAAAUCUCUUCCGUUCAUUUGAUCCUCCACUGAAUUACUAUUUCGUGGCUCAUCAAUACAAGGCGUGAUCUCUGAUUCCGUUGCGUGGUAAGAAUCUCGAUUAGGUAUAGGAGGACCUUCAGCUAACGGUUCCAAUAUGAUGCUUCGUAAGAUGGUAUCGUCUAAGCUUGGCCGGAUUCUAGCUGCCAUAACCGGCGUGAAUGGAGAUUCCGGCCUAAAAACCACCGCGCGACAGAGAGGACAGUUCGCGUGUGAUCUAAGCCAUACAUCAAUACAAUCAACAUGAAAGGCGUGCGAACAAAUCGGUAGCGUUCUAACGUAAUCAUCGUCUUCAAAUUCCAAAAGACAAACGGCGCACUCACGGUCACGGCUUUUGGCAGUGUAGACGGAAAGCGGAAUCGUUUUGAUUACAGAUUCGUCCAGACCGUACGGAGAGAAUACAUGGAAGGCAUCUGUAGUAGGUUCGAAGAAAGGCGAAUCGUAAGGGAGUGAAUCCAAGUCGCCGCCAGAGGAGGACGGGAUGUAAGAUCGGGCAGCAAGUCGACGACGGCGGCGCCACCUGCGCCAGCGACGGCGGUGGAGACGGAGGAGAUGGAGAAUGGGAGGGAUGAGAUGGCGAGAGAUUAGGCGAGAGUAAGUGACGAUGAGAAAGGCAGUAGCGAUGACGACAACCAUGGCUAUUAGAGGGGGACUGAAGUCGACUGGGAGCUUCGCCGGCUGUAAGGAUGAAGGAGGAGGGAAAUUGGCGGCGGCGGCGGAGGAGGAGGAGGAGGAGGAGGAGGUGGAAGGAGAAGGAGAGGGAGAGGGAGAAGGAGAAGGAGAAGGAGAAGGAGAAGGGGAGGUCGGCAUGGAGGUGGUGCAACGGCGGAGAGGGAGGGGGAGAGAGAGAGAUUUGUAUGAAGAGAGAAGAAGGGUUUAAUGGAAGAAGAAGAGAAGAGAGGUUUGACUCUUUGUUAGGUCCUCCAUGCGAUUUGUCGACGAGGACAUUGGAUGAAUGACACGUCACUAUUCACAAAUUUAAAGCCCCUUCUUGAGUUUUCAUCUUGUGCGGUGCGGACUAUGACAUUCCAAUUCUUCUAUAAAGUCUAUUGCCACCUCAGCAUCCGUGAGGCCCUACUCUUAUGUUUUUAAUAACAUAUAUACAUUAGUCAUUAACAUUAGAUAUAUAGUGUUUUACAUUUCCUUUAGUUUAUGAUGUAUGAAGUAGGAGAAUUGUGGUUUUAAUUUGCGAAAUGAAAUAGUAUGGGAUAAGAAAAGAAAAGAAAAGAAAAGAAGAUGAUUGGGAAAGGAGGGGGGGGGGUGUAAGUGAGGGAGAGAGGAAGAGAAAGUAAAAAAGUGGUGGCCCACAGAAGAGGGGAGCAGAGAUCUUCCAUGAAAUUUGAUGCCAAAAAGCAAAACCCAUUCAUACGUAAAACAAAACACCAUCCAUCCAAAUAUCUAUAAUAUAAAAUAUCCAAAUAUAUUAUUAAUAAUAAUAAUUGGAUUGGUGAGUUAAGAAAGAAAAAAGAAAAGACGAAGAAGAAGAUAAUAAAAUGGAUUUAUAAGAACCAAUGAUAAUGGAGAGACUAUGUUGAAAGGGCCAUGGUUUAAUUAGAGUUUGUGGAACAUAUCUACCUACAAAGUCAAAAAAAAUUUAUCAUUUCUUUUCUCUUUUUUCAAAAGCUGAUUUUGAUGUGAACCCUACCCUUUUUCUUUCUUUUUUUUUUUUUUUUUUCAUAUAAUGGAGCACUAAAAUUAUGUUGGACCCAAUCCAAUUCCCUAUCACUACAUAUCAUUGAAUAAUAGUUAGUACACACUAUGGAACAAUAACAUAUAUAUAUAUUUAAAACUUCGUUUAAAUCUACAAAUUAAACUUAACCAAACUCAAAUCUCAAAUCUCAAAUCUCAAGAAAAAAAGUUAUAAUAUUUUUGUUUUGAAAUUAUUUAUAACAUUAUUCAAAGGUUUUGCAUGACUAUGAGAAAGUAGAAUAAAACAUUUUUUCUUCAAUCUCUUUCCAUCAACCAAGUUUUAAUGAAUGUCUUUAUCAAGAAGCAGAGACAUGGCUUCAUUUCCAUCUGAGUUUAUAGUAAAAACAAUGCUAACUCUUUUGGCUUCUUUUCAUUGUGAAUACAAAUAAAUGAUUUUGUAGCUUUUGGUUUUUUCUAGAAAAAAGUAGAAAUGUUAGAGAAAAAAUUGGUAGAUAUAACUAAUGUUUAUAUUAAUAUUUAGUUGUUAAGUUUCAAAUUCUACAUUUUAAACCUUCAACUCACUAACUAUUUACUCUUUAUUUUGUUUAUAUUUCGUAAAUACUUUUAACAAUUCUGUCAAUAAUUUUUUUAUAUAAACAUAUUUGUAAUAACUAUAAAUAAUUAAGUUUUACUAUUUCUAUUACUAUUAAAAUUAAAACCAUAUGUAUAUGAGUUUGAUUUUAAAAUCUUGGAAGAGAUUGUUUGAAUCACUAAAAUUUGUUUCAUACUAAAUAUUUGGAAUUUGAAUUCGUGAGACAAUUAAUGUUUGUAUUUAAUUUAGGUAUCAAUUAAUUUUUGGAUGUUAUAAUAUAUUCGUUUGAUUUAUCAAUUUUACAUAUAUUUAAUUUUAAAAUAAGUAAUUAAUUCCACGUGGAGAACAUUUAAUGCAGUCUUAAAAAAUUAGAGUUAUUUAAUACAUUGUUGUAUUAUAUUACGUUACCCUUAGAAUAAAAAUAAUUGAGUAUCUUCAUAUUGAACAAUUCAUUUACUCAAAGGAAUUUAUUAAAUAUAAUAUUAACCAUUAACAAUAACUUUUUUAUUAGAUAGUUAAGGAUGACGUGUUAGUUGAUGCAUAUUGAGUUUGAAUAAUACAUAAAUAUUUAAUAAACAAAACUAUUAUAAAUGACAUACAAAAUAUUUAUACAAUACGAAAUUUUAGAUAUAUUAAUGAUAGAAAAUGAUAUGUAACAAUCAUUUUGAUAAACACUCCACUUAAAUUGCUUCUAGGCUUAGGAAAAAUGGUGCAUUCGAGUCUGUGUUAUGAGGUUCCAAACCUUGCUUUGUCUAUGAGUAAUAGUUUUAAAAUUUUACUAAUUCUUUAAAAUAUGUUAUGACUCAAUUUACUAGAUUUAAAAAUGCUCAUGUUAAUAAUUAAUUAAAUUAAUAGUAAUGAUUAAUUGAUAAUAGUAUAUUAGUGUUGGAUAUUCGGUAUAAAUAUCUAACUAAUUGUAUGAUGGUAUUAAAAACCAUGUCAAAGAGGUUUUGAAAAUUUUCUAAUAUUAGAUUCUAUGUAACAAACCAAGAUAUUAAAUAGAUAUUAAAUACAUAUUUAAAAUUUCAUGACAAAACCAUCCAAACAAUUUUGUUAAAAAGGUUUCGCAUAUAGUUGAAUGAGGGUUUAAACUUGGAUUCACCUAUAAAGAUGAAAGUUUUUGGACCAAUCAAUGAUUUGAGAUGGUAUUAGAGUGGUUACCCUAAUUUAGCUAUGUCAGCAAAAAUUCUUCAGGUGUCAAACAAAGAUAUAGUAUAACCUUGAAAUUAUGUCAUAUCAUGAUUUGUGGUUGAACUCUAUGAGAUAUGUGGUGUGUUUGAUCGGGUGAAUACAAGAGCUAAACAAAUGCAUGACUAUUUGAGGGAAGAUUCAAUGGUACUUUGUUCGAGGGGAGGAUUGAUAAAAGUGUGACCAAAAAGUUUCAUGUCGAUUAGAUAUAAGGGUACGAUCAUGAAUAUACAAUUGACAACCAACUAUUUUCACAAAAAUAAAGUUUUUUAAAAUGAAGCCACAAGCAAAAGUAAAAGUAUUUAAUAUUAUAUCAUUUAAACACAUAUAACAUAGUACAAUUAAUCAUUUAUGUUUGCAUCAACCAAUGUCUUUGUUUUUUUAAAAAAAACUAGAGAUAUGGCUUCAUUUCCAAACAAUAAUAAUAGUGCUAAGAGAGAAACCGACAAGUAUAUGUGAUCUAACGGUCGAUUAUCAUUUUAGAGAUAAAGUUUUAUAUUUAAAUAUAAUUUAAAAUUUAAAAUUAUGAAUUCACAUAUAUUCUGAAGCUAAAAAAUGAUGAAAAUAGUUAAAUUUUGUAAAAAGUCACAUAGUUGACUUUUCAGUCUUUAAAGAGUCAAACUUUGACCAACUUUAUAUUCAAAUGUGAUUUAAAUUUUGAAAAAAUAAAUGAAGAUUCAUACUUAAAUUAGUCAAGACGAACAAAGUGGAAAAAUGUCAAAAUGUUAACUUCUCACUUUCACUUGAUUGAAGAAAUGACCAUUUUGCCAUUUAACUUAAGUUAGUGGAAAAAUCUAACAUAUUGUUGGAUAAUCUCACUUAGUUUUAGUGGGAUAAGUGGCUACAUGAGAUGUAAACACCUAAUCUACUAAAUUAAUGGAGUGUGAGGUGUUGGAUUUUGGUGAAUUUACACAUGCAAUGUCUUUUGUCUAUUUAAAGGAUAGUUUUUCAAAAUAUGAAAAACUUUUUGGUGUUUUUUAGAUUGUCUUUAAAAUUAAAAAGUGGAAAACUCAUCUAAAUUCUCCCGACCCUAAUCCAAUUUCCAUCUCUCUCUUUGAAAUCCUUCACUUGUCGAGUGUUAAAUCCGAUUUUAAGUCUGAAAAAUAGUAGAUCAACACUAGUGGUGGUCAAGUUUGAAAUUGAGUGAAGAUCUCAGGCGAACAAGAGCUUCAAAGGUGAGUUCCAUUUACCCUAAUUCAUUUUAAUUAGAGUGAUAAUGCAUGUUAAUUUCAAAUAUAAUUAGAUGCAAUUGGGGUAAAAUUCGAUCAUGUUUUUUUUGUUGCACAUGUCUCUUUUUCCAUUUGUACAUGGUGUUAGUUAAAAGCCUAUUCAAAUAAUUUAGUUUUACUAUGAAUAAAAAUAAGGUUUAAAUCUUAUUUUGGUCUCUAAACUUUGUAUUUUGUUCUAUUUUGUUCAUAAACAUUACUUUUACAUAUUCAUUUCAUGUCUUUAGGAUCAUUCUCAUUCAAAUGUGAUAUCGAUUUAUUUAUGUCUCCUCCUUAAUCUCGGACAUUAUAAUUUUGUUAACUCUACCAAAAUGAUGAUGUGACUUUUAUAUUUUGAUGAUUAGACUUCAUAUUCAUCAUAUUAAUUAAAUUGAUAAAUGACCAAAAAAAUCUUGCUAAUUUAUCAUAUAAAUCUUUUAUCCCAAAACAAAAAUAUAUCAACACCCUUAAAUAAAACUAAUUUUCCUCUAAAAAAACCCAAAUUUCUCACCUUCCCUCUAACUUUCAAACCCUUUGUUCAUUUAUUUACUUUUUCAAAUUGAAAUCUUAAACAAAAUCAUAAUAACAUUGAGUAUAAUAAUAAAAAAAAAGAUUGACAUAUUGACGUUAACAUUCAUAUUAAAAUAAACAAAAAAAAUACAAAAGAUGUAUAAAAUAAAUUCUACAAAAUUGUAAAUAAAUAUAUCCACAACCAAUUACAAUAUCAAAAAAAAAAAAAAAAAAAACCCCUCAAUAAAUCACGGAACAUCCCAUACUUAACACACUAUAAAACUUGUAGGUGGGUAAAAUUGCAUCUAGCAUAUGAGUUAAGAAAAUAAGGUAAGUGAAGUAGAAUACUAAUGGACCAAUAGAACGAUAAUCAAAAUUAAGAAAUAUAGCGUUUAGUUAAAAAUUAAAAGAAAUUUUUUAAAAAUAGUAGAUUUUAUAAAAGAUUUACGAUCUAUAACAAAUUUUAUCACUGAUAGUCAUUGAUGUGCUAUAAUGAUAGAAGACUGUGAGCGAUAGAAUCCAAACUUUUACUAAAUAUUUUAAUUUAUUCAAUUAUUUUUAAAAAUGUUUCAAAAUUAAAAUCCUACUUGUAAUUGUGAUUAUGUUAGUAGGCAGUUUAGUGAUACAAAUAUAGUAAACACUAACGGUGAAAAGAAUACCGAAGAUUUAGUAUUCAAUUGUAGGGUUGGGCUUUAAAGGCUUAAACCCACGCCAUAAGAAAUAGAAAAACCCCAAAUCCGAUUCUAGGGUUUUAUCGUCCUCUUUCGGUCAUUCCGAUCCAGACAAUUCCAAACCAAAAAAAUGUUUCCAGGGAUGUUUAUGCGUAAGCCUGAUAAGGCUGCUGCUCUCAAGCAGCUCCGAUCUCACGUCGCUAUGUUCGGCGUUUGGGUUGCUGUAAUUCGAGUUACUCCCUAUGUUCUUCACUACCUCUCCGACGAGAAAGAAGAACUCAAGCUCGACUUUUAGGUCAUUCCCUAAGGUAUUUCAAUUCCAUCCUCUCAUUAUCCUUCUGGGGUUUUGAAUUUUUAGUGUUUUUGAGAAAUUAUAUGAUCUCAUCCCUUGGGAUUCUGUUUUGAUUAUUACUUGAAAUUUAGGGUUGGAUUCACUCUCUGCUUCUAUCUUGAAUUUUCAGUUGUUUAUACUGCCGAGAUUCGGUUGAUUUUGUUAAAUUAGCCUGCUUGGAAGCUUCUGUGGGACGGAAUUCAUUUGUUCUCAGUUAACUGCAGUGUUUUAUUCUUUCCUUGGCUAUGUAUAUUGACGACUGGGGUAGGCUUUUGUAUUAAGGACUUGGGAGAGACCUUAAUAAGUGAUAUGUCAACUACCAAGCAUUGGUCAUGCUUGGUAGUUGGUUCUGCUAAUUGCCAUAUUGGUCGGAAUAUGACAACAAACUGGAUUUGUCUCUGGCACAUGUUUGAGAGUGAUUUUAAAAUGCUUUAAAUUGAGGGAUUGAAGAUGUGCUUUUGAAGUUGUUUUGAGUAGGACGAAAGUAAUUUUAAUAAUUGCAAAGCAACUCCCAAACAUGCACAUGCACUUGCACUCAUCCGAAAUGCUUUUCAAAGGGUCAUCUCCUGUAACCUUGAGCCGUUAGUCGAUACUCUAUUACCCUAUAUCAACAUACAAUUUUCUAGAUAUUCUGAUGAAAGUAGAGACUGAGGAAGAUUCCACGCUUGAUUAUUGUUCGGUGCACUAGAAGUUGUCCGAUAAAAUGCUUAUAUCAUAAACGUGACAAAUUUUAUACGGGUAUGCAAGGGAAUCUGAGAUUGCACGGCCUUCCUUCUUAGGACUUAGAAGGGUCUCCUGACUACGAUGGGGUGAGAGCUGGGGAAUUUAACAUCUUUUUAGCUUGUAGGUUUGCUGCUUGAAAAUGAAAUGAAAAUAUACAGAAUUGAUGUCGUCUUCUGAUUAAUAGGAAAUAUAACCAUCUCUUUACUUCCUUUUUAUGGAAACCUCUUUACUUCCUUCCAGUGUGAUUUAUAUCAGGUUUACAUGGUUAAGUUACAAAUUUGGUCUCUAUGAUUAGGAGAAAGUUAAAUUUAGUCCCUAUGGGUUUGAAAGUUAAAAUUUCAUUUCUUCCUUAUGGUUUGAUGAAACCUUACACAUAAUCCUUAUGUGUUGAUAAAAUAUAAGGGAUGAAUGGUAAGUUUUAAACCAUAGGGACUAAAUUCUGACUUUCUCUAAACUAUUUGUAUUGCUGGUAUAUAUCUCACUAUUUGCUGACUAUGACUCGAGGUAGUUUUGUUAAUUUGCAUGAUGUUUAUGUAGCUCACUGUUUCCACUUUCCAGGAUGUCUGGUUAUUGACGACCUCAUUUGUGCUGCACGACCAUGUGUAUUUACAUUUGCAGAAAUUGAUAACUGUUAGCUCCUUCAUUUCUUAUGCAGUUUUUGACUCGAUCAUGCGGUGAGGUGAGGUGAGGUGAAGUGAAGACUUUCCAAAUUAAGCUCAUGGGAAAAGAAGGGAAGGAGACUUGUAAUCUUUUUCAUUAUUUUCCAUUUUUACCUUUUCUAUUGGAUAAUAAGCAAAUGGUUAUUAUAGUGUUUGAUGAGACGUGAAACCAUUCCAUUAAUUCUCUGGUUGGGUGUGGGGGCAGGCAAUGAAGGUUGCAUUUUAGUUGGUAGAAUGUGUUAAUGUGAGAUGCAGAUGACACUGUCCUUUUAUGCAGCUACAGUUAUUUGGCCUUAAUUAUUAUUGUAACUUUAUUUAUUUUAUAUAUUAAAAUCCCAUUGAUAAUUAUAAUUAACUUCCCCCAACUAUAUGUGGUGAGAACAUAGAAAUACUUCAAUUAGCUCCAUAAGGCCACGUCUAACUAAAUGUGAUGUUGGAUUUAAAGGGUACAUUCUGGACCUUGAGAUUUACAGUAGGUUUCUAAAAGGGGGUCUUUUUGACUGCGAGCUAUUAAAAGUUAGUCCGAAAGGGUUUCUUUCACCCAAACAAACUUUGUCCUCAACGGUUGUACUUGGUGUCUAUUUGAUCUUGGAGUUUUCAAAUGUGACGUUGAAAGGGUUUUCUUCGCGAAAAUAAACUUUGUCCUUAACGGUUAUAUUUACUGUGUUUAUUUGAUCUUUGAGUUUUCAAAAGUGACAUUUUAUUCCCUUGAGUUUGAGAAAUGAUUUCUAAAUGUUUGAUGAUUGCCGAGUGUUGGUUAGUCGAUCAUUUGUUGAAGGUUAAGAAAUGAAAAAGAAAGAUGAAAUUUGGGGGAGGAGAAAUGAAAAAGAAGGGCAAAACGAAGGAAUAAAAACCAAUAAAUUUUCCAACUCAAUUAUUAAAACUGCCACCUCAAUUUUUCGUUUGGUCAACUAUGGAAAACCAUUUCUACUUGAUUUCUACUUGGACUUGGAUGUCCCUUUCCAAAUUUAUAAAGUUAAGUAGAGAUACUUAAUGCCCAAACUUUAGAGAUUAAACUAUGAACUACAUUUAUGUAAAUUUAAAAUUUUUACUUUUCUAAGCAUGCAUCAUUUAUAAUCACUCAUUUCAUUAAUUAGACAUGGGAAAAAAGUCGAACACGUGUAAAAGUUAAAUAUACACAUGUGAUUUUCAAAAGUAAUCUCAAUAAAAAAUAUAUACAAUAAUUUUCUAAAGAUAAAAGAAGGUAUCAAUUGAUACACUUAUGAAAAUUCAUAAUUUAAAAUAAUAUAAUUAUUAGUUAAUGAUUCAAAAUUGACAAUAACUCAAGAUAUAAAUAGAGAUUUCUUCUCUAUAUAACACUUCAAUUAUCUAAAAUAAAGAAGUCAAUUUGAAUAAAGGUUGUAGAUGUUACAACUUUUUGGUUAAUCAUAUAAAAAUUAAUUUAGUUUAAAAACCAAUUUUUAUUAACUAGUGUGAGUGAGUAUAUCUUCAAACAAGUUAAUAGUUUCUAUUUCUAUAAUCCAAAAUGUAAAUGAAAAUUGAGCAAGUGAAAGUGAAAGUCAAAUAAGAAGAAAUUAGAUUGAGAAGAGACAAUGAGUUGAGAGAGUUCUCAAAAACAUCAAUUUGUAUGACUACACAAAAGUCAUUAUUGUAGGGCAUAUGCCCUUAGGCCUCUAAAAACAAUUCAAAUGUCUUUUGUGAUUUAUUACUAUUAUAUUUGGGUGUGAAUAAACUCCUUUUGUGGGGUAUAUGACCUUAACUACUAAUAACUCAAAUGUGCAUUUGUAGGCCAUAUGAUGUCAUGAGUUCCCAAUAAUUCAAAGUGUCAUUGUAGGGUAGAUCUUACCCCUAAGUUUCUAAAAAUAAUUGAAGAUUGUAAUUGAAGGGGACAUCAUGUCCAUUGCUUCAAUUAAAUUUUCUUGGCAUCAUAUUGUUUGGCUUCACUUAACAUUUCAAAGAUUCUUAUUUUCCAUAAUAUAUGGACAAAGAAUGUCUUUAACACCAACAAGAAGAACAAAAAAAAGUGAAAACUUAUUUGGUUUUACUCUUGUAUUCACAAAUUUCUCUUGGAUUUACACAACCUUCACAAUUCCCUCAUUUUAAUAAUAAAAAAAAGAAUCUUCCACGGUACUUUACAAAUCUAGUUCAUAAACUUUAAAUUUUGCCUACUUGAUCCUUAAAUGUUAAAUUGUGUCUCACACACCCAUACAAUGUUGUUUCUCAAAUAGUCUAAUUUUAAAAGGUGUAUGAUAUGUCCUUAAAUUAACAUCAGUAUGAAAUCUGCUGAAAUUUAUGAAGACAAAUUUAUAGUGUGAACAAAGAGAAUAUGAUACUAUAGGAGUACUAGAAAAAUGUUCACUCGACACAUUGUCCUAGUGAUGCCAUCUGGGUUAAAGUUUCGAUGCAUGCAUAAUUCUUCUAUGUUUGAGAAUAAUACACAAAAGUUUGAAUUAGACCUUCACUCUCAAUUGCAAAAUGCUAUUAUAUUCCUCUUUUUACCACUCAACCACAAACAAGAGGCUCAAAAGUUAGACAUCAUCUACUGCAUAUCUUACUUAAGAUUAGAAGUAUCUAGUAAGUCGUCUUAAUCAAAUGAUAGGAACAAGAAGAAAACUUUUAGAAGGUAUAUGUAAAGAUACAAAUUGAAGACAUGUACAAGGAUAAGGACUAAACGUGUAAUUCAACGAGAGUAAAAAGGGAGGGAUCGUUUAAGUAGGGUAGCCAUGUACUUGCCUUGAUGAUGAGCAAGAUCAAGCUCAUUGGAAGAUGGAGGUCUUGAGCCAUCACCAGAGAAGACUCCAGCCCCAUAUGGAGAUCCUCCUCUUGUGGACUCCAAAUUACUCAUUUCACUCCCAAAAGUGUACCCUAUUGGAACAUACACCAUCCCAUGGUAUGCUAGAACAUUCACUGCUGUUAACCUACACAAACACACACCAUUCAUCCCAUGAUAUUGCAUCAGCUUAUUUACUCUCUCUAUAUAUAUCGACAGUUUCACAACUACUUGUAAACACAGUGUUGAGAGCUCAAUUCCGAUGGUUAUUUUAAAGUGUUGGAAUCAGUAUACAAAUAUGCAAAUUGCUACUAUAUCUUUGUCGAUGACAACUCUUACUUUAGUUUGUAGGAACAACUUAAUGUUUUAUUUUAUAAUUUUAUCUAUGAACUUUUAAAAGAUUGAACGAUGUUUUUAAAUUAAAAAUAUCCUCAAAUAGUCAAAGAUUUCGUAACAAACAAUUUGUUUUUUUCUUUUUAAAUUUUGAAAAUGAUGUUGAAUAAACAUAUUUAAAUUUCUUUAGGUCCAUUAGGAGAAAAACAACUCCUCGACUUUUCAAGGUUUAUUUAGGGAGGAUUCAAAUAUAACAAAAUUAAUCAAAAUAUUUAUAAAUAUAGUAAAAAUAUAUUGUCGAACACUAAUAAACAACUCUCAUUUAUUAUCGAUAGACAAUUUUAGACAUCUUUUAUAUCAUAUACCAUACAUUUUGUUAUAUUUGUAAAUAUUUUCAACAACUUCCUCCUUUAAAACAAUUAUCUUUUUACUUCUUUUUUAAAUUUAACUUAAAUUUAGCACAUUUAUUUUUUUAAAAGAAAAUAAAAAUAGAACCGUUUGAAAUAAAAUUUAGGUAUAUAAGUUAAUUUUCUCUUGAAAAAAUAAAAUAAUAUUUUAAAAAAUAAAAAAUAUUAAAAAUAUUAUAAGAUAUAAUAAAAUUUAUCAACUUUUAUAGCACACUUAAUUUUUAUUUUUUUUGAUAUAUUUUAUAAAUAAUUUCAUUUUUUAUUAUUUAUAACAAUUUUCUUUAUAGAUUUUUACCUUUUCUUUCUAAGAAAAAAAACAAGUUUGUUAAAAUAGUAUAUAUUGAUUAAAUUUAGUAACUAUACUUAUAGAUAUCUAAUUUUAGUCUCAAAAUUUUUAAAUUUGAUUCAUAUUUUACUAUUAAUUUAUAAUAACUUUUUGAGAAAACAUUUACCAAUUUUAGAAUACAUAAUUACAUUUUAUAUUAUUUUGUAAUGAAAAUUCUUAAUUGUUUUACCAAUUUUGAUUGAUUGAAAGUUUAAAUACUAAAAAUGACAAUUUAACUUAAUAAAUUUAAAAUUAAAAUCAACAGAAUUCCCCAAAUGAUUGAUGCUCACUGUUGAAACAAACAACUUACGCCGUCGUCUCUUGCCCGCCGCCUUGAGUUCCGGUACUCACAAACAAUCCGGCGGGAAUUCCGGCCAAUCUCUGAUCCUGCCAAAGAACAAUCGUCGAAUCAAAAAACGAUUUCAUUUGCGCCGCCAUAGAUCCAUACCUCGUCGGAAACCCAAACAAGAAUCCAUCUGCUUCCACCAUCUCCUCCACGGAAAUCACCGGCACGCCAUCAUCCUUCACCGGAACUCUCAUCUGUUCCAGCGUUUUCAACGGCAGAGUCUCCGGCACCUUGAACAAAACACCUUCGACGCCGUCAACAGAAUCGACUCCUUUCUUCAUCCUCUUGGCCAAGAGAUCGACGUGACCAUACAUGGAGUAAUAGACGAUGAAGAUUCUGAGAUUCCUGGAGAUUUCUCUGGCGGUGGAUUUUGGUUGAUCGGGAAUUGGAAUUGGAUUCGCAUCGGAGACGGUUACAGAUGGUCCGUUCUUGCUAGGUACGCAUCCGUUCCCUUUCCCCAUUUUUGGUAAAAUUGAGAAAUGUGGAUUGAAUUAUUGAACUGGAGUUUGAAUUGAUGAUGACGAUUAAUGGAAGUUUAUUAUAAGGGUUCUAAAUUAGUUGUGAAGAUGAAGGGGAAAUUUGAAACUGAUAUACUCAUCGCUGGCAUCUUCUACAAAUAUGAUUGACUUCUUCCUCUUCUUCUUCAUCUUCAUCUUCUUCUUCUUCUUCUUCUUAAUACAAAAAUCUUCAUUAUUUUAUGUCUAAUCUUUAAUGGCAAUUUCAAAUUUACUUUGGAAAAUGGAGGAAUCAAAAUUGAAACCCAAACAAAUUAAAAGUUUUUACCGUUUUGUGACAUUAAAACACUCCCAAUUCUUUUAAAUUACAAAAGCCUUUUUUUUUCAAAAGAAAAAAACACUUCUACUAUUUUUUUAUAUAAACGUACAAAUAUAACAAAAUUUUAUUUUUGAUUAGAGAUGAAUUAGGAUGGAUGGAGAUAGACAUGUAUGAGUGUUUAAAUAUAUUUAAAAUUUAUAGUAAAUUAAUAACACUUAAAAACAAUAAUUGGUAUUUAUGACCUUUUUUCUUCUCUUCCAUAACCCACUUUUUUUAAUGAUAUAAAUUUGAAUUUAGAAUUAAAAUGAGUAUAUGUGGUAUAAAUUGAUUUAAAGUACACAUGGAUAUUUUUCUUGAUAUUUACCUAUUGGUGUGUUUGAAUGUUACAAGUUAUUUUAAUUAAAUUACAAGUGUUUAUUUUAGAGUCCCUGAAUUUUAUCAACUUGAAAUUUAUGUCUAAUAUAAUAAACUUUCAAUUUUGUAUUAGAUGGGUUGGUGAAUUUUUUGAAAUGUUGUAUUGUUGGAUGACUUUUUAUACUAUUUAAAACUUAAUGGACUCAUUUGACAUAAACUUAAAAAUUUGAAGAACUAAGUAGUUAAGAUAUUUACGGUCGAUUAGAAGAAAAUUGUGGAAACCUGCCCGUCGUUCUUAGAUUAGGUGGCAAGUGGGGGGAAAAAAUUCUCUGCUAUCUAAAUGAAAUGGAGAGCGGAAUGGGAACGGAGAAUGACAUCUCCAACCUUGUUCCGUGGACAUAUCUAGUUAGUAGUUAGAAGUCUCACUUAGGGUUAAGAAAAGAAACUGAUGCAACAAAUUUGGGUAUAAAAUAGGAAGAAAGGAAUCAAGUAAUGCCUUUAAUUGGAAUGUACAGUUGUAUACACCUGUUGAUAUUGUUGUCACUUUUUGUUUAAAUAACAAAAUCAUAUGAAUUAGUUAUUUCAAUUUGUUUAUAUUUUAUAAGAACACUAUGGAAAAAGCAAAAAACAUAGCAUAAAAUAUUAGUGGGAAUGAAAUCAUGUGCUGCAUAAAGUUGUAAUGACUAAUAAAUAAUGAGUUUGGAUUUGGAAGAUUCAAUCUGAUUUUGGAGUUGGGGCUUUCAAAUAAUUUUUCCAAAAAGAGUUUAAAGACAGAUAUAAUUGUCUACUUUCCAGUUCAACCAAAAAGAAACUAAAAAGAGAAAGAAAAGGACUGUCUUAUAUUAGAGUGGAUUAAGAACUAGAACCAAUCUAACUCGAACUCAUAUUUGGUUCACCCACUUGUGAAGUCCAACUUAACGGUGUUAAAAAGCCCAACUCCACAAUAUAUCGAAGUUUUUACAUUUAUCGAUGAACACAAUUUUCCUUUCUUCUCCUCUCUCUAACCCAAACUCCAAGCAUAAACCCCAAACUCCAACAUAUUAAUUUCAGAUUUGAAAACUCAACUCAACACCUCAAGGUCUUAGGAGUCAUUCUCACAUUUGUAACGUAAUAUUUUUUUUUGAAAACAACAAUUACGACUGUAAUGAUAAAAGAGAGAGAAGAGAGCCAUGGAGACUUCGGAGCUUAUGCCAAAACAAUGAUUAGCAAAGAAGAAGAAGAUGAACAGCUAAUAUACAUUGGCAUUGGCAAACCGACCAGCUACUUGGAUUCCUAAGCUCUACCAGAAGAUAUAACUCCACAUCAUGAAUGAAUUAUCCCCCAAGUCAAUGAUCAGAACAAAGCCUCUCAGAGACUAAAAAACACAAGUGAAAAGAGAGAAAAAGGAGAGAGAUUAGAGCCUCUGUGAUCAAUCCACAAAGCUAAAACCAAUCAGCUCCCAUGGCUAUUAUCCCAAGAACUGGAAGAAGGAAAACUUGUUAGAUAUCUCAAAUCCGCGUAGGUAGGUUGUCUUCUCCUUACUUGAACGACCAGCUUUUUGAUCUUUUUAGUUCCCAUGGAGGUAGGCAGCCUUUGUAGUGGGAGUGUAGAAACAGUGAAGAUAUUGAAACUUCCUUCUGAUUCAUGGAGAUUGAGGAUAAGCAACUGAAGCCACUUCUUAGCCUUUUCUUUUCGCUGUCCUGUCCCUCAAAUCUCGGGUCGUGUUGCAUGGUCGUGGCCUUAAGAGCCUUGGGGAGUAUGCAGUUGCAUUUCGAACCUGCAAGUCGCUUGAAGAUUGUGAGUGAUUUUGUUUUGUCAAAAUCAAAGAGGAAAAAGCAUUUGAGGCUAGGGGAAUGAUGAUGCACGUACCUAUUCUUGCAAGUCGAUUAAUCCAUUUUGGUAUGCAUUUCCCUGUUAGCUUUCUACAUACAUCCUCACAGAAGUGGUUGCAAUUCUUCACGAUCAAGUGAUAUGAAUCGCCAUGAUAGUUUGCAGCUUGACGCUCCAUGAAGUCUCUCACUUGGAUUGGGUCCAAGCAAGUUGUGCCGAUAUAGAUUGACUUCCUAAACUUGAAGCCAGGACAUGUUCGGGGUUCUACCUCAAAGAUCCCACUCGUCGGGUAGUCAUGGGCUCCAAAGGCAUAUUCAAUGCCGUAAACUGUAAACAUAGAUAAUAACAUCCUUCAAUAAGCACACAUUUAUUACAGAUCCAAAAUAAGUUCUAUAUAAAACAGGAACAUUCCAAAGGGAAUUGUUUGAAAAAACUCUUGCGCUGACUUUAGCAAUAGCCUUCUUAAUAUCAUUAGUAGAUAGUGCAUAGCUGACAAUAACUUAUAUCUGAUCAGGUAAUUAUAAAAAAAGGGUUUGGCAACAGACGGAGAAGUCAGUUUGUGGUUAUAACAGAAUCUUAAGAACAUAGACAAGACCAACAUAAUUGCACUGAAUGGAUUGCAAGCACAAUUACUAUCUGAUUGAAGAUCCAAAGAUCUUUAGUCCAGAAAAGUGAACAAAAAUGUUGUUCACCAUCCAAACGUGUGCACUUACACGAGAUGAGAAACAAACUGACCUUCUAUACCAGAGUGAAAGAUACCAAGGCCAGCCCAGUAGACGUAGCCAUUUGCGGGGGUUAAGUCAUACACAUUGAGAUAAACUGGAGCUUCUCCCGGCGUACUGGCGGAGGCCUUCACCUUCUGCAACAGGCACAAAUCCUUGGUUGGUUUACCUCUAAAGUAAAGAGACUUGAUGCAAUGCCAUCCAUUCUCUGAUCUAGCUUUCAUGGUUGAGGGUUAAACCAAGAAUCAAUUGGCAGUUAGGCUCAGCCUGUAAAUUUCGGAAACAAAAGUAUACAUUACCUUCAUUAAGCUAUAAUGAAAAGGCCGAAAAUUCGCACUGAAAUACCCUGUUUUAUGAUGUUUAUAUCAAGUUCGUUUCUAAUCAAAAUAUGAAAUCAUGAUAACAUAGACAAGGUUGUCAAAUUUCAAUCACACAAAUAUGACCAAAUAAUUAAACAAGAAUAAGAAUCGUCGCCAGAGACAGCUACAUAGUAUUAGACUAUCAGUGAUGUUACUAGACAACUGAAAACUGUGUAGCUAUACAAUAUGAUCUAAUUCAUCCCAACUCAUGAGCUGACCGAUGUGAAGUAAUUUGUGUUCGGUGACUCUUGGUAACCCCCUAAGGACUUGGAAAAUGAAAGGGCUCUAAGAAACUAUCAAGCUGAAAUGAGUAUUUGCCUUAAGGAGCAAGCAAGUAUCACAAAGUAAAAUUGUACUUCUCUUUCUUCCCCUUCUAUUACAAGGCUACAUCAUUCACAUUUUCUUGGGAUCUAAUCAAGUCUCUAGCUCUCUAUGAUCUUUGGCCAAUUCCAUGAACCUAUCAGUAUCACUUGUAUUCCUCCAUCCCGUCAAUCGGGUUAUUAGAACUUCAGUAGCGGGCAGAUGUUCUAUCUAGGAUAUGCUUAGGUCUCUGUAGAUCCAAGAAAACUGGAGGAAAUCCAGUAAAAGUAGAUCUCCUUCAAUGCAUUCCUCCAAUAAGAUUCCUUGUAUAGUUCGACAAGCAAAGCCUGAAAUACAUUUCUAAACUCAACUUUGAAUCUGGGGAUGGAUUUUAGCCUCACUGCUAAAGAAUGCUGAAUGUAAGUAAAAAAAAAAAGAGAACGAUUUGUUAUGAAAUUAAUCAUAGCUUAGUCAUAAUGAUCCCAAAUCCAACUAGAUUAUGUCAAGAUCCAAGAAGAAGUCAAACUCCCUAAACAAAAAAAAAAAAAAAAAAAAAACAUCUUGCAAGGAGAGAUUAGCAACAAAAUGUAACCACAAGAAAACAAGUGGUGAGUGGGUGUAUCAGAUUUAGCUUCACACAUUUCCACAACAACCAAAAACAAAGAAGCACAAAAUCCAGAAACCCAAGUGAAAAAACAAGCCAAUUAACACAAAAACUCCACAUAGGAAGCCAGAUCAGAUUCAGAACAAAACCCAGAAAGCAAAAUGGCAAAAGAAGCCCAGAAAAUGUAGAAAAGUUAAGAGAAGAGAAGAGAACCAUUUUGAUAAAAGAAAGAAACAAUCGAAACCCAUUCGUGGGGAACUGCAACAAACCUUUUUGUAAAGGGUAAAACAGCCAUCAGAGAAGCAAAAUAGAGGAGACAGAAAGAAAGAAGACAGUGGCAGCCAUUUUCAGAGCUCCAAAAGGGGGGUGGGGGGGUGGAGCGUGUGGGUGACUGAAAAUGCAGAAAUGAAGAAGGGGAACAGAAACCACUGUCCUUUUCCAAAGUGGGUAUUAAAGAAAAGGGGAAAUUAGAGAGGAUUUGAGAAGAAAAAUUUGAAGGAGCUAACAGUCAAAGAGAGGAAGUAGAAGUAGGAGUAAAACCCUGUAGUUGGUUUUGUUGAAUUCGAUGAAGCUAAGCUCGUGGACAGCUUGAAUCGCAUAGUUUAAGGGAAGAUUUUAACUAGAAGAUUUGAAGACUCGAAUUCCCAUUUUCGUCAAGCUUUGAUUUUCUUUUUAGUCUCCAAGCUUGGUCCCUUGCUAGUACGCUUGCUGUCAUUUUCAGCUUCCCCAUUCUCUCUUUUCUUUAAUAAUGAUGAGUUAAAAGGAAUCUCUUUCUUUAUGGCUAUGGAUUUUGUUUGAAUCACUGAAUUUUAGAUUUUGUUUUCUUUUUCUUCCAAUUUUUCUUUUGCAGUAGAAAUGAAUUUUUAAAAUUGUAUCUGUUUAGUACAAAAUUAAUAAAUAUUAGGACGUGAAUCUAUUGGGUCAUGAACUUACGAUGUAUUUUCUUUCUAAUCUUGUCUAACAUAAUUUUAGUAGUUUAAUUUUGGAUAGUUGAUAAUAUGAGUAUAAUUUAGGGGUCAGUGAUAUGUACUCUUUCUCACUAAGUCUAACACUCAAAUUUUCAAAUUCUAUAUAUAUAUUGUGCAAAUACAUAGAUAAAAACUCUUAUAUCCUAUUGGUACUAAAAGUAAAUUCACUCUAAUCUACUUGAAGUCAAAUUGUUGUAUUAUUCUCCAACAAUAAAUUUGAAAUGUGAAUGCAUAAUAACGAUGAAUAUUAAAAGAAAAAAAAAACUUUAUUUGACACAAUAAAAGUUUUAGUUCAAAUUACAUAGGUCUAUAUAUAUAUAUAUUCUAAUAUGUAAAAGAAAAUGGGCUCCAACCUUUAUUUUCUUGUUAUUUUAGUUUUAGAAUCACUAUAUCACUUCUACUAAGAUUGAUUGUGACAACAAUUUAUUCUCUCUCCUCUAUCUCUCAUUGACCCAUCCUCUCUCUUUUUCCUCUCUAUGAUAACUCUUUGAAGAUUGGACCAAAAAAACCUCAUUUUUCUUCCCUUUUUCUUCCCUUUUUCUUUUCCUUCAUUCCAACAUUGCAUAAAAAUCCAAAAAAUAGGGUGAAAAUGAGGAUUGAAAUUCCACUAGGGUUGGGAUGGAAAAAGAAAGAAACCUACAUAGUAUAGUUCCACCCCCAUCUUUGUGGGAACUUUAAUGCUUCACAACUUUGGCUACACAUGUGUAACUUAUUAAAAGACACUUACAUUUCAAUCAAAUUCACACUAUGAUGUCUAUAAACCAUCAAAAUUAAGGAAAAAUAUCUCCUCAAGCUUUAUGAUUUUGGUUUAGUUUCUAUUUGAUCCGAUCUAGGUUUCAACAUGUUACAUAUUUAGUCACUAGCUUUUGUUUAAUUUCAAUUUUUUAAGUGUUAAACUUUUAGGGUCGAGAUGUAGGUUGUUGUUUCAAUUUUACCCCUAUAUUUCAUGCUUUAUACUUUAAUCUCAAUUUAUUUUAACUAAAUACUGAUUUUUUUUGUUAUUAUUAUUGUUGUUUAACUAAAUACUAAUUAGUUUAAAUGAUUUAAAAGAACUGUGAUUAAUUAAGUUUUAUUGUUUUUCAUCCCUUAUUUUUAAAAUUUCACUUCAUAUUGAUUUAAAAUUAAUUUAUAGACAUUGAUACUAAUGAUUGAAAGCAUGCAUUUAAAGAAAAUCAAAAGUAAAAUUGUAAAAUUUUGAAACUUAUGGACUCAAUUAAGUGUAGAACAUUUUGAAAUCUAGAGACCAAUUACAAACUAAAUUUAAAACGACGAAAAACAAUCGUCUACAUAUAAAUAAUAACCGUCUAUGUGUAAUUUGAAUUCAACUUUGUUUAUAAAUAUAAAACAAGAUACAAAUUGAUUGAAGUGAGUAUUGAAUAAUGAAAAUUACAUAACAAAAUAACAUUUAAGGAACAACGUUUCUUAAACAUAAAAAGUAAAAGUUUGAAUAUUAAAGUCAUUCUUCUUAACUACAAAGUUGAUUGAAUGUUCAUCUAAGAAAAUGAGAUUACAUGCUAUACUUUAAAAGCAAAUUAGAGUGGUAAUCGUACUUAGUCGAAUGAAGAUCAUCUCAAUCUCUAACUAACUUGAUCAUCACUGUGUUGAAAGUUUUCCUUUACUACUCUAAGAAUGAUGAAAUAGUGCAAAUGUGGUUUUGUGAUAAACACUGUGCUUUUAAUGGUUUGUUUGAAUGCUCGAAUAAUUAUUUACAGGACCAUAUGAUGUUCUUUAUAGGACUCACUUAUGUAAGUGUGAAGGGAAAAAAUUAUGUAGUGUUUUAGGUUAAAAUGAACACAGUGCCGAUAACUAACUUUGUUAAAAUGAGAAGUUGUAUGACUUCUAUCGACUUAAUUUACUCAAGAAUGGUUGAUAGUUCAAGACAUCAAGUCCACUAAUUAACCAAAAAGAUUUGAUCGGUGUUCACACGGAGGAAGUUUAAAGUUUUACUACUUGUUCUGAACAUCUGAUGGAUGUUCUUCCCUGAGAAAAUACCAAAUGCUUCCCUUUUCUAUUACAAUUUACAAAAUAAAUGUCAUGGUUCUUGGAUGCACCAUUUCAAUUCCAUGUGAUUGUAUUCUUUUAUAAAUAAAUACGUAUUUUCAAAUAUCUCGAGGAAGAGACAUGCGUAAUUAAACGAUCACAAUUUGUCUAUAUAUACAUCUUCUUUAAAUUGUAUUUUCACAUUUUUCUACUUUUCCGUCAAUACUUUUGUCCCAUUUAAAUUUUUUUGAAGUUUAAUUUUAUUUUCGAGUUCAUUAAAUCUUGUUAGCAAGAUGCUAGUUUCACAAGAAAGGUAAUAUAUUCUAUCCUAAUAGAUAAUUUAAUUAGACAAUUACCUAAUGCAACAACAAGUAUUGUAACUAAUUAUCCUAAGAGAUAAUUAGACAAUUACUUGUGAACUUCAUAUACAAGAGUUAGGGGUAGUAUGAUAGGUAAAAAAAUCAGUCUGAUUGACUAAAUUGAAGUCAAUCGAUCUAUGUCAAUUUGAAAGAGUUAAAUCAAUUGACCGACCAAUCAAUAUUUACUCAUCAACAGUGGAUAUUAGUCUGAUCAUUUCUUAAACCGACCAUAGUCAGUUAGGUAGAAAAACGAACUUCCAUCGAGUAGAGUGAUUAAAAUGAUGUGAAAAUGAAUUGUAAAGUGUGGUUGAAGUUUGAGCGGUGAUUUUAAUUUGAGGAGCAUGUGAAAAUUUAAUAGAAGUGCAGGGGUCAUUUGGCAAAAUCUUUGUAGAUAAUAGGGUAUUUUUGUGAAUAAAGUUUGAGUUGGGGCCAAACUUCAAAUACAUCUUUCUUCCCAAGACUCUACUUCUCUUCACACAACGACUGUAAAAGAGAUCUCAAGCUCUCUCGGACUCUGCCACUUCCUAAAACCCUAACGCCAUGUCGAAAUCCUUUCUCCUCUUUACACUAAUCGCUCUUCUUCCAUUUCUCACCCAUGCCUUCUCCCCUGACAAUCCAACAGAUCGCAAAGUCCUCGUCUUACUCGAUGACUUCGCCAUCAAAUCUUCCCAUUCUUUGUUCUUCAAGUCCCUCCAAUCUCGAGGUUUCGACCUCGAUUUCAAGCUCGCCGAUGACCCCAAGAUCGCCUUGCAGAGAUAUGGACGCUAUUUCUACGAUGCAUUGAUCUUGUUUGCCCCAACAAUUGAACGUAAGUCCUUGUUCGUUUUGUCCUCUGUUGGUUUCGUUUUUGAAUUCUUCUGUUUUUCUUUUUCCAUCGGAAAUUGGAGACAUUGGGUGAAAUGGGGUUUCAAUUAUUUGGAAUUUUAUUAAUUUUCAGUUCUUAUGUUUUGAGGUUGGACUAAUUAGUCGUAAUGGAAUGUAUUGGCAUUGUGGUGAUUGUUUACGUUUUCAUUUAUUGGGUUUUAUAGGCUUUGGUGGAUCCGUUGAUUCUGCUGCUAUACUGGAUUUUGUCGAUUCGGGCCAUGAUUUGAUUCUUGCUGCUGAUUCUAAUGCAUCUGAGUUGAUCCGAGAAAUUGCCACCGAAUGUGGUGUUGAUUUUGAUGAGGUAGCUGGAUAUCUACGACAUGUUACCUUUUUUACCUGUAGCAUAAUUGUCAACCUUCUACGACUAUGAUAUUUCUUCUGUAUACUGUAAAAAGAUUCUACUAGAAAUUUUCUUUUCGAUUUUUUUUUUUACAGUUUCCAUGAACAAAUGUAUUGUGUGUUAGUUUUGUCAAUAAUCUGCUGCUUUUCUGCACUACCUAUACUUAUAUGAGAAAUAUCAUGCCAAAGGAUCCAGCUUCUGUAGUCAUUGACCACACCAGCUAUGCAGUAUCAGAGACUGAGGGUGACCACACAUUGAUUGCUAGUGACGAUUUGAUCAAGUCCGAUGUAAUUGUGGGAAGCCAGAAAAUCGAGGCAAGUAAUAUAUUUGCAUAUAUUUUGAAAGAUGAUCAUGUGCGAAGACGAGAGAUGUUGAAUUCAUUUUUGUUUUCUUAUUUUAGGUUUUGUAUUCUUCCAUUGUACUAACUCUAUUUUGUAUUUGUAGUUUUCAUUGUUGUAAUAAUUCUUAUUUCUAAUUGCUACUUAAUGAAUGUUCCACACAGGCUCCUGUACUUUUCCAGGGGAUUGGCCAUACUUUAAAUCCUGCCAAUAGCUUGGUAAGAUACUUGGAUAGUGUUUACUUUAUAACUUCUUCGUAGAAUGUGGUUCUAAUUAAUGCUUCAGGAAGUUACCACAUAAUUCUGGAUUGACAUCAUCAGUUAUAUUUAUUAAACUCUCUUCUUUUAUUCUAUAGGUGCUAAAAGCUCUAUCAGCAUCUCCCGCAGCUUAUUCUGCCAACCCAAAAUCCAAGCUAUCAAGUCCCCCACAACUAACUGGAUCUGCCAUCUCUCUGGUUUCAGUCGUACAGGUCUAUUUUCUAUUAAGUUUCUGCUUUACUUUCUUUGGAUUUCUGUUAAUGGUUUGUUUCUAUGUUCCUGGAGCAUGGAAUUCGAUAAACAAAAUGAUUAAGUAUUGAGUAGGUACAAUGUGGAAACUUUAUCGUGCAUGAUUGGUGGACUUAGCUUGUAUCUUGUUUCCAAGGACCUUUUGACUUUGAGACUUGGGAUUACUUCUUUAAACUUUAGGUUAUUCUAUUUUUGGUCUCCUAAAUCUUUUAGGCCUCUCCUUUUUAUCCAUUUGAGGGGGAGCAGCCUUUGACUUACUUUCUAGUUGUAAUUUUUUAGUACGUAUUUUCUUGUUGAUUAAAACUCAUGCUUAUGCUGGCCUUACAGUUCUCUUCUUCUUCUUCUUCUUAUUAUUAUUAUUAUUAUUAUUAUUUAUAAAAGGAAUUGACAAUUCCUUCUAUGUUGCAGGCAAGAAACAGUGCCCGGAUUUUGAUAUCUGGAUCAUUAAGUUUGUUUAGCAAUCGGUAGGGAACACUUAAAAACUCUUGUUACCAGAAACAAGCUCGAUUUAUUUUCUUCUUUUGGCAUCUCAGAAUCUCGUGAUACUAUAUUUCUCUCUCUCUUGUUUAUAGAUUCUUCAAAUCUGGGGUACAGAAGGCUGGGAGUCCAACCAAGUAAGUCAAAAUGUUUGAACUAGACUGUUUUUGUUGAUAAAAACAUAUAUCAUAGUUACUGUGAUUCUUCUGAUAAGACAUGGUUGAUGUUGAUAAUCAUUGUGACAUCUUAGGGUGAAAUGAUGGUUGCUUACCUUGGUUUGUAAAUUGAACUUGAAUUGUAAUCUCUGAUAAAUAUUUUUUCAUUCAACCAUUAUAUAUAUGUAUGAUAUUUUCUACUGAGUGGUGGAAAACAAUUAUUAAGCUGGAAUAAUUUUUAAUGAAUUGUUACUUUGGUCCUCAACAACCUGGAUUGUAAUCGUUGGAGAAGAAUAUUGCUUCAGUAUUGACGCUUAUUAGAUCAGUUACACACACACACAUUUAUAUGCAACAGAAAACCAUUUAUUCCACAAAACCCAGAUCACUUAGCAUUUGUUAGUAUUUAGCAUACUUAUGAACUGUUGAAGACACUUAUUGAAUAGAUUAUGUUGUGAUACAGAUUUGAUAAGUCAGGCAACGAGCAGUUUUCAGUUGAACUAAGCAAAUGGGUUUUCCACGAGAGAGGCCAUCUUAAGGUGAGGGAUUUCUUCGGUUGCCUUACAUGCAACUACAAUUUAACUUUUUGGCACUUUCUAUGAUUGAUUGUAGAUUCUAAUUCUAACUGCUGCAUUGUAGGCUGUGAAUGUUAGGCACCACAAGGUUGGGGAAACUGAUGAACCGGCAAUUUACAGGAUUAAUGAUGAAUUGGUAAUUUUAAGGCUAAAAUAUAAUUAAUGAGAUGAAAAUAUUUGAGUUAUUCUGACCUGACCUUGGAUUUUGGUUAAAGGAAUAUUCAGUUGAGAUCUACGAGUGGUCUGGUAAGACAUGGGAGCCAUAUGUAACUGGUGAUGUUCAGGUGCAGUUUUACAUGAUGAGCCCCUAUGUUUUAAAAACUUUAUCAACCGACAACAAGGUAUGAAUCUGUUUUCUACAAUUGUUUUUUGUUUGAUUUUACCUAUGGAUUUGAUUGGACCCUAAUAUUUAUAGAUAUUUUCUCUUGUAGGGUCUUUAUCACACAGCCUUCAAAGUUCCAGAUGUAUAUGGAGUAUUCCAGUUCAAGGUUGAGUAUCAAAAACUUGGCUACACUACCUUAUCUCUAUCAAAGCAGGUAAUUUUCAAAAUUUAUCUUGAUGCAAACUCUAAUUAUGGAGGGAAUCUGCAAGUUGAUGGAUCCUUCCAUUAUAGCUAGAAGUAAAUUGCCAUGUUUCUUUUUUUUUUUUUUUUGCCCUUCAGUGUUUGGAAAUUAUGCUAUUUCUCUUUGUUUAAGAUGGAACUUGAUCGUUUUGCUGCCUCUAUUUGCAUUCACCUUAGUGCACUAUGUACAUGGGUGAAGCUAUUCAUUAUUGGCUUGUUUAAUAGUUAACGCGACAGGUAAAGUGUAUGCUAUCCAUCUGAUCGAGAAAAUAAGACUAGGAUAUUAAUUCCUAGGUAGGUGAAUCCAUGAUCCUUUAAGCAAAGAAAUGUGAGUGAGCUUACUUUGAUUACUAAUACAUUACAAUCCAAGGCUUACUAGUUUUCUAUCAUUAGAUAAUAGAUUCUAUAAAAUUUCUCUUUCCUCUAAAAUUUUCCAACUCAAUCCAUUCAUAUGGUUUAUGAAUGAAUAUUUUGGCAUGAGUCUAUCCAUCUAUUCUAUUUACAAAUUAUAAGUGGCACGCUGCACAAAACACCUUGUGUUGAAAAGAUACAUCCCUACUCAGCUUGGGAUUCAGUUGAGAAGGCAGACAAUGUUGCUUCUAUGCCAUAUUGUUUUACUCUCAACAUCACUGACAAAGAAGCAUGGGAAAACUUAUGGUCUGUUAUUAACCGGCUUUUUUUUCUUUCUUGAACAUUCUUCUUUUGCAGAUUCCAGUGAGACCCUUUAGGCACAAUGAAUAUGAAAGAUUCAUUCCUACAGCCUAUCCAUACUAUGGAUCAGCAUUUUCAAUGGUAUGGCUCUUUUAUGUGUCUGUUUGAGAUAGGGAAUUGAGAGGGAGGGGAGAUGGGUUUUCAUGUUUGAAUUCCUAUUUCAUGUUUAUUGUGUCUUUACACAAUCAUCACAUCAGGUUUAGAUUCGUUCGAUGUACAAACCAUUUUUUAGUUUUUAUAAAAUACGUUUCAUUUCUUUUACCUAAUUUCAAUAAAUCUUUGUUAAAAAGAAAAGAAAAUGACUAAACAAAUAAAAGAGGUAAACGAGCUUUUUAUCUGUAAGUACCAUAAAGAUUUCUGUAUUCUUUUCAAUUGAUAUUACAUAUUAACUUCAUGUUUCGAAAUUGGUAAAUCAUAAGAAUUAAAUUUUAUGCAGAUGGCUGGGUUCUUCAUCUUCACUAUUGUUCACCUAUAUAACAAGUAACCAACUUUGCAGAUGCAAACGAAGUCAAUGUAAGAAUGCAGAGCUUAGUUUCUUUCUGUUAUUGAAUUAUUAUUUGAGUUCUACUUCUCUUUUGCAUACUUGAAGUUUUGAACGUUGCUGCUGAAGUUAUGGAUACUUUAGUCUUAGUGAUUAAUGUAGAGAGAAUGACAAUUUUGUUGAGAAGCAGCUCUUGUUUUAACUAUAGAUUAUUCCAUGUACAAUGCAGUACCUGGAGGUUAUAAUUUUAUUUUGUCUUUUGUUUUCUGAUAAUUAUAAUGAAAAAAUAUACAUCUUGUAGGUCUUUUUUUUUUUUUGUAUGAAUUGAGGGAUGGGAUUCGAAUUUCCAACCUCAAAAGCUAACUUCACUUCGGUUGAACAUAUUUUAGAUUUGUGAUAAUCGUUUUUGUUUAUGUGAUUCCGUUCAUAAAUUUAACUAAAUAGCACGUCUUAGGAAAUGUUGCAGCUUCAGCUUUUUUAUGUUUGCAAAAAUUGACUUGAAUUUUAAUGUGUUUUAGUUGAAAAUAUUUUUAAAUAUAGUAAAAAAGAAAUAGACAUUAACGUAAAAUGUAGUAUGGUGGUAUGGUGGUAUGGUGAAGUGGGGGUGUGGGAAAGUCAUUUUUUGGAUGUUAAAUAGGAAAAGGACCAAUUUGUAAUUCCUUCUACUACAAACAAUAUAUAUGUUUUUGCCUCAAUACUUUUCAUUUUUCCUUUUUCGUUUUUGAUCCAUAAUCAUUGAAAAAGAUGGGUGUGUCUGACAUCUCUCUCCUCUUGUUCCUAACUUUUCUUCCUCCAUCCUUUACUUGCAAGUCUCACUUAUGUUGAUCUCAAAUAUACAUCUUAAGAUGUUUAUUAUUCUUUAUAACAUUUAAGUUUUUUGAACAAUUACCAAAAGUGGGAUUACUUUUUAAGGGUUUGAGAGUUUGUGGAAGUACUUUUUGGUGUCUCUUUUUAAUCAAGAGAUGGAAGAUAGAAGGUGAAGGAAAGAACAAAAAUGUAUAAAAAGAUGUACUCAUGUUUAGGCGGAAGUUUUUAGGUAUUUUUUCAUCUCAACAUUUUGUAAGCAUUUGGCAAUUUCCAAACUCAUUUAGGAUGCUUUUACUCAUGUUUUAAGACGUAUUAUAGUUAUUUUCUGUCUUGCACUUCUGUAAUUGAUUUUUUAAGGUAAUUUAGGGUGAUUGCACAUAUAAAUAUAUGGAGUUUUGUAGUUGGUGAAGCUUCUCAUAGGCAUUUAAAAAAUAUCUCACAAUUUCAAAACUCGAAAUACUCAUUCUCCAAAUCUAUUAUAUACUUGUUUUAGGUUAUUUAAUAUGAUUUUACACAUGUUUUAUAGGAGUUUUUUAAAAUUUGACACUGCUAGAUAUUUGUGAGAUGCAUGCAAGAUUGAAAAAAUAGCUAAAACAAAACUUUAUCAAACUUGUUAAAUCACCUGGCAUAAUUAAUUUGAAGUUAGGUAUUUCAAAUUUGAACAUUGUCAAAUAUUCGUGAGAUGUUUGCAAGUUGAAAGAAAACAACUAGAAAUUUUUUUGUACACGUAAAAUCACCAUAAAUCACCUAAAACAAGUAUAAAAUUGAUUUAGGGUUUAUUUUGACUCAAAUGUGGUUUUUACACAAACAGUGUUAUAGAAUAAAUUAGUAAGAUUUAUUUGGUAUUUAUCAAUUUAAUUAAUAUGAUGAAUACUGACCGUAAUCAUCCAAAUAUAGAAACUAAUCAUUAUUCCGUUAAAAGCUAGCGAAAUUCUAAGAGUAAAGAUCAAUGUAAACUUUUGAAAUUUUUUAAAAUUAAAAGACAAAAAUAGAACAAGAUACAAAAUUUUAAAAAUUUAACAUUAUUAAAAAAAUUUAAUCUUGUCUUCUCUAUUUAAUUAAUUUAGAAUAAUUAUGAAGUAAAAUUUUAACUUUAAUAUUGAUGAUUAUUAUUAAGGAAAAUUGUGAAAUAUGACAAAUUUGAUAAAAUAUAACAAAAUUUUAUAUUUUAUUAAUAAGAGAUAUUGAUAUAUCUCGAUAUGCUUCUAUCAUUGUCUAUCAAUAUCUUUCUCUAAGAAGUGAUGAAAGUUUCUCAAUUUCUAUCAUUAAUAGAAUUUAAGAUUUUGCUAUAGUUUGUAAAUAUUUUUAUUUAUUUUGCUAUAUUUGAAAAUGUCUCUAUAAUUAAAGUGUAAUUAAUUAUUUUUAAAAAAUCAACUCGACGUUAUCUAUGAAAUCCAAAAUUUAAAGUGUACCUUUUGAAAUUAAAAUAAAACCGAAAUUAAAAAAGGGUGGAAUUUUAAAAUUUAAAAAGUAAAUUGGAUUCAAAUGUUUAUUUUGUGUUUAGGAAUAAAAAGUGAGAUAAAAAGAUAUUUUCCCUUUCGAUUUCCAAAGAAAAUUUCAAAUUAUUUUCAAAGCUUUUGAAGGAUUCAAAAGAUUCAAUGUAUAAUGACACCAAAUUAAAAACUCUAAUUAUUUUAUGAAAUACAAAUAAAAUUCAAUAUUACACUAUAGAUUCAAUGAUGUUUAUGUUAAUGAAUUUUUAAUUUUAUACGUCACAUUCUUUAAAUUUGUUUUCAAUAAAUUUCUCAUUCUAAUAUCAAUCGUGAAAGAAAUAAUAAUCCAAUCCUGUGGUUAAAUUAAUUGAAAGUAAUUUUCCUAAUUAAGAUGCAAAAUCCAAAGAAAUUAAUUAAUGAAUUGGACACAUAUGUUUAAGCAUGUGACAAAUAUUUUGCAAUUUUUGUUUUUAAUAUUAUGUUGUUAUGUUCAAGAUAAUGAUAAAAGCCUUAUAAUAUGAUUAUCUUAAUUCAGUUUUAUUUUUUCAUGAUUUAUUAUUGCUUCUUUUUAUUUAUCUAUCUCUAAAGUUAUAUUACUUGUAGAUUCUUCUUUAUAAAAGUGUAUCGGAGUUUCUCACUCUAAUUUAUUUUAAUUAGUUAAUUUAUUAUGAUUUUCACAUAAUUUAAAAUUUUUAAGCAAUCAACCAUUAAUAAAUGUCAUGAAAAAUGUAUUUAAUUAACCAAGUUCAAGUAGUUAUGUAGCUUUUCAAUUCAAUAUUAUUACUUGUAACUUAUGAACGAGUGUUUGACAAAGUACAUAACUGAGUUAUUAAUUAUUGUCUAAGAAGUUAGAUUAUCUUUAUUUUGACACAUCAUAAAAGUACAUAAAAUAUUAUCUUUAUUUUACGAACAUACAAAUACAUAAAAGUCUCUAUUAACCUUACUUUUAUGUUCUCAAAAUUCCUCUCAUUCCAAUGUGAUCGAUUCAUUCAUGUCUCAUUCUAAACUCAAGACGUUACAAAAGUAUUCUACAAUAGGAUCUAAUUUCCAAUCCUUCAUUUAACAAAAUAAUAAGUUCUUCUUCACCAAUUUCACAUCCCAUACUAGACAUACUAUACACAAGCCGAUUUGAAAUUUAGAAGGGUGGAUAACCAUCAACUAAAAUAUGUGAUAUUAAGUCAAUCCAUCAUAGCAACAAUGUAGGGCCAAGGUUUUAGAAAUACCUGCCCACUCUGAAGCAUCUCAGAUUUCUUAAGCUUCUUCAUUGCAUACACGUGACCUGUGAUUUAUCUCUACAAGUCUAACCUGAAAAAUAUUAAAGAAAGAAUAACUAUCAAAAGAACCUUUUCAAAAAACUACAACGAUUCAUAGUAAGAUCCCUUGUAUGUGUCUUUUUGUAGUAUUAUCAGUGAAUGAGAUAAAAAGGAAAUUAGACAACAAACAAUAAGCUAAAAGUGAACAAUAAAUAAAGAAUGGUUGGGUUUUAAAAGUUCAAACAAUAACAUGACGAAGGAGUUAGAAAGGAAACUUCCCAAACGCACCCCUUCCUAUAAUUGUUAAAAGUUCGAAGUCAUCAGCGCCCAUUUUAUGCCUACGAAGGCACAUGUAUUCUGUCUCCUUAUGGUUCUAAAUAUUUAACCGACAUUUAUUUGGUUUUCCUCAUAAACAUCCGCAUCAGCAAGCCUCCUCUCCAACACCCAACAUCUGUCAAAAUAUCAUACUUAAGAGUUAAGAUAUAGCAAAACAUGGAUAGAAACAUUAUGAUCAACUCAAUAUAAGUGCAAAUAUUACAUAUACGAAUUUAAUGGCCCCAGCACAUAUUUUAUUAUAAGUAUUAUAUUUCUGGUCUUCUAGAUCGCAUGGUCGCAUGGAAAACCAUCAACUGUAACCAUACCAUUUAAUUUAUUUAAACAUAAAAAGUAUACAUGCAAAAAAAGCACCUCUCCUUCCUAUCUUGCAAUGACUUCAUUGGAGAUUUGUAAUGAUUUUCAAUAUAUUGCUGGGCAACCUCAACUUUCUGCUUCAUCGCAAUUGAAGGUACAUCCUGAACCUCAUUGUCACAUACAGUUCCCUUCACUCUAUUUUGGAACUUCUGAAACCAACUCCUUGCUGAAUCCACAACAACUCUUUCAAUCACGAUCAGACAUUAUUUUCUUCCACCUGCUUAUAUAAAGAGAUCAUGCAAACUCAUAAAUGAAGCAUACAAGAAUGAUAACAGAUUAUUGCAUGGCCUAAUUGGAUAAUUUCAUAUUGAUCAAUAAUAAGGAUAAAAUAUCAACAUGAGUUAAAAUUCUGCCAAAGACAACUGAGCGAUACAAAAGAAUACAAAAGUCUCAUUGCAAUCGAAAUAGAUUGAUAAUUCAGAAGCCGUCCCCAUAUCACCUCCUCAUACUAGUAGAAGCCCCAAGAACAAUAUCUGAUGAUCAAUAUAAAAGUACCGUUAUCACUAUAUUCUGGUAAUUUUACUUCGGUUCACCAAAAUUUUCUUCUCCCAGUCUCCAACCCCUAAAAAAUAUAAAUAGACUGUUGUAAGGAUACGAGAUAAGUUCAUACAUUUCUUGACGGUGAUAACCCCCAACUCCCUUCUAAACUCCAUUAGCCUACACUAAAAAGGGAAUUUAAAAAAUGAAACUAAAAAUUUAUACCCUUAAAACCCAGGUAGCUCCAUGAUGCAUGUUCAAGAAAUAGUAUGCUUGCUUGUAAUGUCCAGUCUCUGAACGGGGAUAAAAUGACUUCGGUUAUUCAGAAUAAAAUCACAUUUUAGCAGAAUAAUGAAGUACAUAAGAACUGAGACAGAAAGUUCAAGGCAACCAAUGUUGGAAUGAAAAAUAAGUAUGCUUGCUUGUAAUGUCCAAUUGUCCAUACAUGAAAAUAAGGAACCAAUAUUUAUUAUUCUCAGAUGGAAAAGGUAAAACUCUCGAACACCAUCUUGAAAUUUGAAAAGCAUACUUCUCAAGCUCAAUAAGUUAGUAUUAGGCUAUUAGCAUCUCAGACCUUGUCUUGCAUUUGCAGAGAGAACUUCAGUCAAAUCACAAAGAGUACCAAAUUUGAGACAUUAAGAAUUUAACUUCACAAAAGAUUAAGCCUUCCAUAACACCAAAGUUCUAGAAAUUUCUUGAAUUUCUAGCGAAUUGUUGCAGAGGCACUUAAUUGUUGGAUUUAUUAUCUUUUUUCCCUAAAUUUGUCAGUACGUCCAGCAAAAUUCUCACUGGAGUGAGACUUAAAGAGUGUGUGUGUAAGAGAGAGAGAGACGUACGUCAUUAUCCAUACAGACUUCUGCAACACUCGUCUAUGGUUUCUCGAAUCCUUUUUGGUUUGCAUGUUCUUUGAAUGACUCUGGACCAAGUUGAUGGCUCCGGUGGCAGAAAUCUUAGGAGCAUUUCCUCUACAAUUCUCAAAGCAGAUAGUUUUCUCUCUCGCUUAAGUAACCUUACCACGAGCUCAUCUAAAAACAGCCUUCCAUCUUGUGGUGGAUUAAUCCUCUCCCUCAAAGUUUCUAAAAAGAUAUUGCAUGUCAAUGAGUCAGGGUCACAGCCUUCAUCGAGCAUACUAUUUAGAAGAUCAAUGGCACGGGUGAGAUUAUCCUGCCUACAGAGGGCAUUGAAAAGUAUAUUAUAGGUGACCACAUCUGGUCGGGACUUGGGCUCCUGACAUUGCAUCUCAUAGAAAAGCUUCAAGCCCUUGUCUACAGAGCCGACAUCACAAAGACCUUUAAUCAUUGAACUAUAAGCCACGACAUCAGGCUUAAGUCCCUCACCGAGCAUGUGCGUCCACACUGUCAACGCCUCCCUUAGUCUUCCACUCUCACAUAGGCCAUUAAGUAAGACACUACAACAAACUACAUUGUGCCUCAUAUCCUGACUCAUCAUCUCUUUCCAUACAAGGAUUGCUUUUUGGCUGUCGCCUUUUUUAAAAAAACCCUUCAUCAAGGAACUGUAAGUGAAAGCAUUUGGUAAAAAACCUUUACUUAACAUUUCCUGCAAAAUGUCUUCGGCUUCAUCUGGCUUUUCAUCUCGACAUAGACCAUCUAUAAAGGCACCAUAAACAACAACGUUGGGUUUGCAUCCCUUCUCUGCCAUUUCUUUCCACAGCCUCACGGCAUUUUCAGACUUGCCCUCCUUAAAUAAACCACUGAUGAGAGACGAGUAAAUGUACUCAUUUGCCUUUUGUCCUCUCUCUUCCAUAGACAUCAAAAUGUGUACUCCAUCCUCGGCCCUUCUUUGUUUAACAAGACCAUUAAUGAUUGUUCCAUAUGUGACUUGAUUAGGAACACAUUUACUCGACACCAUUUUCUCCAAAAGACUAAGAGCUUUGUCCAACUUUCCUUUCAAGCACAAACCAUGGAUAAGGGUAUUAUAAGUCACUUCGUUUGGAACACAACCUUUGAGAAACAUAUUAUCCACAAGCUUUGCUGCUCGACUCAAGUCACCAUUCUUGCUUAGUGCAUCAAUCAACACAUUAAAUGUCACGGGAUUUGGAAGGCAGCCUUCUGCUUGCAUCUCAUCCAGCAAAAACACUGCCUCGUCUACCCUUCUUUCCUUACAUAACCCAUUCAUUAAUGUACUAUAAGUGAAGACGUCGGGAUUGCAGUUCUUCAGUGGCAUUUCUCUAAAAGUGUCAACAGCUCUAUCUAUCUGCCCUAACUUGCACAGUGCCUUAAUAAUCAAAUUGUAAGUAAGUAGGUUGGGCUGAAAGCCUUUGCUAUUGGCACCGAAAACGUGCAAAUAAAACUUGAAUGCGUAUGAAAAGUCCCCCUCUUGAAUAAUUACGUUAAGAACUGAAUUGAAUGACUUUACAGUCUGCUUACAAUGAAGGUCGUUGGCCAUUCUGUGAAAAAAAUUCACAGCUUCCCCAGGUAAAUGAGCUUUCCCGCAAGCCUUGAAAAUUAGGAUAAAAAUAGUUUCCGUAAGGACCCGCCCUUCACGUUUCAUUCUAUCCAAAACUUGGUGUAUGAAAUGGAAUUCCCGAGAAGUUGCAUAGUUCUCAAUCAAACGAUAAAAUGUAGCAUCCCCCAGUUUAUAGGAACCGAAUUGAGGGCGGGAUUUGAAUAUUUGAGGUGAUAUGGAGAGCUCAUUUUGGGCAUCCGGAGUUGAGUUGGAAGAAAGAGGGAGAGAGGAAAAAUAAAAGAAAGGAGAAAGGCGCGCCGGCUUGUGAAGAGAGAUUGUGAGGGGGUUUAAUUGGUGUAUGGAAAAUUUGGGCAUGGGAUCGAAAGGGUUUCUUAACAGCGCAGAAUCAGAAAAGUGUAGGGUUAGAGUAGAGUGAGAGAGAAGCAUAGGUUGUAGUUUGAGAUCGGGGAUGGUGCAAGCGCAGUGUUGGAUGAAUGAAAGUGAAAGUGAAAGUGAAAGUGAAAGGCAUGGGCAUGGGUGGUAUCGCCGGCUGCAAAACUCUAGUGAAUCUCAAUGCCUGACCAGUGCCCACCACCUUCUAAAUCGAAGAUGGUAGAUGGACUCCAACGCCGCCCCUCGGUUGAAGUUGUUGAAAUUUUGAUUAAUCUGAGGAGACACAGAAAAUAAACCAAAUACAAAACUACGGAAAAAGGGUAAGGGGAAGAGGAAAGAGGAAUGUGGAAAAGACUAUUGAUAAAACUAUAAAUAUUUUACUUUAUUUUCUUAUUUUUAAAAAUAUCCCUAAAUUAUAUUUGUUCCAUAAAUAAUAUUCUAAAAUAUGAGUAAUUUAUUAUUUUUGAUAAUUUUAUUUACCAAACUUAAAUUUUGGAUUUACCAAAAAAAAUAUUUUUUCAUCUAAUUUGUAAUUUUUUAAAUGGUAGAAUAAGGAUUCUCUUGCAAGCUUACCAUUUUUAUUUUUAUUUCAUUUCUAAUUUAUAAACUACAUUUUUCUUCUUCUAAAAACGGACAUUUAUAAUUCUCAAACAUCAUAACCCUAUCAAAUAAGUCCACCAACAUUCAAUUUUUCAGACGCAUUUGAUUUUAAACCUGCGAGUUAAACACUUCUAUAAUGAUUAAGAAAUUAUAAGAAAACAAACGUACUUUGUUGGUACAAGAAGCCGACACACUUUUAGAAUCUUUUCGAUUCACUUAUACGGUUCAACUUAACCUAAGUGAGAGUGCUUGUACAAGUAUGGUAAUUUAAACACACUUCGCUGCUUGAGUUAUUAUAUGAAGUAUUUAGUUCACUUGCUUCUUCUUUUAAAAUCAUCCAGCAAGACUAUUCAUCCAAAAGUUACAUGUAAAAUGAUGUUUAGGUUGAUUUUCUAAUCUAAGGUAGAUUUAACCAUUGUUUUUUAGACAAUUUCAAUACUUUUCAAAGACUAUAAAUAGAGUUGCAAUUUAAUAGAUAGGUAAGCUUUAAAAAGUAAAUAACAAAAAUUGUAAAAAUGGAAAUUAGGGCAAGUGAUUGAAGGUAUGUAUUGAUUAAUGGCGUAAGAGAGAGAUUGCUUCCCUUCCCAAUUAGCAGCCCAAAGCCGUCUUCUUCCAUUUUUCUUCAUGCGUGCAAGCCAUUCUCUUCUUCUUCUUCUUCUUUCUUUAACGGUUUAUUUAUUCUUCUCCAUCUCUGUUUCAACUUCAAAAUUCAUCUCUCUUUCUCUCAAUAAUCUUUGUUUCAUAUCAAUCAAUCUUCAUCUUCCAUUUCCUCUGUUUUUUGCAAUCACCAUGGGAAACCACCACACAACCAAAAGAACCACCGAAGAACUCCAACCCGCCGUAGCCGCUUACGAAGCGGCAUGUCGAGCCGACGACGACGUCCGCUCCUUCGAUAAAACUCUCCAAGCCAGAGCAAAUCAAGUACUCACAACAUUAGCCGACGAUGGCGGGGUCGAAGUCAGAGCUCUGUCAUUUGAUUCCUUGAAACAGGUAACUGAAUGCUUGCUGGAAAUGAACCAAGAAGUGGUUCGAGUGAUAUUGCAAUGUAAAAAGGAUAUCUGGAAGAAUCAGGAACUGUUUGAGCUGGUGGAAGAUUACUUUGAGAAUAGCUUGGAGACGUUGGAUUUCUGUACUGCUCUGGAAAACUGUUUGAAGCGAGCUCGAGAUAGUCAGGUGAUGAUUUUAAUGGCGGUGAGGCAGUUUGAGGAAGAUGAAAGGGAAUCUCAAAUGGGUCCGAAUCAGUUCGAUAAAACCUUGAGGGAAUUGAGGAAUUUUAAAGCCUCCGGCGACCCUUUCACCGAUGAGUUCUUCAGAAUCUUCCACUCUGUUUAUAAACACCAAACGGUAAUCUUAAACAACCCCAUGUUUAUGCUUAAAAUUACGAUUUUAGCCCUAUAAAUUUUAAAUGUAUUGAGAAAUUUUAAAAUGCGGUAAAUACUUUAUAUUAAUUAAUUUGAUAAAUAUAAAAUUGAAUUUUAUAUCUGAAAAAAAAUGUAAUUUCCCCAAAACUUCGUAUAGAUAUUUCUUUUAAUUUACAAACAAAAUCCUCAGAACUUAAAUUUAGUAUAUAACUAUAGGUUGCAAUAAAUUAUUUAACCAUUUAUUCAUAUUCUCAAUAGGCAAUGCUUGAGAAGCUUCAACAAAAGAAAAACAAACUUGACAAGAAGUUAAAGUCCAUCAGCACAUGGAGGAAGCUCUCAUGCAUGAUGUUCGCCGCCACAUUCGCCGCCGUCUUAAUAUGCUCCGUGGUGGCAACGGUCAUCAUGGCACCACCCGUUGCAGCAGCGCUGUCCGCUGCUUCUUCCAUUCCUUUAGGUUCAAUGGGAAAAUGGAUUGAUUCUUUAUGGAAGAGCUAUGAGAAUGCAGUGAAAGGGCAAAAGGAAGUGAUAAACUCAAUGCAAGUAGGGACAUACAUAGCCAUUAAAGACAUGGACAACAUUCGGAUUCUUGUCGAGAAGCUCGAGAUCGAGAUCGAAGGAAUGUUGGAGAAAGCAGAUUUCGCAAUUAAAGAGGAUGCUUUGAAGUUUGUGGUGGAGGAGAUGAAGAAGAAACUUGAAGUGUUCAUGAAGAGUGUUGAGGAUUUGGGUGUUCAAGCUGAUUUGUGUAGUAGAGACAUUACAAGGGCAAGGACUCUGGUUUUGCAAAGAAUUAUAAAACAUCCCUAAUUGAUUAAACAUCCAUCUAAUUUGGGUUUGUGUACUUUGUAAUUACAUUCUUUCAUUUGUUAUAUGUUCUAUUAAUUAAUUUGUUUGUAAAAUAGUUUAUCACGUUGGUUUUUUUGUUGAAUUUUUGUCUCUAUUUAAGUUUCAAAAAUAUGUUUUCCGCAAAAUUUAUUAUUAUUUAUGGAUGCGACUAUAUUCUUGGGAUUGAACGCAAGAAUUUUUGUACUUUUAGAUUUGAUCAAUUAUUGUCUUAUCAAUUUCAAAAUACUUACUUUAGUCUUCUAUACUUUUAACAAAUAUUUUGAAAGUACAUGAACAAAUACACGAACAUCAAAGUAAUAAUUAAACUGUAUUAUUACCUAACCAAAUUCAGCAAAAAAAUAACUUGCAAGUUCUAACUCCAAGAUUUAAUGAAAGUAUAAAAACUAGAUUUAAGAUUCAUUAAACUAUAGAGACUAAAAUUAAAUAAAAUCCAAAUGUUAGAUUUCAUUUGUUUGUCGAGCAUAUAACAACUUCAUAUAUUAAUGCCUACGAAAAGGAUCAACCGUACAAAAAUCUUAAUAUAGAGAAUGAUCACUCAUUUCUUCCAUUUAUAUCGGUGUGUUUUAUCCAAUAAAAAGAAAUAUCUUUUUCACAACAAAAUUUAGACUCUUACAUACAUGAUGGAUACACCAAUAAAGUUAUUCGACAAAAUGAUAAGAGACACGAAUAUCUAAUCCUACGUAUCGUUGUAUUAAAAUUGAUGGAUACACCAAUAAGGUUAUUAUAUUGUGUCACACAUAAUGACAAAUAAUCACUUGCUAAUCUUAUUACCAUGUCAUAUCCACACUAAGAUUGUGUCAAUUAUCAGCUUAAUAGAACCAAAUAAAAAGUAAUAAGACAAGAAUCAAAUCCACUUUUCAAAGAAAAAGAAUUUUGGAACAACCUCUUUCUACUUCAACAAGCAUUUGCCUAUAUUAUUUUAUAUGAUAAUGUCUCAAGUCUAUUUAUUUUGUCACAUCACUAUCUUUAAAUUACUAAACAUAAUCUAGCAAAUAUCUUACCAAACAUAACAUAUAUAGCAAGAACAAAAAUUAAAAAGAAAAGAAAAAGAAAACAGUUAAGUAUACACUUUAUCCAAGCGAUUGGAGCUGUGCAUUUCCAUCCCCUUUGAUGUCAAAAACCUUCUUAAGAACAUCUUCAACAACCUAAAAUUUUUAACCCAUUUGAGAAAAAGUUAAUGUCAAGGAAAAUGGCAGAUUAACAUUUCCAUUCUUUGACAGUAACUUUUAACUUACCUUAUCUGGUGUAGAGGCACCAGAGGUAACUCCAAUGGUGAUAUGUCCAUCAGGUAGCCAGUUUUCUUUGUUGGCCAGCUCCCCGUGCUGCCAUUCGAUUAAACAAGUUAAUAUGAGUUGGAAAGAAAGAUGUAGAUGGAACUGGAAAGUAUAGUAUCAUUGGAUCAACACGACGAAUUAAGACUUACAGCAAGCUUGUAUGAUAUUGAGUUUCCUGGACCUAUUCGUUGCUCGCUGUCGAUCCAAUACGAUGGGACUCCUCGAGCCUCUGCAAUCUCUUGAAGAUGAGAGGUGUUGCUUGAGUUCCAUCCACCAACAACUAACAUGAGAUCCACAUCUUCCUUCACCAGCUCGUACAUUGCAUCUUGGCGCACCUAAGGAAAACAACACCCUCAAUCACCAUCAUGGUGUUUAUCUCAAGUAUAUACACAAUUUUGUAAGUUAACUACAAGGAAGGUUUUGCUAUUUAUAUGAACUUUAUAAACUCAAUUAUAAUAGUAUACACUAUUAAAGUUCACACAUUUAUCGACUAACUUCAUCUUUCCAUUUCUUUUACUUUUUACAUUUACCAAGGAACAUCUUCUCUAUAUUUCUAUCUUUUACAUUAAUCAAGUAACUUCAUCUUCCUAUUUUUUUCUACUCUUUACAUUUAUCAAUGAACUUCAUCUUACAACUCUACACCCCAUACACAAACUUACAAACUCCAACAUAUUAAUGCCACUCAAUGAACCAAAGCUUUACACGACCUUUUUUACAUGUACAACAGUGUACGAAGAAUGGAGUGCUUACUUGAGUGGCAUUACAGAUCGUAUUGAAACUAAUGAAGUGUUCGUUAAUAUUUUCAACUCCAUACUUCCGCAUCAUAGUUUUCUCCAUCAGUUUUCCUGUUAUCAGAAUAAUAAAAUCAAGUUUCUUGCGAAAUUACGGUUUGAAAUAGCAUCAAUAGCUCAGAAGUUUACCAAUCUCUUCUGUUUCCCCUUUGAGCAUUGUGGUCUGAUUGGCAAUACCAAUUUUCAUGAGGUCAAUAUCUGGGUCGAAUCCUUUUGACACAGCAGACUUGAAUUUCUACAAACAAGCCAGAAACUCAACUUGUAUCAUGAACAUUACCACAAAAUAUUGUCAAGUUUGGCUAAGCAAAUAGCUAUCAUGUUGUACCUUCAAAAAUUCUUCUUUGGUUGAGAUUGAUCCAUUAUGUUCAACCCCAAGAAUGUAGUCGGAUACACAUGCUGCCUGACAUAGGUUUAGAAUUUUAAUUUUGAAAUUCUUUACUUAUUUUAUGUGGCAACAGUCUGACAUGUUGAAAAAGGGACAAAACUACCAAGGAUUUACCUCUGCCAUGUCUUUCACAAUGAUGUACCUUCCAGCAAAAGAAGCAGUUGCUAUGGUUUCUUCAUGGCGAUACUUACCGUGAAUUAUCGACGUGUAUUCUCCUUUUUUGUGCUUGCCAACAGCAUUCCAAACCUAUAUGGAAAAAAAUGCAUCUAAGCAUCAACAACUAGUUUAUGCCUUCUGUCCUUCAAUGAUGUUAUUAAGUGGAAGUGGAAAAUUGGCCAAAAGAAAAAACAUUCACAAAAGGCAGUGAGAGUGAUUUUUUGAGUACCUUGGAAACCCACGGGCAAGUUGUGUCAACAAUCUUAACUUUUUUAUCAUUCAGUACAAGUAUUUCAUCAACUGCAGCCCCAAAGGCCGGCAAAAUCACAACGUCGCCGGGGUUAACGACAUCAAAUCUUUUGUUUCCUUCCUCCAAAGGAAUGUUAUGCACUCCCAUCUCCUCCAAUCGCUGCAAACACACAAGAAUUUUCAAGGAGUUACAAAAUGAUAUUUCUUACAUCAUGUUUGUUAGCUAGUUAAGAAGCGACAAUCACAUAUGAGCACUAAACAUAAAGCAAAAGAGAAUUGACACACAAAUUUACAUGUUUCAUUAAUAGUGUGUUAGUUACAUCCAUGGACACAUGGAGAACGGUUUAUUAUUAGAAAGAAUAAUUCAGAUAACAGAGGAGAGAGACACCUCUAUGAUUUGAGCAUUUCUCUAAACCCAAAUGUGAAAAUUGUAAAUUACUUACACAUAACAAAUAAGAAUACAACUUAGGUAUUUGAGGCACUCCCUCCACCGUCCACACUUAAUUGUUUGAAGUGUCAGAUAACAGAUUUAAGACAUUCCAACAACAACUACCAUAAAAGCAAAACAGACGAGAACAACAUGAAAAGAAAAAAGCGUGUAAAGAAUAAGGAUCAUCUAAACUUGGGACUUGGAAGAAGUUCUUAACCACAGAAAUGUUUCUAGAACUAUUCUACUAUAGCAUGGAUCUAUCUUUUUAUAAUUAUGUCAGUAGCUUUUGAAGUCACAUGUGUCACUAAAUAGAAUAGUGUAACAACAACUCAACAUUUGUGAAACUCAGGGGAAACUCAAUAGUGAUAACUAAAGAAUCAAAUCCUAUUUGAAAUGAAUUUUGAAGUACUUAGGGGAGUGUUUGGCCUACCAACUUCCCAAGUCGGAGUUAAAUAACUCAACUCCACUUUCACUAGAGUUUGCACGUUAAUCGAGAAACUUUCUCUUUAUGUUGCGAGCAUAUUUUUCAAAGAACUCCAUUUUCACAACUGUACGAACACAUAAUUCCUAACUUAACUACCCUUUUAAGAACACUUAGACAUGUGAUUGAACUUUUGUGGUCAUGAUCUAACCGAUGAAACAGUAAAGGCAAGAAAAGUUAAGCCAUUCAAGAACCUUAUUAACAGUUGGGUUAUGAAUAAUCUCAUUAGUAAUCCAAAUUGUUUCACUUGGAUAUUGUUUCCUCGCUUCAUAAGCAAACUGCACAGCUCGCUCAACUCCCCAACAAAACCCAUAAGCUCCAGCCAAUUUCACAGUAACUUUCCCCCAAGUGAACUGAUACCCAUUUUCAUUCAAAGUAUUCACAAUUUCACCUGCCACAAUUGAAUACAAAAAUCAGUACCAACAAAACAAGAAUACACACAACACACUAAAAUCACAAAUACAAUAAAACUCACUUGUGAACUCGCUGUUCAUGAGCUUUAUAGUCUCCUCCUUAUGCCCAAACCCUUUCCGAUUAUAAUUUUCACCUCUGGAAAAGUUCUUCAAGAACAGCUUCGGGUCGAAAUCGGGAUCGACCGGUUUGGGAGAAGAAGAAGAAUCAGCUGUGCACCGGAGCAAAAGGGGUUUCCGGCACCGGAGAGCUCCGACCCCGGAGAAGGUUUUGGGUGAAAAAAACUGUAUGCGAUGGGGAAAACAAGGGCUCUGCAGAGAGAUCGCCAUUAGAAAUGGUGGUGGAGGAAGAAGGAAGAAUCGACGUUGACGGAGAAGGAUUAACACCCAACAUUGUUGGUAAUUUGUAAUUAAGAUUCAAAUUCAAAGUCCAAAUGUGGGAAAUUUCUAGACUUAAAAGUACUAAAAUAAAUGGAUCAAUGGGAACCAUUGUUGGUGUGAGUGGUUGAAAGUGGCAAGAAUGGAACAACUCCCAGUGAAAAGAAUCCAACUUUUUGUUGUUUAAUCGGAAGAACUUUGAAUUAUGGGUUUAAGGAUUUUGAUUGUUUGUUUUCAUGCUGAUGGGUCCAGUUUGAACAGAUCAAAAUAUGUAUCCACCAUAGUUACAAUGUAUUACUGAAAUAAAAGAGGCAAAAGAGAAACCAAACGUUUCUUCUGUUCAUACUAUGUAAUAUAUUAUAUUUUAAAUACAAAAUGUUUGCUUAAUAAAUUGAAUAUUUUAUUUUUUAAACCCACUUAUAACCAUAAUUUAUAAAUGAAAAUACCGUAGUAGCACCAUUUUUCUUUUUUUUUGGAUAAAAAAAGUACUUUACUUGUUCAAGAUUACUUCAAUUAAACAAUUAAAUUAUUUACAAAAAAGGGAAACACAUUUACUCUAAAACUUUUCUUAGUCAAACCAAAAUAUUUAAGGCAAAUAAUUCAAAAUUUAGAAGAAAAAAAAAUUAAUUAAAGAUUCUAAAAUUUCCUUUCCUGAAACUACUAUAAUAAUCUCUUCUUCUUCUUAUUAUUAUUAUCUCAAAUCUUUUGCUUUAACUUAAAUGCAAAUAAUUAGUUUAAAAGAUUUAAAAUAAAAACAAAAAAAAAAGAAAUGCAAAAAGAUUCCAAGAUGCCAAGCUUGCACAGCAAUCGUCAACCAGAUAUUCCAUUAGCCCAAAACGAUGUCGUCUGUAUGAAACGAUAGUACGACGUCGUAUAGUCUCUUCUCUCUCAAAUUUGCCUUUUUCUGUUCUUAUUUUAUUUUUUAUAUUUUACUUUAAUUUUUCAUCGGAAGAACUCCCACCAUUUGGUCGUUGUUCUUUCACUCUCUUCGCCGGAUUUUCCAACGAUCUUCCCGGAGGGAAACGUUCUCCGGCGUUUCCCGAUUUCUCCGGAUCCGAUUUAUUCAUCGAAUCUCGUUAUCGAUUAUUUCUGUUUUGCCUUUUUCUUUCACCCCUUUUUUGUAUUUUACCCACUCACCUUUACGCCUUUCUUCUUCUUCUUCUUCUUCUUCUUUCCAUUUUCUCUUCUUUUCCCCCAAUUACCCCUUCCCCUUUUAUCAAUGGACGACUGUAUUAGCAGCGAUGAGGACUAUUAUGACUCCGAUCGAGAUUCUCUUCAUGGUCUUGAGAACGAGGACUCUGAAAUUCAGCGGGUUCCUAAAACUCCCUCUACUAAGGUAUUUUUAUUCUAUUUCUUCUCAGACUCCAAUUCCCCCUUCCUUACUUCCUUUCUACUUUAUUCCAAGUUUAAAAUCUCUUGUUUCUUGAUUCAAUUUUUUAGAGAUAUCCCUAUUUGUUUUCUGAUGGCAGUGAAUGAAUUUUCAUUCUGCUGAAAUUUUACCUUCUUUCUUAUUAUUAAUCAUAAAAGUUCAGCUUUUCUCCUACUUUGUGAUGGUGAGGCGGCGGAAUUGGGUGAUAUACUGCUUGUAAUUUGGGCAUUAUAGGAAUUUUCUCAUUGAUCAUGUUUAUGGAGACCUUUUUUUGUUGUUGUUGUUGUUUUCAGGUUAUUACGAAAGAAUCUCUCCUUGCGGCACAGGUUUAGCUCUGUUUUCCCCUUGUCAUAUAAAAGAUGAUUUUUCUGAUUUUAUAUUUUAUUGGGUACCUGGAUUCUUUUUUGUUCUUUGAAUUUGAUUUUAGGGUUGUUUUGUUUUCAUGUAGAAGGAGGACAUGCGUAGAGUUAUGGACUUGCUAUCGUUGAGGGAAUACCAUGCUCGGACAUUACUUAUUCAUUACCGAUGGGAUGUUGAGAAAUUGUUUGCUGUACUUGUGGAGAAAGGGAAAAAUCACUUGUUUGCUACAGCUGGUGUUACUAUGAUUGAGAAUCGAAGCAAUACUUCCUCUGAGGCUUCUUCCAUGGUGAUGUGUGAUAUCUGCAUGGAGGAAGUACAUGGCAAUGAUGCAACGAGAGUGGAUUGUGGUCAUUGCUUUUGUAAUAACUGUAAGCAUUUUUUCCCUUAUUCAUCGUACAUGCACAAUCAUUGCACUCUACUUUUGGAGUUAUUUGAAAACUAUUUCCAGUGGCCUUGUGAACGGAUAUUGUAAAAUUGACAGAUUUUGUUAGUUGUAAGCAGUUCUUGUGGAAUGAAAUUACCUCAGAUCAAAUUCAUUUUAUGUUUUGCCUCAGGUUGGACUGAACAUUUCAUUGUGAAAAUAAAUGAGGGGCAAAGUCGGAGAAUCAGAUGCAUGGCCCACAAAUGCAAUGCAAUUUGUGAUGAAGCUGUUGUUAGGACUCUAGUUAGUAAAAGGCAUCCAGAUCUUGCCAAUAAAUUUGAUCGUUUUCUUCUUGAAUCAUACAUUGAGGACAACAAAAGAGUCAAGUGGUGUCCAAGUACCCCUCAUUGCGGCAAUGCUAUACGCGUGGAGGAUGAUGAGUUUUGUGAAGUAGAAUGCUCGUGUGGUCUUCAAUUUUGUUUCAGUUGCUUAUCUGAGGCUCACUCACCGUGUUCAUGUUUGAUGUGGGAACUUUGGAUUAAGAAGUGCAGAGAUGAAUCUGAAACUGUUAACUGGAUUACAGUACAUACAAAGCCCUGCCCAAAGUGCCAUAAACCCGUCGAAAAGAAUGGAGGUUGUAACCUCGUCAGCUGCAUCUGUGGUCAGGCAUUUUGGUAAGGAUUAUACUAACUUUUAUAAUCAUUUCAAUAAAUUCAUUUGGGUGAAAUGGAGAAUUCUGUUUAACAUUACUUAAAUAGAAGACCUGAAAGCAAACUUUCAGAUAGCGUUAAUCUCUUUCAUACAUUGCUGAGACUUUAAGGCAGAUAGCUCAUUGUCAUAUAUUACUGAAACUGAGGCUCACAUUGCAAGUAUCGGCCAGUAUGGUAGUCUUCAGAUUCAAACAGUUCAUAGUUAGGUUCGAUAUUAGACGAAUGGUUACAUAUUCAAUAGAUUUCCAAAUAAGUUGUCCAACCGGUGCUUCUUAGAUCAAUGUGAUUGUCUGACUCUUUUGAGUUUGUCCAUGAGCGCUUGUGCAGAUGUUUUUCAGUUGAUGCAUGCCUAGUCUUUUAUAGACUUCGAUUAUUUUGUUUUCAAGUGGUAGCUAACUUUUAAAAGUAAGUCCAUGUCAUCAGAAGGUGUUUCAUGUGGCUAAUUUGAAGAAUUUCUGAAAUGAAGAUAUUUCUGUUUAAAAUUUAUCUGAAUUCUUCUCUUGAAAGCAUACAUGAUGUUAGCUACCUUCCGUAAAUUAUUUUCUGCAUUUCAUUUGAUGUGAAAAUGUUCUGAAGGAUCUAGCCAUUUGGUUUGCUUUCUGUCCCUUUCUAAGGAAAUGAAGGUAUUGAGGCGUGUGAAAGAUGGGUAUUUUGUUUUCUUUUAACUUACCAAAUAAUAGAUUAAACUCUUUCGAAUUUGAAUAUAAAUUCAUAGAAGCCAGCGUUUAGUGCUUUCAAACUUAAGCUUCUUAUAGUAGAACUCUGUUUCUUUUUCUAAUUGUUAUGGUAAAAAACAAUUUCACAGAUACUUAGAUACACAUAGUGCAGUUGUUAAUUUCAUCUGUUAAUCUGGUGUUUGUGUCUAUUUUAGCUAUUUGUUCUUCUCAACCUGUUUUAAUUUUAUCAAGUGUGUCUAAGUUUCUAAUUCCCACCCUUCUGGCACAGUUGGCUGUGUGGUGGAGCUACGGGUCGUGAGCAUACUUGGUCAAGCAUUUCUGGUCAUAGUUGUGGGCGUUACAAAGAAGAAUCAGAACAAAAAGCUGAGCGAGCAAAACGGGAUUUGUAUCGGUAUAUGCACUAUCAUAAUCGGUACAAAGCUCAUACAGAUUCUUUUAAGCUUGAAAGCAAGUUGAAGGAAUCUAUACAAGAGAAGAUCUCGAUUUCAGAAGAGAGGGAAUCCAUGCUCAGAGAUUUUAGUUGGGUAAACAAUGGACUGUCUAGACUUUUCAGAUCAAGGCGGGUUCUAUCAUACUCUUACCCAUUUGCAUUCUAUAUGUUUGGGGAUGAGCUAUUCAAAGAUGAGAUGACUGAGGCGGAAAGGGAGAUAAAGCAGCAUCUAUUUGAGGACCAGCAACAGCAACUUGAGGCAAAUGUUGAGAAGCUCUCCAAGUUUUUAGAAGAGCCGUUCGAUCAAUAUACUAAAGAUAAGGUAAUGGAGAUACGCAUGCAAGUCAUCAAUCUGUCAGUUAUCACCGAUACCCUCUGCAAGAAGAUGUAAGUGCACUUGAACAAUCUGUUCUUCUAAAUGUGUGUAAAGCCUCUUGGAACUCAUGUCCUAUUUUCAAUCAGGUAUGACUGUAUUGAGAAUGAUCUUCUGGGUUCUCUUGAACUGGGUAUCCACAAUAUUGCUCCUUACAAGUCGAAGGGCAUCGAGAAGGCACUGGAGCUUUCUGCUUGUUGGAACAGCAAAGCAAAUACUUCAGAUAAAUAUCCGCCAUCUGACUGUGGUACAAGUGGUAAAGUAGUGGAGAGUACUUUUCUACACUUUUCUUAAUCCAGUUUUGAUUUCGAACCUACAUCUCUUAAACAAGAUAGAUAAUUGGCAGUUUUUGGUCUUUCUUUAGGUUGAUCCUAUUUGACGGGUAGUUUUCUUUUUUCUUUUUCUUUUUUUUUUCGAAAAUUCUUUUUAGUCUAUUCCUGAGACAAUUUAUAAGGGAAACUACCUGCAAAUACUGCUUUAGAUAGAUAGAUAGUGGGUAUAAAAGUUUUACUGAUGGUACAAAUGCAGGAGGAUUGUCGGAAUGUGAACGACUGACUAGCUUGAAUUCCGAGGAGAACGGAUGCUCUUCUAGGAAACGUGCCAGAGCAGAAGUUGUUGCUGGCAACUUUUUUGAUCUUAACUUGCCUGCUGAGGUUGUUGAUAGAAACUGAUCUCUGGAAGUUACAUGGUUAUAAAGUACAGUUGUACAGAUCUGACAUAAAACGUUAGCUUCGUUGUUAGCAUGGGGGGACAGGCAAUCGAGGAUUAGUAAUCCUAGAGGUGCCUUUUUAACUCUUUUUUUCCUUUUUACUCUUUGCUCAUCAUGUUCUUGUCUCAGGUUGGAAUAUAUUGUCUUCGGCUGAGCCUAUAUUUUGAAAGAGAAUCUCCUUUUAAGUUCAUGUUUUUCUUUAUUUCCCAUUUAGCUUUUGAAAAAUCCGCAAAAUUGUACAUAGCCGUGAUAUCAAUCAGGCUUUGAUGGUAGUAUUUGGAAUGUAAAUGCUUAAUUCUCAGCCUGAGACAGACAAAGAAGAGAGUAUAUGCAUUUUCUGAUAAGAGUUGUCUAAUGUUUUCUUUGGCUGGAAAAGUAAAAUUUCUAUGCUUUCCCAAGUUCAUACUGUUCCAUGAACAUUAUCAUCAUUUUGUUUUAGUUUAUUAACCUCGAGUGGUGUGGUUAAUCUUCAAAUGAUACAUCUAUACAUCUUAACUAGUUGAGUGAGUUUAAGUUUGAUGGAUCAGAUUGUAAGCUGAGUUUAAGUUUGAUGGAUCAGAUUGUAUUUAGUGGUUUGUGAUUGGAUUUUUCCUUUGUAAUUUUGAGAUUACUUUUUAGUUGGAGAAUGGUCCCAAAAUAAUGUAGAUUGUAAAAUUAAGGUACAGUUGUAUUCGAAGAAAUGGCUUUCAUUUCCAAAUUUAUUGAAGAGUUUUUCCUUUUUCUCUUUUCUUUUUUUUGGACAAAAUGUUUCCUUUUUUUUCUUUUUAUUUUAUUUACUUAAAUGAUUACUUUUGAGUUAAUUUUCAUAAAUAGAACAAAAUAGUAAAAUAUUUACGGUCAUAGAACAAUUUAAGAAAUGUCCAUUAAGGUUGAUUAUUUUUUUCAGAAUUUCAUAUUUUUACCCUAGUUUAUAACAUCCUUUUAGAUUUUUUUCAUCUUCAUCCUUCUCUGAUACUAUUUUUUUCUUUUCAUAGUCAUUUUCCUCUCCUUUUGCAAUUUUUUCUCUCUCCUUUGCCAAGUUUUUUUAAACUGUUAUUUAAUUUGAAAUAAACGAUAGUUCAAAUCAUAAUUGACAACCCAAAUUUAAACAAUCAAUCUAGAUCAUGUCCCAAAUACUAAAGGAUGGUUUUUAAAAUUUAUUAGGCGUGCAAUUAAUUGAGAUAUUUUUUAAAUUUUUUAUUGUGGGCUUGUGAGUUUUUUCCAUUUCUUUCCAUUUUUGAAAUUAUCGUGUAAAUAUUUUGUUAUUUUUUAAAAGAUCCCUUACUUUUCUAUAUUUAGAUUUUAAAAAUAAUAAAGUUUAAAUUAUCAAUAUUGAUAUUAUAAUUUCAUGAAAAUGUCGAUAGAAAUAUUGAUAAUAGAAGGUUGACAUUAUGGCGUUUUUAGAAAGAUUUUGUAAAAUCAAAAUAUCUGGUGAACAUUCUAUGGUUUUAAAUUAGUGUUGUUUUCAAAUAUAAAAAAAUACAAAUCAAUAUAUCUAUAAAUAUAGUAAACUCUUCCACUGAUAGAUAUUGUCUAAUGAUAUACUUACAAGUAUACAUAGCAAAAUUUCAUAUUAGAUGUCUCUGAUAUUUUUUAAGACUUUGUGAGCGUUUUAGUUUACUUUAUGUAUUUGAAACAACAAUUUGAUAAUUGCUUUAACAUUAAAACAACUAUCUUUUAAAAACACGGUAACGUGUUUAUUAUUUACGCAAUAUUUAUAUUAGUGACGUAUUGUUGCUUAUUUUGACAUGCUACGUUGCCACAUAGAUUAAGGGCUUAAUGACAUGGUUAUGAUUGGAUUAUUAUUAUUUAUUAUUUAUUCUAACAUUUUUUAUUUAUUUUCUUUGGUUGAUGCUUAUACAAUUGCAAGUAAACAUGUCUAGUAGGCAUUAUUUUCCUAUGUUUCCUUAAUUAGAAUAAAAUAUAGAAAGAUUUAGGAAAUAUAUAUCGAUACAUGGGUGACAGGCGACGAAAAAAUCAAUCAAGCUCAACCUAAAAUCUAAACUAGGGACGAUCAUGAUAAAUCAAAAAAUUGAACCAACCAACCAAACCAAAGUCGGUUGGUCAAAAAAUGAGAAGGGUCGAUUUCAAAAAGUUUUAAAUCAAGAAUUUCCAAUAAGUACUUUUAAGUGUUAAACCGAUUCGACAAACACUGAUCGAUCGACCGAUCAUCACCCAUCAAAGUUGAGGUCAGUUUGACGCUUUACUAAAUCGACUAUGGUCGGUUCAGAGUUAGUUUUUAAGAAAAAGAGACUUUGAACUUCACCCCUAAUCUAAACGAUAGAUGUUGCCCCAUUAAUGUAUCUACAUUGGUACCGUCCAAUUAAAGAAUUGUUUUUGAAGGAAAAGAAAUAUGUGAGUUUGAGAAACUUUUUCUUGAUUAGAAGCUAAGGAAUGCUAUAGUAUCUCAUUAUUAUUGAUGCCCCAUGAUCAUUUGCUUCUUAAUUCACCUAAUUAGAA
rnacentral:lncRNA from 1 species